rnacentral:lncRNA from 1 species
UUUUUUUUUGGUAUUUCGUGUUCCAUAUCCAUAACUAAAAGAUAGAGAACAACUUAGAACAGCAAACAAAAAUUACUUAGUGAUAAAGUAAACAAGCACACACGAGAAUAUUCACCCCACGCUAUGACUCCCCGGCAACGGCGCCAGAAAAAGGUCUUGAUAACCCACAAGUGUAGGGGAUAAUUGUAGCCUCUUUCGAUAAGUAAGAGUGUCGAACCCAACGAGGAGCUAAAGGUAGAAAAAAUAUUCUCUCAAGUCAUAUCUGCCACUGAUACGACUUUACACACGCUUAGUGUUCGCUUUACCUAGAACAAGUAUGAAACUAGAAGUACUUUGUAGGUGUGAUAGGAUAGGUUUGCAAGAUAAUAAAGAGCACAUAAAUAUAAACUAGGGGCUGUUAAGAUGAAGACACAACUAAGUUAGUUUUAGUAGAGAGCUUGUUGUCACGAGAAAGUUAUUUGUCCCUAGGCAAUCGAUAACUAGACCGGUAAUCACUAUUGCAAUUCUAUUUGAGGGAGAGGCAUAAGCUAACAUACUUUCUCUUCUUAGCUCAUAUGCACUUAUGAUUGGAACUCUAGCAAGCAUCCGCAUCUACUAAAGAUCAUUAUGGUAAAACCCAACCAUAGCAUUAAAGUAUCAAGUCCCCUUUAUCCCAUACGCAAACAACCUACUUACUCGGAUCUGUGCUUCUGUCGCUCAUGCCACCCACCAUAAGCAAAUCAUGAACAUAUUGCAAACCCUACAGCGGGGAUCCCUCACGCUUGCGCGACACGGAGAGCACCAUAGGACAGCACAAAUAAUAAAACAUGCAACUCAAACCAAUCACGAUCAUCAAUUAACCCAUAGGACAAAACAGAUCUAUUCAAACAUCAUAAGAUAGCCAUACAUCAUUGGAAAAUAAUAUAUAGCGUUGAGCACCAUGUUUAAGUAGAGAUUGCAGCGGGUAAGAGAGGGGUUACACCGCUGCAUAGAGGGGGGAAGAGUUGGUGAUGAAGGCAGUGAAGAUGAUGGAGGUGUUGGUGCAGAUCGCGGUGAUGAUGAUGGCCCCCGGCGGCGUCCCGGCGCCACCGGAAGCAAGGGGGAGAGAGCCCCCCUUCUUCUUCUUCUUCCUUGACCUUCUCCCUACAUGGGAGAAGGGUUUCCCCUCUGGUCCUUGGCUAACAUGGCAUGGGAGGGGCGAGAUCCCCUCCGAGAUUGGAUCUAUCUCUCUGUCUCUCUUUGUUUCUGCGUUCCCAGAUUCUGCCCUUUCACCGUUUCUUUUAUAUCCGGAGAUCCGUAACUCCGAUUGGGGUGAAUCUUUCGCCCAGAUUUUUCUCAUAAAAUUAGCUUUAUUGCGGCAAAAUAAGAGCGUCAACCGCCUUAUGGGGUGCCCACGAGGGUCCAGGGAACGCCUGCCCCCCUAGGGCGCGCCCCUUGCCUCGUGGCCCCCUCGGGCACCGUCUCGCGUUGAUUCUUCCUCCCAAAAAUCACAAAUAUUCCAAAAUAAUUCUCCGUCCGUUUUUAUCCCGUUUGGACUCCGUUUGAUAUUGGGUUUCUACGAAACAUAAAACAUGCAAGAAACAGGAACUGGCACUGGGCACUGGAUCAAUAUGUUAGUCUCAAAAAAUAGUAUAAAAAGUUGCCAAAAGUAUAUGAAAGUUGAAUAAUAUUGGCAUGGAACAAUGAAAAAUUAUAGAUACGACAGAGACGUAUCAAUCCUGUUCGCCGACACCUUCCUCAACCCUACCGGAGCCACUUUGCCGACACCAUCGUCAACCCAACCGGAGUAGCUUUGCCUAUACCAUUCUCAACCCUACCGGGGCCACUUUGCCAACUCACAAGUCCAUGGCCUCAGAUCCGCUUCCUUGCACCCUCAUCCAACCUACCGGAGCAGCUUCUGACGCCCUAUCCAUGGCCGCAUAUCCGCAUCGUUGACACCAUCCUUAACCCAACCAUCGGAGCAGCUUCACCUAUGGCCUCGUCCACGGCCACAGAUCCGCUUCGCCCACACCGUAGUCCACCCUACCGGAGCCGCUCCACAAACACCCUACUCAACGGUUCUAGAUCUCCUUACCGGACACCAACAGCCAGUGCAGCAUCAUCACCUAGACGUUUCUAACCUGAUUCCCACCGUUUGGCAAGAUGCCAAGCACCCUCCACGGCCUAGGUGCUUGUCACAUUUAAAACCGUCCAGCAUCACCUGCCCGAUGUACUUCAAAUAUACUAAAAGGUCGAUGUUACCUGUUAUGCAGCUGGCAAAAACUACAAAACGAUGUUUCUUCUGGAUCUAACAGCUUGACCAACCAAGAUCCUGGACUGAGGCAUUUCUAUGAUCUUGUAGGUGUGUCUCUCUCUUUUGUAUUGUUCGUUGCCUGCCAGCGUGCUUUGCUAGGAUUUUCGACCUGUAAUCCCUUUGUGCAGACAAUGAUUUCUACUACUGGCUGCUAAAUUAGAUAUGUAGAUGUCAUACAUGAUACUACCUCGUACCUCCAUUCCUAAAUAUAAGUCUUUCUAGAUAUUCCACUAUAGGCUACAUACAGAGCAAAAUGAGUGAAUCUACACUUGAAAAUGCAUCUAUAUACAUCUGUAUGUGGUCCAUACUGGAAUCUCUACAAAGACAUAUAUUUAGGAACAGAGGCAGUACAUUACACAAAAUCAUAGGUGUCAUGUAGGAAUUCCAGUGCACUACAUUAGGCUCCCUUAGAGUGCCUGCUAGUCCAGCACACAGAGUCAUGGCUAGUUUAUGCUACACACACAAUCAUUAGUUGGUGGUUUAAAUAUGCGCAAGGGAUAUGCAAUGUAUUAUCAUGUAGAGAUGUCUGAAAUUAGCCGUGUCAACUUGCAGAUAGGGUUACACAAUGAAAAAGUACAAGAUGUAUGCGGCAAUUUCAUGGAACAUUGCAAAAAAAAGGAGAGGCAGCGGUGAGUCUAUAUAGUGUGCUAUGGUACGUCACUCCUCCAUUGCAAUCAUCGCGACAUGUUAUUUGUAUGUCAGUUCUAUUGGCCAAGUUUCUUAGGGACAGUUAUUACGAGUUAUCCUAAGAAAAUAAGCACAUGUGAAUAUAAGCUCGAAGUAAUAGGCCAACCAGUUCUUUUCAUUGCCUUUUCAGCUUAUCUUUGGUAUGAUCAGUGAAAACUCUAGAUUGCAUUAUAUUUUUUCAUUUUUCUGCUCAUAUGAAAAUUAAUUUGACUUGCAAACAUCACAAAUUGAACCUAGUGUAGUAAUUAAUAUGAUAGGAAAACAGACCAUCACUAUUUGCUCAAAAUGCAAAUACAAAGAUACCAUCUACUUGGCACAAUCUACUUUGGUCAAUGUUUUCCAUAGAGAUCCCAUUGCCUAAUUAAACGAAGAACACAUGAACCGCAUUUAAAUGAAGAACAAUAAUUUAUUGAAAUUCGAUGGUCCAAGUGGCUGGUUAUUAUCAUAUAGCAGCAGCACCUGAAAGCAUCAUAUAGCAGCAGCAGCAGCUCAUAGCAACUCAUCAUACAGCAGCAACAGCAGCAGCAGUGUGCAAUUCAUCAUAUAUCAGCAGCAGCUCAUAGCAAUUCAUCAUAUAGAAGCAGCAGCUCAUAGCAACUCAUCAUACAGCAGCAGCAGCAGCAGUGUGCAAUUCAUCAUAUGCCAGCAGCAGCUCAUAGCAAUUCAUCAUAUAGCAGCAGCAGGAGCAGCUCAUAGCAAUUCGUCACAUAGCAUCAGCAGGAGCAGCUAUAGCAAUUAAUCAUACAGCAGCAGCAGGAGUAGCUUAUAGCAACUCAUCAUAUAGCAGCAGCAGCAGCUCAUAGCAAUUUACCAUAUAGCAGCAGCAACUCAUAGCAAUUCAUCAUAUAGCAGGAGCAGGAGCAGCUCAUAGCAAUGCAUCAUAUAGCAGCAGCAGAAGCAGCUCAUAGCAAUUCAUCAUAUAGUGGAUCAGAAUGAAAAUUUGGCAAAAAAUCAGAGGAGAUCCUCACCUUGUUGGAUGAGCUCAUCCUUCAACAGCACCUCAAGGCCACAACCUAGGAGGAGGGGAGGGGGAAUAAGGUGCCUUCUGCCGCAGUGUGGCAUCAGCCGUAGUUGUGCAGCGCCCGCCGGAGUAGUGCGUUGGACGAACCACAAUGGAGCAGCUGCUGGAGACCAUGAGAAUGAGGGGCGGCGCCAGAGGGAGGAGCAGCCAGGGAGACACGUUGCCUAGCUAGAUAGAGCAUCAUCGAGGACCAGGCCAGAUGGGACCAGUGGCGAUGGCUCGCUGGAGGAACCCUAGUGCUGCAGGUCAGGGAUCGAUGUAGAGGGAAAGGGGAGAGGAGAUGCAAGCGGGCAGGGCAAUGAACGCUUGCGUGUUUGUUUUUACUUGAGGGUCAGAUGUGAUGUGGGCGUCAGUAGUUGCAUUUUGAGUGUAAUAUAGGCAGACAACAGAGUCAUUUCACUAUUCCCCUUCCCUUCAAUUUUUAGUGAGGUUCUACCCGAAACACCCCCCUCCAAAGCGAAAUAAGUUAAGCCCAAUCCCAUAACUCAAAAAUGACUUCUUUACAUCUUUUAUGGCUUAUUUUGACAAUAAGCCCUGAAAAGGCGGAAUCGAAUUGGCCCUUAACCUGUAAUUCAAUUGUGCGUGCAAUGAUGAAUCACUCUUGCCUGCUAUAGUGUACAUUUAGGCAUCAUCAUACAUGGCAUAACUUAAUACAUGUGCAUUCCAUUGUAGAAUCUGGAAUAUGCAAUGUUUAUGUUAGUUCAUACGUUGCACAUGAUGUUUAAAUGCCCCUUAAAUCUGGUCAGUCAAGUGAUGGUGUUUAAGCCUCCUUCUUUGCUUCUUUUCUUGAUAUGUAAGAUUUGCUCACACAUCUGUUCAAUUGCUUGUUUGCAUUAGCCAGCCAUACUAGGACUGUUUGCUUUGAUUACUUGAUGUUCUUGACCUAACACUCUAACAGAGCUUGUCAAUGAUUUAAACACUAAGGGUUGUUGUAGUGGGGCCUUGUCUAACUCAUAGGUGACAUAAAGGUUUGGCUGUACACUAAAGUAGGCUCUCCAAGAGUACCUGGAGAUCCAGUUCGAAGGUAUGCCUAGUUUUUACAUAGUGCAGACAUAGUAAAUGCUCAUUUCAUUGUGUGCAAUUGCAAGAGAUGCGGCAUGUUUCAUUAUGUGGUCUUGUUUUGUUAUAAUCUCAUCCUUGUGUGUUUACAGACUGGAAAGUAUGCAUAUUUAUCUUCCAAGGAGAUGAGUAACUAGUUUGUGUCACCUUGCAGAGGGGGCGCAAUGAAGAUAAGAUUGAGGAUUUCCAAGUACAAGAUGUUAGGAAGGAGCCUUGCAAGAGAAGUAGGAGUUGCGCUGAGCCUCUUCAACCAGUUAAGGUAAGUCACUGUAUCCAACUCAACAGUUCAAUUCCUUGUUUGUUUCAGGCAUGGUUAAUUUGCUAUUUUCAGUUGCUUUAUUUGUCCUCAGUUAAUGAGAUGCCCAAAGAAUGAUGCCUGAUGUUGGGUACUUGUAUAACAAUUAGUUGACAAAAUUAAAGGCCUUACCAUUUAAUUACUCUACCGAAGUGUGCCUAAAGCUUUGAAGUCUAUUAACCAACUAUUAUUGCAUGAGGCUCACAAUCUAGUUUAUACUGGGCUAAUGAUUGCAUAGUUUUGCUUGCUGUAGUAUGUUUGUAUGAAUCCCUCUGUUGUUUAUUAUGCUCCCUAAGACUUUAAUUGAGCUACAGAAUGGCCAACUGCUUGCUUACUUAUAUGCAAUGUGCUGUCUAAAUUUGUAACUUGUCUGUGUUUUGGAUUGGGCCCCAACAUCAUGCUCCUCUGGUGAGCUAAGAGAGAUUUCUGUAUGCAGGAUGCACAGACUACUUUUUUUAUAAUUUUUAAAAUAUCACCUGCUUAUGCUUCAUGACGUGUAACAUUAUUGUUAGUCUUGUUUUCCCAUGUACAAAAUAGUCUGUCUUGCUCGCUUCACUGUUGUAACUAUAUUUUUGCCCUAGUCAUGUGUACUUACAGAAACAUUUCAGGAUGAAGUGACAUCAACACAAAGAUCUGUGAGUAGUGCGGCAUGGCCGUUACCGAAUGAUUAAGGAUUGGAAUUGGAAUAUGCUGAUGUUCUCGAGCAUCAACUAGAGGUGGCAAGACAACGUGUACAUGAUUCUCAACAUACAAUCAACAAGUUGAGACUGGACAUGCAGGUAUUAGAUGCAGGAGUCAAAAAAAUGAAACAAGACACUGAGGUAACCAUGAAGGAAUUGGAGAUUUUGCAGACUGAAAUUUGUGCUAUUUGAAUCCGGCCAAUCCUAUUUUCUGAAGAGAUUAUAGUUCAAAUGGUAAGUUUUGUUGAUGCGUGUCCAUGAUGUAUGAGCUUUAUUUGUCCAGUGUAUGUAAUUUAUUGUUUGUGUAUGCUUUGUUAUCACUGGUGUCAAACUAUAAUUCCCAAUGGGUAUAUUUGGCUGUAAUUUCUUUAUUGUACAGUGUAGGAUUAUUCUACGUUUCUAUGACGUAUUUUUAUUGUAUAGUGUAUGUUUUUAGGAGCGAUAGUAUAGAGUAGGAUAUUUCUUGAAUAUGACAUAUCGUUGAAACGGGGGCCAACAUGCCCAAACGUUUCCUUGACGCCAUACAAAUGAACAAACAUGUAUACUCAAAGCGGGCCUCAAUUGGGCUGGUCAAAAUAAUAUUAUGUGGAUCCCAAAUGAUUUGGCCCACCAUAACAAUGGCUCUUGGCAGGUCGUCAACAAGCCUAAAGCUCGAUAGGGCCGUAUAAAUGGAAAUGCCCUGCGGGCCUUUAGCAGGCCAAAAUAAAUGUCAAUUGUGUCUCAGCCCUUUUACUUUAUGGGCCAGUAAGAGGCCGAAAGUGUUAUGGGCCAGAGGAGGCCCAAUUUGCAAACUAGGCUUUUAACAGGCCGAAAGUCGCGUUGGGCUAAAAUGAUGCCCUGCGAAACAUGGGCCCCUAAUGGACCUUUGCCCUGCGGAACGUGGGCCCUAAUGGACCUAAAGUCAAAGGCCCAACUAUUGUGUGGGCCGUUAAUAGGCCGAGGGACAAAAUGGGCUAAGAGUUGGCCCAUUUGCCGAAUGGGCCGAGGACAGGCCUAAAGUCACAGCGGGCUAGAAUUGGCCCAACUGCAGAAUGGGCCGAGAAACAGCCGAAAGACGUUCUGGGUCGUUAACAGGCUGGAACUAACGAUGGGUUCCUAACAGGCCGAAAGAAGCUCGGGCUGCAAUUGGGCCCAAAGACCUAGCAGGCAGUUAACGGGCUUAAACUGACGACAGGCUGGAAAUUGUAGAAUCUAGAAUGGGCCUUUGAUGGGCCGAUUCUGUGUAACUUGUAUGGGCCGUACUUGUAAAUGGGUCUGAAUCAAGUAGGCCACUAAUGGGCCGGUCCGCUUAUUUUGACAGGCCUGGCCUUUUCAUCGGAAUGGGCCUCUCUUGGGUCGUGCCACGUGUCAACGUAUCAUAGGCGGCUCCUGUCUAAUGACUGGAUGACAUCUGUCCCAACCGUGAGGCAACACGUGUUUCCUCCGGCCAAUGAGAAUUUUACACGUGGAAAAUCCCCAUUGGGCGUGGCUGUUAGCGGGUUAUCGGAUCCAAAACAGGACCCGAUAGCUUAACGGUGUUCCGUUAUGGUGGAUGCCACGUGUUGGUCACCCUUGUCGAAAGCACUUCUAUGACGCGCGAUUUAUCGUCAUGGAAGUGGACACUUCCGUGAUGAUAAUUUUGGUAAUGUCAUGGAACACUUCUACGACAACACAAGUAUGACUAUCUUGAUUCUUUCAUAAAAUCGUCAUGGAUGUACAUGCAUGACAGAAAACUUGACCUACUGUGACAAACACGUAUCAUCACGGAAGUGUACUUUUUUGGUAGUGAGUGUUCGAGUUACUGGCUACUACUGCUGGCACCAGCUCUUCGAACUCGCUGCCUGAAUCAGUUUGGCUUCUUGAGUCUCAACUUCAAGUUGAAAGACAUCGAUCAGAUGUUAUGCGACAGGAAGCCGAAGGACUGAGGAAGUCCCUGCAGAAUUCAGAUGCAUACUUUCUGGUGCAACAGCAAGUGCUGGAGGAUUUGAGCGCCAAACAAGAGAAAGUUAAUAAGCUUGCUAAGCAUCUUGCCAGCAUUAUGGGUACCCAGGAUAUUGUUUCUUGAGCUCUUCUGAAGUGGUUUUCAGUUCUGGACUUGUUUUGUUGUGGCGUUUAUUUGCACUGGUCGCCAACUUUGACAACCAGUGUAUAUGAUAUGCUACUUUGUUCCCUAUAUUUGCACUGGUGGCGAACUUUGAUGCCCAAUGGAUGUAAUAUGUGUAAUAGCCGUGAUAGCCUAGCGUAAGUUGCUUGCUUAUUUAUUUCCUUAUUGUCUUGUUUAUUUGUUUACUUGUAGUCAGUGGAGUUCUUUUUCCGCGGUUUGCUAGUGGCCACAAUAACCUAUUUUUUAAAACUUGGCCACAAUAACCAUGGGCUACAUAUUUACUGUAGUUACCAUGGGCCUCCUAUGGGCCGUAGAAACAAUGGGCCUUCUAAGGGUCAUAGAAACAAUGGGCCUUCUAUGGGGCGUGGAAACAAUGGGCCUUCAACGGGCCGUAGACACAAUGGUCCUUCUAUGGGCUGUAUCAUCAAUGGGCCUUCUACGGGCCGUAUGAUCGGUUGGCCAAACAUGGGCCAAUAACAGACCGCAUUAUGGCUGUAAACGGGCUAGCGUUGGAAUCGCCCGUUCAUGGGCCAACCAUAAUGGGUCGUCGUUAAUCGAUCGUAUUGGAUGACGCUAUGAAAACGGCCCAACGUAUUAACGGGCCACAAAUGGGCCAACUGUAACCACUAGCUGAAUUUGGCCCACAAGCAGAAAAUGACAGUAACGGGCCGUAAGUAAACGAAUGCUGGAAAUGAGCCCAAGAAUAAAUGGACCCUGAGAAGGCUGAAAGAUAACAUGGGAUAGAAACGGCCCAACGGAAUAAUGGGCCGUUAAUGGGUAUAAAGUGAUACACUAUUCAUUACGGGCCAGUUUCACCACGUGCCAUUAAUGGAUAUAAAGUGAUACACUGUCCAUUACGGACCUGUUUCACGAUGGGCCUUUAAUGGGCCAACAGUUACAAAGGGCCUCAUGUGGGUCAAAAGACGUCAUGGGCCAUACAUGGGCCGAAAGUUAAAACGGGCUGGAAUCAUAUUGGACGGCCCAAAUAAUGCUACUGGACCUAAUUUGGAUAGAUCAUAACGGGCCCUAGGUUAGCGGGUUGUAAAUGGGCUAUAUGCGAACAAGCCGUUAACAAGCUUUCCGUGGGCCGGCCCGCCACCUUUUGACCAAGUCAAACGGGCUGGCCUUUUCACAGGAAUGGGCCUCUGUUGGGUCGUGCCACGUGUCGGUGUAUCAUAGGCGCCUUCGGUCCAAUGAGUGGAUGACAUCUGUCCCAACGGUGAGCCGACACGUGUUUCCUCCAGCCAAUGAUGAUUUUACACGUGGAAAAUCCCCAUUGGUCGGGGCUGUUAACGGGUUAUCGGAUCCAAAACUGGACCCGAUAGCUUAUCGGCAUUCCGUCAUGAUGGAUGCCACGUGUCGAUCACCCUUGACGAAAGCACUUCUAUGACAUGUGAUUUAUCGUCAUGGAAGUGGACACUUCCGUGAUGAUAAUUUUGGUAAUGUCAUGGAACACUUCUACGACAACACAUGUAUGACUAUCUUGAUUCUGUCAUAAAAUCUUCAUGGAUGUACAUGCAUGACAUAAAAUGUGACCUACUGUGACAAACACGUAUCAUCACGGAAGUGCAUUUUUUUGCAGUGUCAACUCUUUGUCCUAGAACAGCACCAACGGCAUAAUCACUAGAAUCACACAUAAUUUCAAAAGGCAAGUUCCAAUCAGGUGGUUGAACAACAGGUGCAGAAAUUAAGGCUUUCUCAAGUGUUUCAAAGGCUUCCAAGCAAUCAUCAUCAAAAACAAAAGGGAUAUCCUUUUGCAAAAGAUUUGUAAGAGGCCUAGAAAUUUUAGAAAACUCUUUGAUAAAUCUCCUAUAGAAACCAGCAUGACCAAGGAAACUACGAAUACCUUUGAUAUCUUUAGGACAUGGCAUUUUCUCAAUUGCAUCAACCUUGGCUUUGUCCACUUCAAUACCUCGUUCAGAAAUUUUAUGGCCCAAAACAAUACCUUCCUUAAUCAUGAAGUGGCACUUCUCCCAAUUCAAGACAAGAUUUGUUUGUUCACAUCUCUGGAAAACUCGAUCAAGAUUGCUUAAAUAAUCAUCAAAAGACUUCCCAUAAAUAGAAAAGUCAUCCGUGAAAACCUCAACAAUCUUUUCACAAAAAUUAGAGAAUAUAGCAGUCAUACAUCUUUGAAAGGUAGAAGGUGCAUUACAUAGUCCAAAAUGCAUACGUCUUUAAGCAUAGGUUCCAAAAGGGCAAGUAAAGGUGGUCUUUUAUUGAUCAGGUUGUGAAACAGGCAUUCAUGAAAAAUCAGAAUAUCCAUCAAGGAAGCAAAAAUGUGUGUGCUUACAUAAUGUUUCUGGCAUUUGAUCAAUAAAAGGUAGAGGGUAAUGAUCUUUUCUAGUUGCUUUAUUUAAUUUUCUAUAAUCAAUUACCAUUCUAUAGCCUGUGACAAAAUUCUUUGUGCAAUAAGUUCAUUCUUAUCAUUAGGAACAACAGUUUAUACCUCCCUACUUAGGGACACAAUGAACAGGACUUACCCAUCUACUAUCAGCUAUAGGAUAGAUUAUACCUGCUUCCAGAAGACCGACGCUGGUGAUCAACAACGGGUUUAGCAUCAGGUUCCAUAUUAAUCUUGUGCUGACAUAGAGUGGGACUAAUGCCCUUAAGAUCAUCAAGAGUAUAUCCAAUAGCAGCCUGGUGCUUCCUUAGAGCUUUCAAUAAUCUUUCUUCUUCAUGUUCUAAAAGGUUAGCACUAAUAAUAAAGGAUAUAUCUUUUUCUCAUCAAGAUAAGCAUAUUUCAAAGUGUCUGGCAAUUGUUUUAAUUCAAACACAUGAUCACCUUUAGGUGGAGGAGGACCUCCUAGAGUUUCAAUAGGUAGAAUGUGUUUAAGUAGAGGUUGUUGUUCGAACAAGAUUCUAUCUAUUUCAUUUCUUUCACGCAUAUGCAAAUAAUUUUCAUCGUCUAGCAAAUAUUGUUCUAAAGGAUCGGUAGGAGGUACAACAAUAGAAGCGAGACCAAUAAUUCCAUCCUUACUAGGCAAAUCUUUCUUAUGAGGUUUCUACUAAACUUGGGAAAAUUAAAUUCAUGAGAUUCAUCACCGAAGCUAACACCGACAGUUUGUUUCUUACAAUCUAUUUUAGCAUUGAUGGUGUUCAAGAAAGGUCUACCAAAGAUAAUGGGACAAAAGUCAUCUUGUUGGGAACCAAGAACAAGAAAACAAGUAGGGUAUUUAUUUUCCCACACAAGACUUCAACAUCUCUAACUAUCCCAAUUGGCAAUAUAGUAUCUCUAUUGGCAAGUUUAAUAGUAUCUAUGUCUUCUAUUUCAGCGGGUGUUAUAUCAUUCACAAUUUCUUCAUAUAAGGAAAAAGGAAUAGCACUCACGCUAGCACCUAUGUCACAUAAACCAUGAUAACAGUGAUCUCCUAUCUUAACAGAGACAACAGGCAUGCCAACAACUGGCCUAUGUUUAUCUUUUUCAUCGGGUUUGGCAAUUCUAGCAGCUUCAUCACAGAAGUAAAUAACAUGCCCAUCAAUAUUAUCGACCAAGAGAUCUUUAACCAUAGCAACACUAGGUUCAACUUUGAUUUGUUCAGCUAGUUUAGGUGUUCUAAUAUAACUUUUGUUGACCACAGUUGAAACUUUGGCAUGUUCCUUCAUCCUAACAGGGAAAGGUCGUUUUUCAAUAUAACUAGUAGGAACAACUGGAUCAACAUUGUAAAGGAUAGUUUCUUCUUUAGCUUUUACAUGUUCUUUAGUUUCUUCUUUAAUUGGUGGGUGAUAUUUGAACCACUUCUCCUUAGGGAGAUCAAUGUGAGUAGCAAAAGAUUCACAAAAGGAAGCUACAAUCUCAAAGUCAAGUCCAUAUUUAGUGCUAAACUUUUGAAAAGCAUCGAUAUUCAUAAAAGAUUUAACACAAUCAAACUUAGGCUCAAUACCUGACUCUUUACCUUUGUCGAGUUCCCAAUCUUCAGAGUUGCAUUUAAUUCUUUCUAAAAGAUCCCACCAAAAUUCAAUAGUCUUCUUCAUAAAAGAACCAGUACAAGAAGUAUCGAGCAUGGAUUGAUCAUUAUGAGAAAGCCAAGCAUAAAAUUUCUGGAUAAUAAUUUCUCUUGAGAGCUCAUGAUUGGGGCAUGAAUAUAACAUUGACUUAAUCCUCCUCCAAGCUAGAGCGAUACUUUCUCCUUCACGAGGCCAAAAAUUAUAUAUAUAACUCUGAUCAUGAUGAACUAGAUGCAUAGGAUAAUUUUUUUGAUGGAAUUCCAAUUUCAACCAAUUCCAGUUCCAAGAUCCAAUAUCAUCGCAUAACCUAAACCAUGUCAAUGCCUUUCCCUUCAAAGAUAAAGGGAAAACCUUCUUUUUAGCUUCAUCUCCGAGUAAACCUGCAAGCUUAAACAAUCCACAAAUUUCAUCCACAUAUAUCAAGUGCAUAUCAGGAUGUUUGGUUCUAUCUCCUGCAUAAAGAUUAGCUAGUAGUUGUUCUACCAUUCCCGAAGGAAUUUAAUAUUCAAUAUUUUUACUAGGUGCAGUAGGUUGAGGGGCAACUAAUUGUGGUUCCGGUUGAGGUGAAGAUACCCCGAACAAACCCCUCAAAGGAUUGUUUUCCAUAGUAACAAGUGGCAGUAAAUUUCAGCACGUAGUAAUAAUGUUUCCUUACCAAUUUCCACUAACCAAAAGUGCUUCACUGCCCGGCAACAGCGCCAGAAAAUAGCCUUGAUGACCCACACAUAUAUGGGGUCAAUUACAGCCUUUUCAAUAAGUAAGAGUGUCGAACCCAACGAGGAGCAGAAGGAAAUGACAAGUGGUUUUCAUCAAGGUAAUGUCUGCAACUGCUAAAAUUCUAAGUAACAGAGUAGUUUGAUAGCAAGAUAUUUUGUAACGAGCAAGUAAUGGUAGUAGUAAAAAACGUUCAGCAAGGUAGUCCAAUACUUUUGAGGCAAAGGACAGACCAAAACGGUCUCUUAUGAUAAGCAAAGUGUUCUAGAGGGUACACUGGAAUUUCAUCUAGUUACUUUCACCAUGUUGGCUUAAUUCGUGUUCGCUACUUUGAUAAUUUGGUAUGUGGGUGGACCAGUGCUUAGGUGUUGUUCUUAAUUUAACAAACCUCCUACUUAUGAUUAACCCCCUUGCAAGCAUCCGCAACUACGAUAAAAGUAUUAAGAAUAAAUUCUAACCAUGGCAUUGAACUUUUGGAUCCAUUCGGUCCCCUACGGAAUAGCGCAUAAACUAGGGUUUAAGCUUCUGUCACUCUCGCAAACCAUCCUCUAAUAACUACUCCACAAUGCAUUCCCUUAGGCCCAAAUAUGGUGAAGUGUCAUGUAGUUGACAUUCACAUGACACCACUAAGGGAAUCACAACAUACAUAUCAUCAAAAUAUCGAACACAUAUCAAGUUCACAUGAUUACUUGCAACAUGAUUUCUCACGUGACCUUAAGAAAAAAAGUAACUACUCACAAAUUAUAAUCAUGCUCAAGAUCAGAGGGGUAUUAAAUAGCAUAAUGGAUAUGAACGUAUAAUCUUCUGCCAAAUAAACCAUAUAGUAAUCAACUACAAGAUGUAAUCAACACUACUAGUCACCCACAAGCGCCAAUCUAUAGUUAAGGCACAAAGAUUGAACACAAGAUAUGAACUAGGGUUUAAGAGAAGUUGGUGUUGUUGAAGAUGUUGAUGGAGAUAGCCCUCCCCAAGAUGGGAGAGUUGUUGGUGAUGAUGAUGACGAUGAUUUCCCCCUCCGGGAGGGAAGUUCCCCCAGCGGAAUCGCUCCGUCGGAGGGCAAAAGUGCUCCUACCCAGGUUCCACCUCGAGACGGCGGCGCUUCGUCCCGAAAGUCCUCUCCUUAUUUUUCUAGGUCAAAAUGACUUAUAUACCAGAAGAGGGGCACCAAAGGUGGGUCUAGGUGAGCACAACCCACCAGGGCGUGCCUGGGCUCCCUAGCGCGCCAAGGUGGGUUGUGCCCACCAGGUGGCCCCCCUGGUACUUAUUGACUCCAAAAAUUCUUAUUUAUUCCAUAAAAAAUCCUCGUAAAGUUUCAGCUCAUUUGGAGUUGUGAAGAAUAGGUAGCCUGACGUAGCUUUUCAGAUCCAGAUUUCCAGCUCCCGAAAUUCCCCCCUUUUGUGCAUACCUUGCAUAUUAUGAGAGAAAAGGCAUUAAAAUUACUCCAAAAAGCAUUAUUAUGCAACAAAACAACAUAAAUAACAGUAGGUAAACAUGAUGCAAAAUGGAUGUCUCAUGGUGUUGCAUGAUUCUCCUACUGGUUCGAUAAUCUUGGUCUCAUUACUGAGCGAAAUACCUAUCGUUGUUGUGCUGCAUCAUCCCUUCCUCUUUGGGGAAACACCGACAUAGUUCAGCCAACAUCAAAAGGAAUUUUUGGCAGUGUUGUCGGGGAGACAUCAUCAACAUCUACUAGGUUCCUAAUCAAAAUUUUCAUCUCCUUGCAAUUUACAUUAUUUCCCAUUUGCCUCUCGCUUUCCUCUCCCCCACUUCACAAAAAAAUGUUGUUUUAUUUGCCGUCUUUUUUGUUUGUCAUUUUCUCGUCAGAUAUCUUAUUUGCUUGAACUUGUCGCCAUGACUGACUUUGGCAUGGAAGAAAUAGAUGAUGGCCUAACUCCUAAAAUUGUACGAUCUGGCAAUCUGGAUGCUAAAACUUUUGUUUUGGGGCAAGAGAAUAUUAUGGGAAAAGAACGUAUCCAAGAAUUUUUCAAUUGUGUCGGAAAUUUAACUCUCGAUGAUGCCCCUAUACUUAAAAGAACAAAAUCUUAUGAAGAAGUUAUUUCGGCACUAGUUCUGAAACUUGAAAAUAAAUUUAUUCGUACUCAUUCUACCUUGCAAAGAUUGUUCUAUGAGUUACCCAUUAUAAAGAAUCCUAAAGCUAAAAAGUUAGCCACUCUUGUUCUCAUGAAUGAAUUUGACUACAUAAUACGAGAAGCUAGGGAAAUCUUUGAUUUUUAUGGUAUGAAUCGUGAAAAACACGUGAUUGAUGAAAUUCUUUAUAGUAGUGAUUAUGCAUUAAGAUAUUUGCUUGGGAAUAAUCAAAUCUUUGAUGAGAAUCUUAAAAAGAAAGUCCCUAUUUUAGAUAUAAUCCAACAAGUUUUCAAUGAUGUUAACCAACAUUAUUCUUGGAUUGUUACUAGAAAUCAAAGUGGAUACGAUGAUAAACAACUUGAUAGUGCUAAGGUCACUAUGGAUGAAGUGUUUUAUGUUGUGUCUGCAAAACCACCUAACAAAAACACCUCCGAGUGAAAUAGAAAAAAGAUGACAACACUUAGAUCCUUUGCAUUAUGCCUAGCUAGGGGCCUAAAAAGAUAACGCUCGUUGGGAGGAAACCCAACUUGUAUCUUUUUGCUUUUUGGUUUUCUUGCUGUUUUAAAUAAAAUACCCAAUUAUGCCUCUCUUUAUAUGUGUUUUUGUGGUUUAAAUUAGUGUUUGUGCCAAGCAAAGCCUUUAGGAAAAUUUGGGUGAUAGUUGAUUUGAUCUUGUUGAAAAACAGAAACUUUUGCUAUCAGAAAAAUAAUUUUCAUAAAUCACAGGAACGUGCUUUUGCUCAGAAUUUUUAGACAAGAUUGAUAUACAAAUUUUCCACAUUGUCCUAUUUUUAAGAAUUUUUGGAGUUACAGAAGUAUACAAAGUUCCCUGAUUACUACAGACCGUUUUUUUUUUGAUAGAUUCUGUUUUCGUUGUGUUAUGUGCUUGUUUUGAUGAUUCUAUGGUUUCCUUUGAAGAGUUUUUGCCAUGGAAAAGUUAAAAUACGAUAGAUAUAAUACAAUAACAAAAUAUGAAUGGGUUUGUAGCAGUACUUAAAGUAGUGAUUUGCUUUCUUAUACUAACCGAUCUCAUGAAGGUUUUGUUGAGUUUUGUGUGAUUGAAGUUUUCAAGUUUUGGGUGAGAGUUGGCGAUGGAGAAGGGUUGGUGAUGACGAAGAUCGAAGAUACCCCUCUCCGGAGCCCCGUACGAACUCCAGAUCUUGCCUCUCAAUGAAGAACAGGAGACGGCGGUGGCUCCGUCUUGUGAAACACGAUAAUUCUUUCUUCCUAAUUUUUUUCUGGAAAAAUAGGAUUUCAUAGCAUUAGUUUCAGGGUGUGCGGGGCCACCAGGUGGAGACAACCCACCUGGGCGCGCCUGGAGGGGGUGGCGCGCCCUAGUGUGUUGUGCCCUCCUUCGGUGGUUCGUGGCGCCAGAAAUUCUCUUUUAUUGUAUAAAAAUUCCUCGCAAAGUUUCGUUCCAUUCUGAGAACUUUUAUUUCUACACAAAAACAACACCAUGGGCUGCUGAAAACAGCGUCAGUCCGGGUUAGUUUCAUUCAAAUCAUGCAAAUUAGAGUCCAAAACAAGAGGAAAAGCAUUAGGAAAAGUAGAUACGAUGAAGACGUAUCAACUCCCCCAAGCUUAAACCUUUGCUUGUCCUCAAGCAAUUCAGUUAAUAAACUGAAAGUGAAAAAGAAAACUUUUACAAACUCUUUUGCUCUUGUUUCCAUAAAUAGGCUUAAACAGCACCCAGGUUUUCAGCAAAGAUUAUAACUAACCAUGUCGACAAUAACUCUUAAAAAUUAUAUUAACUCAUAUCAAUGACAGAAUCAACUAGCAAGCAAUAAUAAGAUAUCUCAAACAGCAACACGUUGUCAAAACAACCAUGAUACAAUAUGACAAUAGUGUUAUCUCGCUAGCCCUUUCUGAGACUGCAAAACAUAAGUGCAGAGCAUCACCAAAGUUCAAGAAGCGACUAAACAUUGUAAUUCAUGGUAGAAAAGAUCCAGUCAUGAUGCACCCAACAUUAGCUACACACAAUGCAUCAGCAUGACAGCAGUGCUCUCAGGUUCUGGCGCUUAUUUGAGAAGGUGAUGACACAAUAUAAAAGUAAAUAAAUAGUCCCUUCGCAUAGGAAAGCAGUGAUUUGCAGAGGUACCAGAGCUCAAGUUUUUAAAACAGAGAUAAAUGAAAUUUUGAGACAUGCACCCUUCUUGUUUACUUCGCGACCAUCAGUUAUCAAUAUCUUCCAUGCUAAACAAAUUAGUAGCGGUUCCCAAGCGGUAAAGUAAAGGUUUUUGCUCCAUAGGAGUUUUUGUUUGAUUAUUGAUAAGUUCUUUUUGCAAUUUGGGACUGGGAAUCCCUAUUACCGCUAUUUUCUUGUGCAAUGGUCAGUGAAUAAACACCCAACCUGAGAAUACCCCGCUUAGCAUGGAAGAUACCAACUACCUCCUGUCGCUCUAUGAAAAAUCCAGGCACACAAAAAGGACAUUUGUUUGAAGCUUUUAGAGGUGGCACAUGCAAAUUUACUUAGGACGACAGCGUAAUACUGCAUAUAGGUAAGUAUGGUGGACUCAUCUGGGAAUAACUUGGGUUUCGGGUUUUUGAUGUACAAGCAGAGUUCCCACUUAGUACACGCAAAGGCUAGAAAAUAGGUUGAGAAGCGGCCAGCUAGAGAGCAACAACGGUCAUGAACAUGCAUUAUUCAUAAGUAACAUUGGAUACUACCAUGAGUAGGAUAUGAACACCAUGAACAUAAAUAUCUUAGAGGCUAUGUUGGUUUUGAUUCAACUACAUGCAUGACUAUGUGCCAAGUCAAGCCACUCGAACAUUCAGAGGAGGAUACCAUAUCAUCAUACUAAAUCACAAUCAAUUUAACGCAAUGUUGACAUCCAAGAUAAAUCAUUAUCCACUCCUAGCUACUUUAUGCAUGGCAUGAGAAACUAUAAUCUCUAAUUGUCAUUGCAAACAUGUUUGAUCAUAAUAGGCUGAAUCAUGGAUACUAGGUUAAACAUAUUUACAAAAAUAGAACAAAUCAAGUUCAUACUUGUUUCUCUCUGCCACAGCCAGUUCAUCGAAUAUCGUCAUUAUUGCCUUUCACUUGCACGACCGAACGAUUUGAAAGUAAUAAUAGUGCAAGGGUGUCCUGGACUAAGCUGGAAUCUGCAAACAUUUUAUUCAAAAGGAGAAGACAAGGUAAUGUGGGCUCUUUGACAGAUCAAGAAAAAUGCAUAUGAGAGCCACUCAACAUUUUCAUCAUGGUCUUCUCCUCGGUAUGACUCAAAAAGAAAAGAAAUUCAGAGAAACACAAUGAAAUAUUUUUGGAGUUUUUGGUUUUUCAUAAAAAAGAAAAUAAAAAGAGAAAAGCAAAAACUAGAAAAACUAUUUACACAGGCAAGCUCCCAACAAGAAAAAAAGAAAAAGGAAAUCUUUUUGGGGUUUCUUUUUAGUGCUACAACAAUUUAAACUAGGAAGAAAAAUCAAAAAGAAGCAAGAAACAUGUUUUUGGAUUUUCUCUAAGUUUUUCAAACAGACAAGAAGAAAGUGAGAAAACAAAUUUAACAUGGAUAAUACAAUGAAAAAGUGUGAACACCGACAACUGGAAUGAAAUGUGUGAACAUGAAUGUAAUGUCGAUGGAAAUACGUACUCCCCCAAACUUAGGCUUUUGGCCUAACUUGGUAAUCACCAGUCGUAGAAACCGUGAGGUCCAAUGUUGAAGUGUUGGGGAGUAGGCACCUGAGGGUCCCACUGCCGAGGCUCCUCCUGUGCCAUAGCCAGGUUGUUUCGGUAAGUGACAAUGUCCUCAGGCAUAAUCCUAUAUCCGCCCCUUGCAACAUGAUCAAACAAAGCAGUUCCAGGAAGUGGCAUAAUAUCACGAGUUUUCACACUGAAAACUAAGUUGUAAGGAAUAUCAAUGUUAGGGUAAUCAGUAGCAAUAAACAGGUGGCCUUCCAUAGCCAAUCGAUCUAGGUAAACCUUGGCCAAACGAUGGUCAUUCUGGCGUAUCUGCACGUUAAAGUGAGUCGCCAACCGAGUAGCGUAAAUACCCCCAUGUAUUUUUACCCUUAGAUCCGUUAAGGUCAAGGCGACGUGCCACAAUAGCUCCCAAGCUAUAAUUGUUGUCGACAUAAAGUGCGCAAUGCAAAAUAGCAAAGUCUGGGACGCUAAGUGCACCUACCUUCUCUCUAGCAAGUAAGCAUUUUGCAAUAGAUAUAGCAAAAUAAUGUAUAGCAGGGAAAUGCAAGCUAGCAGCGGUGGUACUUGAUACUCCUCUCUCAUCCCCCACCGUUAGAGUACGGUAAAAACCCUCAAACUCCGUGGGCCUAGGCUCUACAAAAUCACCAUCAAAAGGAAGCAUGCAUAUGUCACAAAAUUCAGUAAGUGGUAUAUGGUGAUUUUCAGCAUAUAAAUUGAAUGACACCUAAGGGAGAUUAUUCCUAGAAUGGACAUGAAAAUUUUGCACAAAGGAAUUUGUGAGGAGAUGAUACUGUUCACACUGAGGUGCGAUGAAGUCGGUGAGUCCGGCAUUAGUAGCAUAUUGUGUGAACUCUUGAAGGAUUCCAGCCCCUUCCAUGAACGAAUUAUGCGUCCACUCGCACGUACGGCCGUAACUCCGCCAACCUCCAAGUAUGGAGAUCAUUGUCAGACGACUCCCCACUCCCUUGGAGUUCUUCUUGAAAGCAAACUUCCUAAAGAAACUCAUAUUUUUCCUAUGAACAAAAUUUUGAAAAAUUUAGUCCACGAAAUUUUUCUCAACAAAACUUUACAAAAAUGAUAGCAACUACUCAUAGGGAUGUAUAGAGGUCAUAGCAAGCAUUCAAACUACUUAGAACUCUAAGAGUUCAACAUGCAAGCUUAUCUACAUCAGCACCAAGAGUAGCUAAUGAUGUCUACUACACAACCUUCUUCUUGUAGACGUUGUUGGGCCUCCAAGUGCAGAGGUUUGUAGGACAAUAGCAAAUUUCCCUCAAGUGGAUGACCUAAGGUUUAUCAGUCCGUAGGAGGCAUAGGAUGAAGAUGGUCUCUCUCAAACAACCCUGCAACCAAAUAACAGAGGGUCUCUCGUGUCCCCAACACACCCAAUACAAUGGUAAAUUGUAUAGGUGCACUAGUUCGACGAAGAGAUGGUGAUACAAGUGCAAUAUGGAUGGUAGAUAUAGGUAUUUGUAAUCUGAAAUUAUAAAAACAGCAAGGUAACUAAUGAUAAAAGUGAGCGUAAACGGUAUUGCAAUGGUAGGAAACAAGGCAUAGGGUUCAUACUUUCACUAGUGCAAGUUCUCUCAACAAUAAUAACAUAACUAGAUCAUAUAACUAUCCCUCAACAUGCAACAAAGAGUCACUCCAAAGUCACUAAUAGCAGAGAGCAAACGAAGAGAUUAUGGUAGGGUACGAAACCACCUCCAAAGUCACUAAUUAUUCAAGAGUCUGUAGUAAAAUAACAUGAAGCUAUUCUUUCCGUUCAAUCUAUCAUAGAGUUCAUACUAGAAUAACACCUUAAGACACAAAUCAACCAAAACCCUAAUGUCACCUAGAUACUCCAUUUUCACCUCAAGUAUCCGUGGGCAUGAUUAUACGAUAUGCAUCACACAAUCUCAGAUUCAUCUAUUCAACCAACACAAAGUACUUCAAAGAGUGCCCCAAGGUUUCUACCGGAGAGACAAGACGAAAACGUGUGCCAACCCCUAUGCAUAGGUUCAUGGGCGGAACCCGCAAGUUGAUCACCAAAACAUACAUCAAGUAGAUCACGUGAAUAUCCCAUUAUCACCAUAGAUAAGCACGGCAAGACAUACAUCAAGUGUUCUCAAAUCCUUAAAGACUCAAUCCGAUAAGAUAACUUCAAGAGGAAAACUCAAUUCAUCACAAGAGAGUAAAGGGGGAGAAACAUCAUAAGAUCCAACUAUAAUAGCAAAGCUCGCGAUACAUCAAGAUCGUGCCAUAGAGAGAACACGAGACAGAGAGAGAGAGAGAGAGAGAGAGAGAGAUCAAACACAUAGCUACUGGUACAUACCCUCAGCCCCGAGGGUGAACUACUCCCUCCUCGUCAUGGAGAGUGCCAGGAUGAUGAAGAUGGCCACCGGUGAGGGAUCCCCCCUCCGGCAGGGUGCCGGAACGGGCUCCCGAGAGGUUUUUGGUGGCUAUAGAGGCUUGCGGCGGCAGAACUCCCAAUCUAUAUUCGUAUUCGAUGGUUUUAUGGUAUAAGGGAAUAUAUAGGCGAAAGAAUUCGGUCGGGGAGCCACGAGGGGCCCACGAGACAGGGGGCGCGCCCAGGGGGUGGGCGCGUCCUCCUAUCUCCUGGCCUCCUCGAAGCUUCCCUGGCUUGUACUCCAAGUAUCCUGGAUCAUGUUCGUUCCAAAAAUCACGCUCCCGAAGGUUUCAUUCCGUUUGGACUCCGUUUGAUAUUCCUUUUCUUUGAAAUACUAAAACAGGCAAUAAAACAGUAAUAUGGGUUGGGCCUCUAGUUAGUAGGUUAGUUCCAAAAGUAAUAUAAAAGUGUAUAAUAAAGCCCUUAAUCAUUCAAAACAGAUAAUAAAAUAGCAUGAAUGCUUCAUAAAUUAUAGAUACGUUGGAGACGUAUCAGCUAAUUAUUCAAAAUAUAAACCACUAAAGCAAAAACUAAUUGAACACAUGGAGGAGUCACAUACCAAGCAACAAUUCCUUGAAACAGUUUUGGAAAUGGAGCUUCGAGCAAAGAGAUUGAAAUCCGCGGUUUCGGGAGCAAGAAUGCGCGAGAGAGAGCAAUGGUGAUUUUUUCUGGAGGAAUGUGGUGAUGUGGGAAGAAGAAGUAAGUGAGGGGGACCACAUGGGGACCACAACUCACCAGGGCAUGCCUGGGGGUCCUGGUGCGUCCAGGUGGGUUGUGCCCACCUGGUGCACCUCCCUCUGAUAUUAUUUGCACCUGAAAUUCCGAAAUAUUCAUAAAAAACAUAUUAAAUUUUCAGAGCAUUCUGAGAACUUUUAUUUUUGGGUCAUUUUUUAUUGCACGGAAAACUCAGAAAACAGACAAAGCAUGGCAUUUUAUUUUAUUUAACUAAGAAAAACAGAAAACAAAAGGUAGGGACAUAAGGUAGUGCUCACUAAAUUCAUCAGCUUCAUACCUCUCAAAAAUGAUCCAUUAAUAAGGUUGAUCAAGUCAUAUUAACAACCACUUCCGAUUAAUAUGAAACCAAAGAACUUUCAUAAAUCACUAAGUUACCUCAACGGGAUAUGAAUGUCCCCAACAAUAAGCAUUUCAUAUUUCUUUUUAACAGUAGGUAGAGGUAGUUGGAAACUCCCAAUAGUGAUUAUCGGAGAUUUUUCAAUAACAUCAAUACCAUUCAGUUGGAAUUGUUUCUUCAGAAAGUGCACCGUAUGCUCAUUACCAUUAAUAUGAAAAGUGAUCUUGCUUUUAUUGCAAUCAAUAACAGCCCCUGCAGUAUUCAAGAAGGUUCUACCAAGGAUAAUCGACAUGUUGUCAUCCUCGGGCAUCUCAAGUGUAACAAAGUCAGUCAAAAUAGUAACAUUAGCAACAACAACGGGCACAUCCUCACAAAUACCAAUAGGUAUGGCAGUUGAUUUGUCAGCCAUUUGCAAAGAUAUUUCAGUAGUUGUGAGUUUAGUCAAAUCAAGUCUUUUAUAUAAAGAGAAACGCAUAACACUAACACCAGCUCCCAAAUCACAUAAAGUAGUUUUAACAUAGUUUCUUUUAAUGGAGCAAGGUAUGCUUGGUAUUCCCGGAUCUCCAAGUUUUUUAGGUACUCCAUAUUUAAAAGUAUAAUUAGCAAGCAUGGUGGAGAUUUCAACUUCCGGUAUUUUUCUCUUAUUGGUGAUGAUGUCUUUCAUGUACUUUGCAUAAGGAGGCAUUUUUAAGAUAUCAGUCAAGCGGGUACGCAAAAAGACUGGCCUCAGCAUUUCAGCAAAGCGUUCAAAUUCUUCAUCAUCUUUCUUCUUAGUUGACGUAGGUGGAAAGGGCAUAGGUUUUGAACCCAUGGCUCUCUUUCCUUACCAUGUUAUCUAGCAACAAAGUCUAUUUUAUCAUAUAUUUUAUUCUUGGGUUGUGGGUCUUCAAGAUCAACAGCUCGUUCUAUCUCAACAUCAUUGUCUGAUUCUUUAUUAUUCAUUUGAGUUUCUUCAUGAACCUCACCAUUAUAUUUUUCAUUAUCAGAAGGUGAGUGUUCACUACCAGGUUGAGUAUCAACAUCAGAGAUAGAAACUUCAUUAUCAUUAUUAGGAGGUUUUUCUACUUCAGGUUCAUUAGAGGCAUGCAAAGUCCUAUCAUUUUUCUUCUUCCUUUUCUUCUUAGAAGGACUAGGUGCAUCAGUGUUAAUUCUUUGAGAGUCUUGUUCAAUUAUUUUUGGGUGUCCCUCAGGAUAAAGUGGUUCCUGAGUCAUUUUACCUCCUCUAGUUGCUACUCUAACAACAAAGUCACUUAUAUUAUUGUUCAUUUCAUCAAGCAACUCUCUUUGAGACUUAGCAGCUUGUUCUAAUUGAGUUUGAACCAUAGAGGCAUGCUUUCCUACACCUCUAACAUAUCGGGCUAGUUCUAGUAGGUGUUUCAAGAUUUUCAGUUUCAAGCUCAUCAUCGGUUUCAACAAUAUCAUGCUCUCUUACUCUAGCAAUUUAUUCAUCAAGAAAUUCACCUAGUGGCACAUCAUCGUCAAGCAAGGUACUAGCAUCAUCAUGAGUAGCAUUCAUAGCAGAAGUAGCAUCAUCAACAACUUGCGACAUAUAAGAAUUAAUAGCAUGUGGUGGUGUUGCAAGUUUACUUAUAACAGAAGGUGAAUCUAAAGCGGAGCUGGAUGGCAGUUCCUUCCCUCCCCUCGUCUUAGAGGGAAAAAUCUUAGUCUUACCAUCCUUCAGAUUCUUCAUAGUGAUAAUAUGAUAAUGAUCCCAAGUGAGUCAACAAAUAUAGCUAUGCUCCCCAGCAAUGGUGCCAGAAAAAGGUCUUGAUAACCCACAAGUAUAUGGGAUCGCAACAGUUUUCAAGGGUAGAGUAUUCAACCCAAAUUUAUAGAUUCGACACAAGGGGAGCCAAAGAAUUUUUGCAAGUAUUAGCAGCAGAGUUGUCGAUUCAAACACACCUGGAGAUCAAUUAUCUGCAGCAAAGUGAUCAGUAGCACAAUAAUAUGAUAGUUUUGGUAAUAGUGGUAGCAGCAAUAGUAACGGUAACAGUGAUAGCAAUGGUUUGUAGCAGUAACGAUAGCAGUAGCAACAGUAGUAACUUAGCAAGAAUGAUAUAAGGUAAAUUCGUAGGCAUUGGAUUGGUGAUUCAUUGGAUGAUAUUCAUCAUCAGACAGCCAUAACCUAGGGCGAUACGGCACUAGCUCCAGUUCAUAAAUAUAAUGUAGGCAUGUAUUAUGUAAAUAGUCAUACGUUCUUAUGGAAAGAACUUGCAUGACAUCUUUUGUCCUACCCUCCCGUGGCAGCGGGGUCCUAUUGGAAACUAAGGGAUAUUAAGGCCUCCUUUUAAUAGAGUACCGGACCAAAGCAUCAGCACACGGUGAAUACAUGAACUCCUCAAACUACGGUCAUCACUGGGAGUGGUCCCGACUAUUGUCACUCUAGGGUUGCCGGAUCAUAACAUGUAGUAGGUGACUAUAAUUUGCAAGAUCGGAUCUAGAACAUGGAUAUAAUAGUGAUAACACAAACGGUUCAGAUGUAAAAUCAUGGCACCCUGGCCCAAAGUGACAAGCAUUAAGCAUAGCAAAGUCAUAGCAACAUCAAUCUCAGAACAUAGUGGAUACUAGGGAUCAGGCCCUAACAAAACUAACUCGAUUACAUGAUGAAUCUCAUCCAACUCCUCAACGACCAGCGAGCCUACGAAGGAAUUACUCACUCCCGGUGGGGAGCAUCAUGGAAUUGGCAAUGGGGAAGGGUUGGUGAUGAUGAAGAUCGAAGAUCCCCCUCUCCGGAGCCCCAAAAGGACUCCAGAGUUGGCCUCCCGAUAAAGAACAUGAGACGGCGGCGGCUCCAUCUCGUGAAACGUGAUAAUUCUUUCUCCCCGAUUUUUUUCUGGAAAAAUAGGAUUUUAUAGCGUUGGUUCAGGGUCUGCGGGGCCACCAGGUGGGGACAACCCACCUAGGUGUGCCUGGAGGGGGUGGCGCGCCCUGGUGGGUUGUGCCCACCUAGGUGCCCUUCUCCAGUGGUUCUUGGCUCCAGAAAUUCUCUUUUAUUGUAUAAAAAUUCCUCACAAAGUUUCGUUCCAUUCCGAGAACUUUUAUUUCUGCACAAAAACAACACCAUGGUAGUUCUGCUGAAAACAACCUCGGUUCGGGUUAGUUUCAUUCAAAUCAUGCAAAUUACAGUCCAAAAGAAUAGGAAAAGCGUUAGGAAAAGUAGAUAUGAUGGAGAUGUAUCAAUGGGCUAGGGGUAACUUGCUUUAGUGUUGAUAUUUUGAAAGACAUGGUUGCUUGUUGAUAUGCUUGAGUAUUAAAGUCCUCAUGUCAAAACUAGACUAUUGCUUUGAACCAUAUAAAAGUCCAAAUGUCCAUGCUACAAAGAAAAGAAUGUGUGAUGAAAAUGUUAGGCAGCAUUCCACAUCAAAAAUUUUGUUUUUAUCAUUUACCUACUCGAGGACGAGCAGGAAUUAAGCUUGGGGAUGCUGAUACGUCUCCAGCGUAUCUAUAAUUUUUGAUUGUUUCAUGCUGUUAUAUUAUCAUUCUUGGAUGUUUUACAAUCAUUUCAUAGCAACUUUAUAUCAUUUUUUGGGACUAACCUAUUGACAUAGUGCCCAGUGCCAGUUGUUGUUUUCUGCUUGUUUUUACAUCAUAGGAAAUCAAUACCAAACGGAGUCCAAAUGCAGCGAAACUUUUUGUGGAUUUUUUUGGACCAGAAGACAUCUAGUGGGCCAAAGAAGUACCGAAGAGGGGGGCCGAGUUGAGCACAAGACACCAGGGCACGCCUGGAGGCCCAUGCGCACCCUGAUGGGUUGUGCCCACCUCUGUGGCCUCCCGCACCGCCUCUUUGCUCUAUAAUACCCCAAUAUUCCAGAAACCCUAGGGGAGUCGACAAAAAUCAAUUCCAGCCGCCGCAAGUUCCAGAACCACCAGAUCCAAUCUAAACAUCAUCACGGAGGGGUUCAUCAUCCUCAUUGGUGCCUCUCCGAUGAUGCGUGAGUAGUUCAUUGUAGACCUAUGAGUCUGUAGUUAGUAGCUAGAUGGCUUCCUCUAUCUCUCUUGAUUCUCAGAUCUAUUUGAUGUAACUCUUUUUGCGAUGUGUUUGUUGGGAUCCCCCGAUGAUCUAUUUGAUGUAACUCUUUAUCCAUGAAAAUUAUUUGAGUCUUUUUUAUCUCUUAUAUGCAUGAUUACUUAUAGCCUCGUAUUUCUUCUUCGAAUCUUUGGUUUAGUUAGGCCAACUAGAUCGAUUUUUCUUGCCAUAGGAAGAGUUGUGUUGUGAUGUGUUCGAUCUUACGGUGCUUGAUCCCAGUGAAAGAAGGGGAACCGACACGUAUGUAUCGUUGCUAUUAAGGAUAACAAGAUGGGGUCUAUUAUUACAUAAAUAGAUCUUGUCAACAUCAUGUCAUCGUUCUUGUUGCAUUACUCCAUUUCUCCAUGAACUUAAUACACUAGAUGCAUGCUGGAUAGUGGUUGAUGUGUGGAGUAAUAGUAGUAGAUGCAGGCAGAAAUCGGUCUACUAAUCUUGGACGUGAUGCCUAUAUAAUGAUCAUUGCUUGGAUAUCGUCAUGAUUAUUUGAAGUUCUAUUAAUUGCCCAACAGUAAUUUGUUCACCCAUCGUAUGCUAUUUUUCUGGAGAGAAGCUACUAGUGAAAUCUACGACCACCGGGUCUCUUCUUAUCAUGUUUGCAUUCGAGAUCUAUUUUUAUUUGCUUUUAUUUUCAAAUCUAUUAAUCCAAAAAUACAAAAAUACCUUGCUGCAAUUUUUAUUUAAUUAUUUUAUCUUGCAUUCCCACGAGAUCUAUUUAUCCAAACUACUACAAUUUUACCUAUCUUUUUACCCCUGAGGGGUUGACAACCCCUCUCUUACGUCGGGUUGCAAGUAUUUGUUCUUUGUGUGCAGGAGCUGUUUACGUGGUGUUGCAUGGUUCUCCUACUGGUUUGAUAACCUUGGUCUCAUCACUAAGGGAAAUACCUACCGUUGUUGUGCUGCAUCAUCCCUUCCUCUUUGGGGAAAUACCCACGUAGUUCAAGCCAACAUCAAAUGUCACUCGGAAAGGACACCGCAAGAUUGAACCCAAAGCUAAGCACGUAUCCCAUUGCAAGAAAAACCAAUCUAGUUGGCCAAACUAAACUGAUAGUUCUAAGAGAAUUACAAAGAUAUCAAAUCAUGCAUAUAAGAAUUCAGAGAAGAUUCAAAUAAUAUUUAUAGAUAAGCUGAUCAUAAAUCCACAAUUCAUCGGAUCUCGACAAACACCGCAAAAUAAGAUUGCAUUUAAUAGAUCUCAAAGAACAUCGAGGAGAACAUGGUAUUGAGAAUCAAAGAGAGAGAAGAAGCCAUCUAGCUACUAGCUAUGGACCCGUAUGUCUGAGGUAAACUACUCACGCUUCAUCGGAAGGGCAAUAGAGUUGAUGUAGAAGCUCGCCGUGAUCGAAUCCCCUCCGAUAGGAUGCCGAAAAAGGCCCCUAGAAGGGAUCUCAUGGGUAAAGAAGGUUGCGGCGGUGGAAAAGUGUUUUCCUGGAUGCUUCUGGCAGUUUGGGGAUAUUUGUGAAUAUAUAGGACGAAGAAGUAGGUCGGUGGCCGCCUCGUGGCUCUUCCGACUUGAUCUCCAAUCUCCUGGGUGUCUUUUGGUCCAAGAAAAUUCAUCGCGAAGGUUUUGUUCCGUUUGGAUCCGUUUGGUAUUCCUUCUCUGUGAAGCUCAAAAACAAGGAAAAAACUGAAACUGGCACUGGGCUCUAGGUUAAUAGGUUAGUCCCAAAAAUAAUAUAAAAUAGCAUAUUAAUGCAUAUAAAACAUCCAAAACAGAUAAUAUAAUAGCAUGGAACAAUCAAAUGUAUCAAGCAUCCCGAAGCUUGAUUCCUGCUCGUCCUCGAGUAGGUAAAUGAUAAAAAACAGAAUUUUUGGUGUGGAAUGCUACCUAACAUAUUUAUCCAUGUAAUUUUUCUUUAUUGUGGUAUGAAUGUUCAGAUCCAUAAUAUUCAAAAGAAAAGUUUAAUAUAGACAUAAAAAACAACAAUACUUCAAGCAUACUAACAAGGCAAUUAUGUCUUCUCAAAAUAACAUGGCCAAAGAAAGUUAUCCCUACAAAAUCAUAUAGUCUAGCUAUGCUCCAUCUUCAUCACACAAAAUAUUCAAAUCAUGCACAACCCCGAUGACAAGCCAAGCAACUGUUUCAUACUUUUUGUGUUCUCAAACCUUUUCAACUUUCACGCAAUACAUGAGCGUGAGUCAUGGACAUAGCACUAUAGGUGGAAUAGAAUAUGGUGGUUGUGGACAAGACAAAAAAGAGGGAGAUAGUACCACAUCAACUAGGUGUAUCAACGGGCUAUGGAGAUGUCCAUCAAUAGAUAUCAAUGUAGGCGCUUCCAACUCCCGGUUCAGGGUCUGAGUGAGUGGAUAGGGAUUACCAUGCAACUGAUGCACUAGAGCUAUAAGUUUAUGAAAGCUCAAAAAGAAAAACUAAGUGGGUGUGCAUCCAACUUGCUUGCUCAUGAAGACCUAGGGCGAAUUGAGGAAACCCAUCGUUGGAAUAUACAAGCCAACUUCUAUAAUGAAAAAUUCCCACUAAUAUAUGAAAAUGACAAAAUAGGAGACUCUCUAUCAUGAAGAUCAUGCUGCUACUUUGAAGCACAAGUGCGAAAAAGGAUAAAAACAUUGCCGCUUCUCUCUUUUCUUCUCUUUUUUUUCUUUUUUUUUCUUUCUUUUUUUGUUUGGCUUCUUUGGCCUCUGCUUUUUUCCCUCACAUGGGACAAUGCUCUAAUAAUGAUGAUCAAACAAAAAUAUGACUCUAUAUGAAUGCCUCCGGCGGUGUACCGGGAUGUGCAAUGACUCAAGAGUGACAUGUAUGAAAGAAUUAUGAAAGGUGGCUUUGCCACAAAUAUGAUGUCAACUACAUGACCAUGCAAAGCAAUAUGACAAUGAUGAAGCGUGUCAUAAUAAAUGGAACGUUAGAAAGGUGCAUGGCAAUAUAUCUCGGAAUGGCUAUGGAAAUGCCAUAAUAGGUAGGUAUGGUGGCUGUUUUGAGGAAGGUAUAUGGUGGGUGUAUGGUACCAAAGAAAAUUGCGCGGUACUAGAGAGGCUAGCAAUGGUGGAAGGGUGAGAGUGUGUAUAAUCCAUGGACUCAACAUUAGUCAUAAAGAACUCAGAUACUUAUUGCAAAAAUAUAUUAGUCAUCAAAACAAAGUAAUACGCGCAUGCUCCUAGGGGGAUAGAUAGGUAGGAAAAGACCAUCGCUCGUCCCCGACUGCCACUCAUAAGGAAUACAAUCAAUAAAUACCUCAUGCUCCGACUUCAUUACAUAACGUUUCACCAUACGUGCAUGCUACGGAAAUCACAAACCUCAACACAAGUAUUUCUCCAAUUCACAAUUACUCACUAGCGUGACUCUAAUAUCAACAUCUUUAUAUCUCAAAACAAUCAUAAGGAAUCAAACUUCUCAUAGUAUUCAAUGCACUUUAUAUGAGAGUUUUUUAUUAUAUCCUUCUUGGAUGCCUAUCAUAUUAGGACUAAAUUUAUAACCAAAGAAAAUUACCAUGCUCUUUAAAAAGACUCUCAAAAUAAUAUAAGUGAAGCAUGAGAGUUCAAUUCUAUAAAAUAAAACCACCGUUGUGCUCUAAAAAGAUAUAAGUGAAGCACUAGAGCAAUAUUGCCUAGCUCAAAAGAUACAAGAGAAGCACAUAGAGUAUUCUAAUAAAUCACGAUUCAUGUGUGUCCCUCUUAAAAGGUGUGUACAGCAAGGAUGAUUGUAGCAAACUAAAAAUCAAAGACUCAUAUCAUACAAGACGCUCCAAGCGAAACACAUAUCAUGUGGUGAAUAAAAAUAUAGCCUCAAGUAAAGUUACCGAUAAACGAAGACGAAAGAGGGUAUGCCUUCCGGGGCAUCCCCAAGCUUAGGCUCUUGGUUGUCCUUGAAUAUUACCUUGGGGUGCCUUGGGAAUCCCCAACCUUAGGCUCUUUCCACUCCUUAUUCCAUAGUCCAUCAAAUCCUUACCCAAAAUUUGAAAACUUCACAACACAAAACUCAACAGAAAAUCUCAUAAGCUCCGUUAGUAGAAGAAAUAAAUCACCACUUUUCGUACUGUUGUGAACUCAUUAUUUAUUUAUAUUGGUGUAAUAUCUAAUGUAUUCCAACUUUUCCAUGGUUCAUACCCCCCGAUACUACCCAUAUAUUCAUCAAAAUAAGCAAACAACACAUAGAAAAUAGAAUCUGUCAAAAACAGAACAGUCAGUAGAAAUCUGGAAACUUAGAAUACUUAUGUAACUCCAAAAAUUCUGAAAAAUUAGGGCAACUUGGGAAAUUUUUGUACCAAUCUUUUGCAAAAGAAUCAGAUCAAAAGCACUGUUCUAUUAAUUAUGAAAAUUAUUUUCCGGGGUGCAAAACUUUCUGUUUUUCAGCAAGAUCAAAACAACUAUCACCGUAAGCCAUCCCAAAGGUCUUACUUGGCACAAACACUAAUUAAAACACAAAACAACAUCUAACCAGAGGCUAGAUGAAUUAUUCAAAGCAAAACAGGAGACAAAAAAGCAAAAACAAAAAAUAAAAUUGGGUUGCCUCCCAACAAGCGCUAUUGUUUAAUGCCCUUAGCUAGGCAUAAAAACAUGAAUAGAUCUAGGUAUUGUCAGCUUUGGUCUUUACCCUUUUAAUGGAGUUAUGUUCAAAUCCAGGAGGUUCCUUGCGUUUCUCCUCAUAUUCAGAAAUAUUUAAGUCAUGAGCAUCCAAUCGCUUAUUGCAAAGAGUAAUCAACAUAUUCAUGUGGUGGAUGUUCCCACUAACAUUUUUGAGGGGUUCAAGAGAUUUUGCAAAAAACUUGUCACUUCACAUAGUUUCUCGAAAACUUGAGUUCCCUCUUGAGUGUGAGGUAAUCCCUUUUGUGGGGGUGAUAUUCCAAGUACCCCUUCUAUUAUCUCAUAAGCAAUGUUGGGAUCAAUUUCAAUAAAAUUUCCUUUUGUAGCAAAUCCAAGAGUUGCCUAUGUUGGAGCAGCCAGAGGAGGAAGAAGAUUCUCACACACGCAAGAUAGAUGAACACAAGUCUAGAGGUUGAAGAAGAUACACACAGAGACUCUUGGCACACACAACUUUGCCUUUUCUCUAUUUCUUUUCACACCUGACACAAUGCAAAUACAUGGGCUUAAGUAGCCAGUGUUACACGGCCAACACGCGGCCACUCACCCACUAACUCCAUGCACACAGACACACAUACAAACCCCACAACUACUUCCGACUCUUAUCAACCGGCUAGCUUCACUUUGAGUAGCAACCAAGUCUGCAGAACGUUGGAUAUGCACACACAGGACCAAGCCACAACUGAUUGCUCCCGAUUCUUUCUCCUCGUCGAUCUGCCACGCGACUCAGCCGCUCCGGCUCCGCAGCGAACGCAGCUAGCUUCCUAACACAUCCAUGCAGAUAGACUACUUGCUAAUGCAACAGCACAUACACACAUUUGUGCCAUACACACGACGCCAUGUGACGCUCACAACUUGACAUGAUUAACCUGUCGUGCUCAAGUGCAUCUUCCCUAAUCUAUAUGCAUUUAUUUUCUACUCCCUCCAUCCCAUAAUGUAAGACGCUUUUUAAAACUAAAUGUAAUUUUAAAAAAUGUCUUACAUUAUGGGACGGAGGGAGUAAUUGUCUAACCCAGUACUAGCUUGCAUGUACACAUGAUCUCAUCUUCACGCGACUACAUGGCCGCAGCUAAGUUGGUUGGACAUGACUACGUGCAUGAAUGAACUAAUGCGAUGAAAUAAACAUGAUGAAUACCUAGACGACAAGGUUUACUCUAUCAAUCACCCACUUAACCUUGUUGUCGUAAAUUCGAACACCUUCAUGUCGAUCUUCAAAGCAGCCUCGGCUCGGUGGUGGCGGUCGCGGAGGCGAGGUGGGCCUUCUCCUUCCUGGGCGCGGUGCACUCCCUCGAGAAAUGCCUAUAGUCUUGGCAGUUGUAGCAACGGACCUUGCGGAUGUCAAAGUUGCUCCUCCUCUUUCCAGCACCGCCGCGUUUCUUGGAGCGAGCAAACCACUCCUCCUCCGUGAGGAGCAGCUGAGUGCCGCUGUUGCUGCUACCUGCCUCAUCCAUGUCGAAGCUCUCCACCACGGCCAAGAAGCGACCCCUAAGCUCUUCAAUCAUCAAGGUCUUGAGGUCGAGUAGUGACUGGAUGGAGUGGGCAAGCUGCCGGUAGUGUUGUAGCAUGCAGCGGAGAAACUUGAGCAUCGCCUUGUGCUCAGUGAUGCCGUCGCCGAGGGCCUCGAGGUUGUUGAUGAUGCCGGUGAGGCGGACAACGAACUCCUCCAUCCUCUCGCCAUCCUUGAACCGGAGAUUCUUGAACUCCAAUCGACGCGUCUGCGCCCGGGCUUCGCAGACGUGCUCGGACCCCAUCCUCAAGGUCUUGAGGGCAUCCCAAGCCUCCUUCGCCGAGUCCUUCGCAGCCAAGGAGUGCAACAUCUCUGGCGGCAUGCUACCUCUUGAGCACUACGUUGGUUUUCCCUUGAUGAGGAAAGGGUGAUGCAGCAAAGUAGCGGAAGUAUUUCCCUCAGUUUUUGAGAACCAAGGUAUCAAUCCAGUAGGAGGCUCCACAGAAGUCCCUCGUACCUACACAAACAAACAAGAACCUCGCAACCAACGCGAUAAAGGGGUUGUCAAUCCCUUCACAGUAACUUGCGAAAGUGAGAUCUGAUAGAGAUAAUAAGAUAAGAUAAAUAUUUUUGGUGUUUUUAUGAUAUAGAUUGAAAUGUAAAGAUGCAAAUAAAAGUAGAUCGGAAACUUAUAUGAUAAAGGAUAGACCCGGGGGCCAUAGGUUUUACUGGUGGCUUCUCUCAAGAUAGAAUAAGUAUUACGGUGGGUGAACAAAUUACUGUUAAGCAAUUGAUAGAAAAGUGCAUAGUUAUGAGAUUAUCUAGGCAUGAUCAUGUAUAUAGGCAUCACGUCCGCAACCAGUAGACCGAAACGAUUCUGCAUCUACUACUAUUACUCCACACAUCGACCGACUCCUGCCUGCAUCUAGAGUAUUAAGUUCAUAAGAAUAGAGUAAUGCAUUAAGAAAGAUGACAUGAUGUAGAGGGAUAAACUCAAGCAAUAUGAUAUGAACCCCAUCUUUUUAUCCUCGAUGGCAAAAAUACAAUACGUGCCUUGCUGCCCCUGCUGUCACUGGGAAAGGACACCGCAAAAUUGAACCCAAAGCUAAGCACUUCUACCAUUGCAAGAAAGAUCAAUCUAGUAGGCCAAACCAAACUGAUAAUUCGAAGAGACUUGCAAAGAUAACCAAUCACACAUAAAAGAAUUCAGAGGAGAUUCAAAUAUUUCUCAUGGAUAAACUUGAUCAUAAACCCACAAUUCAUCGGAUCUCGAUAAACACACCGCAAAAAGAGUUACAUCGAAUAGAUCUCCAAGAAGAUUGAGGAGAACUUUGUAUUGAGAUUCAAAGAGAGAGAAGAAGCCAUCUAGCUAAUAACUAUGGACCCAAAGGUCUGUGGUAAACUACUCACAACUCAUUGGAGAGGCCUUGGAGAUGAUGUAAAGGCCCUCCGCGGUCAAUUCCCCCUCUGGCAGAGUGCCGGCAAAGGCUCCAAGCUGGGAUCUCGCGGAUACAGAAGGUUGCGGCGGUGGAAAUAGUUUUUCAUGGUGCUCCUGGAUGUUUUUGGGCUACAUAGAUAUAUAUAGGCGAAGGAGGUAGGUCAGGGGAGCCACGAGGGGCCCAUGAGGGUGGGGGGCACGCCUACCCCCCUAGGGCACGCCCUCCUGCCUCGUGGCCACCUCGGCUGCUUCUUGAUGUCCACUCCAAGUCUCCUGGAUUGCGUUUGUUCCAAAAAGAUCGCUCCCGAAGGUUUCAUUCCGUUUGGACUCCGUUUGAUAUUCCUUUUCUUCGAAACACUGAAAUAGGCAAAAAAAACAUCAAUUCAGGUUGGGCCUCCGGUUAGUAGGUUAGUCCCAAAAAUCAUAUAAAAGUGUAAAGUAAAGCCCAUAAACAUCCAAAACGGGUAAUAUAAUAGCAUGGAACAAUAAAAAAUUAUAGAUACGUUGGAGACGUAUCAAGCAUCCCCAAGCUUAAUUCCUGCUCGUCCUCGAGUAGGUAAAUGAUAAAAACAGAAUUUUUGAUGUGGAAUGCUACCUAGCAUAAUUCUCAAUGUAAUUUUAUUUAUUGUGGCAUGAAUGUUCAGAUCCAAAUGAUUCAAGAUAAAAGUUCAUAUUGACAUAAAAACAAUAAUACUUCAAACAUACUAACAAAGCAAUCAUGUCUUCUCAAAAUAUCAUGGCUAAAGAAAGCUAUCCCUACAAAAUCAUAUAGUCUGGCUAUGCUCUAUGUUCAUCACACAAAGUAUUUAAUCAUGCACAACCCCGAUGACAAGCCAAGCAAUUGUUUCAUACUUUUAUGUUCUCAAGCUUUUUCAACUUUCACGCAAUACAUGAGCGUGAGCCAUGGACAUAGCACUAUAUGUGGAAUAGAAUGGUGGUUGUGGAGAAGACAAAAAGGAGAAGAUAGUCUCACAUCAACUAGGCGUAUCAACGGGCUAUGGAGAUGCUCAUUGAUAGAUAUCAAUGUGAGUGAGUAGGGAUUGCCAUGCAACGGAUGCACUAGAGAUAUAAGUGUAUGAAAUCUCAACAAAAGAAACUAAGUGGGUGUGCAUCCAACUUGCUUGCUCACGAAGACCUAGGGCAUUUUGAGGAAGCCCAUCAUUGGAAUAUACAAGCCAAGUUCUAUAAUGAAAAAUUCCCACUAGUAUAUGAAAGUGACAACAUAGGAGACUCUCUAUCAUGAAGAUCAUGGUGCUACUUUGAAGCACAAGUGUGGUAAAAGGAUAGUAACAUUGUCCCUUCUCCCUUUUCUCUCAUUUUUUUAUUUGUGGUCUUCUUUGGCCUCUUUUCUUAUUUGGGCUUCUUUGGCCUCUUUUAUUUUUAUAAAGUCCGAAGUCUCAACCCGACUUGUGGGGGAAUCAUAGUCUUCAUCAUCCUUUUCUCACUUGGGACAAUGCUCUAAUAAUGAAGAUCAUCACACUUUUAUUGAUUUACAAUUCAAGAAUUACAACUCAAUACUUAGAACAAAAUAUGACUCUACAUGAAUGCCUCCGGUGGUGUACCGGGAUAUGUAAUGAACCAAGAGUGACAUGUACGAAAAAUUAUGGAGGUGGCCUUGCCACAAAUACGAUGUCAACUACAUGAUCAUGCAAAGAGCAAUAUGACAAUGAUGGGGCAUGUCAUAAUAAAUGGAACGGUGGAAAGUUGCAUGGCAAUAUAUCUCGGAAUGGCUAUGGAAAUGCCAUAAUAGGAAGGUAUGGUGGCUGUUUUGAGGAAGUUAUAUGGUGGGUGUAUGGUACCAGCGAAAGUUGUGCGGCACAAGAGAUGCUAGCAAUGGUGGAAGGGUGAGAGUGCGUAUAAUCCAUGGACUCAACAUUAGUCAUAAAGAACUCAUAUACUUAUUGCAAAAAUGUACAAGUUAUUGAAACAAAGUACUACGCGCAUGCUCCUAGGGGGAUAGAUUGGUAGGAAAAGACCAUCGCUCAUCCCCGACCGCCACUCAUAAGGAAGACAAUUAAUAAAUAAAUUGUGCUCCAACUUCAUCACAAAGCGGUUCACCAUACGUGCAUGCUACGGGAAUCACAAACGUCAACACAAGUAUUCUUCAAAUUCACAACUACUCAACUAGCAUGACUCUAAUAUCACCAUCCUCAUAUCUCAAAACAAUUAUCAAGCAUCAAAUUGAUCAUAGCAUCCAAUUCACUUUCUAUGAUAGUUUUUAUUAUACCCAACUUGGAUGCCCAUCAUUCUAGGACCAAUUUUAUAACCAUAGCAAAUACCAUGCUGUUCUAAAAUACUCUCAAAGUAAUAUAAGUCAAGCAUGAGAGACCAAUAAUUUCUACAAAAUAAAACCACCGCCGUGCUCUAAAAGAUAUAAGUGAAGCACUAGAGCAAAAUUAUCUAGCUCAACAGAUAUAAGUGAAGCACAUAGAGUAUUCUAAUAAAUUCUGAAUCAUGUUGUGUCUCUCCUAAAAGGUGUGUACAGAAAGGAUGAUUGUGGUAAACUAAAAAUCAAAGACUCAUAUCAUACAAGACGCUCCAAGCAAAACAGAUAUCAUGUGGCGAAUAAAAAUAUAGCUCCAAGUAAAGUUACCAAUAGACGAAGACGAAAGAGGGCAUGCCUUCCGGGGAAUCCACAAGCUUAGCAUUUUGGUUGUCCUUGAAUUAUCUUGGGGUGCCAUGGGCAUCCCCAAGCUUAGGCUCUUGCCACUCCUUAUCCCAUAGUCCAUCAAAUCUUUACCCAAAACUUGAAAACUUCACAACACAAAACUCAACAGGAAAUCUCAUAAGCUCCGUUAGUGCAAGAAAGAAAAAACACCACUUAAGUUACUGUAAUGAACUCAUUAUUUAUUUAUAUUGGUGUUAAACCUACUGUAUUCCAACUUCUCUAUGGUUCAUACCCCCCGAUACUAGCCAUAGAUUCAUCAAAUAAGCAAACAACACACGAAAAACAGAAUCUGUCAAAAACAGAACAGUCUGUAGCAAUCUGUAACUUUCGAAUGCUUCUGGAACUCUAAAAAUCCUACAAAAAUAGGAAGUGCUGGUCAAUUUGUCUAUUGAUCUACUUCAAAAAUAAUCAACUAAAAAUCACGUUUCUGUGAUUUACUAAAAUUAUACUCGUGCGCGCGGAAGUUUCUGUUUUUCAGCAGAAUCAAAUUAACUAUCACCAUAGGUUAUCUUAUAGGUUCUACUUGGCACAAACACUAAUUAAAACAUAAAACCACAUCUAAACAGAAGCUGGAUGUAUUAUUUAUUACUAAACUGAAGCAAAAAGCAAGGAAAAUAAAAUUGGGUUGCCUCCCAACAAGCGCUAUCAUUUAACGCCCCUAGCUAGGCAUAAAAGCGAGAAUAUAUCUUGCCAUCUUUGGCAUUCAGUUCAUGUGGCUCGCAUAAUAGAUUCAUAAGGUAAUUUGACUUUCUUUCUAGGAAAGUGUUCCAUGCCUUUCCUUAAUGGAAAUUAGAAUCUAAUAUUCCCUUCCUUCAUAUCAAUAAUUGCACCAAUCGUUCUAAGGAAAGGUCUACCAAGAAUAAUAGGACAUGAAAAAUUGCAAUCUAUAUCAAGAACAAUGAAAUCUACGGGCACAUAAUUCCUAUUUGCAACAAUAAGAACAUCAUUAAUCCUUCCCAUAGGUUUCUUAAUAGUGGAAUCCGCAAGGUGCAAGUUUAAAGAGCAAUCAUCAAAUUCACGGAAACCUAGCACAUCACAUAAAGUUUUUGGAAUCGUGUAAACACUAGCACCCAAAUCACACAAAGCAUAUCAUUCAUGAUCUUUAAUUUUAAUUUUUAUAGUAGGUUCCCACUCAUCAUAAAGUUUUCUAGGUAUAGAAACUUCCAACUCAAGUUUUUCCUCAUAAAAUUGCAUCAAGGCAUCAACAAUAUGUUUGGUAAAAGCUUUAUUUUGACUAUAAGCAUGAGGAGAAUUCAACACGGAUUGCAACAAGGAAAUACAAUCUAUUAAAGAACAAUUAUCAUAAUUAAAUUCCUUGAAAUCCAUUAUAGUGGGUUCAUUGCUAUGUAAAGUUUUGAGCCCUCCAAUCCCACUUUUACCAAUUUUAGCAUCAAGAUCUAAAAACUCCGAAUCAUUGGGACGCCUUUUAACUAAAGUUGGCUCAUCUUCAGUCCCAUCAUUAUCAAGAUUCAUAUUACAAAACAAAGAUUUAAUAGGGGACACAUCAAUAACUUUUAGAUCUUCAUCAUUAUUUAUUUCUAACCCUUCUGGUUUGGCGGCCAUCUUAUUAACUAAGGUGGCUUGCUUAUCAGAAAUUUGAGCUAUUGAUUUUUCAAGACGAGCAAUCUGAGAAUUGAAACCAUAAAAUUCCUUAGACAUAUCAUCAAGUUCUUUAUUCAUGUAUUCCAUAAAGCUUUUUUGUUCUUUAAGCUCAUUUCUAAAGAAAUUAUUAUGCUGAAAUUGUAAAGUCAUAAAGCUUCUAAUGUUUAAUUCAAUCUCUUCCAACCUUCUAAGAUGAAGAUUAACGUUCUUAGGCAAAGCCAUAAGGGCAAACAAACACACAAGAGACAAGUGAAAAAGAGAGGCGAACGGGGAAGAGAAGGCGAAUAAAAUGGCAAGGGUGAAGUGGGGGAGAGGAAAAUGAGAGGCAAAUGACAAAUAAUGUAAUGCGAGGGAGAUGAGUUUGUGAUGGGCACUUGGUAUGUCUUGACUUGAGCGAAGACCUCCCCGGCAACGGCACCAGAAAUCCUUCUUGCUACCUCUUGAGCACUAUGUUGGUUUUCCCUUGAAGAGGAAAGGGUGAUGCAGCAAAGUAUUGUAAGUAUUUCCCUCAGUUUUUUAGAACCAAGGUAUCAAUCCAGUAGGAGGCUCCACGGAAGUCCCUCAUACCUACACAAACAAAUAAGAACCUCGCAACCAACGUGAUAAAGGGGUUGUCAAUCCCUUCACGGUAACUUGCAAAAGUGAGAUCAAAUAGAGAUAAUAAUAUAAGAUAAAUAUUUUUGGUAUUUUUAUGAUAUAGUUGAAAUGUAAAGAUGCAAAUAAAAGUAGAUCGGAAACUUAUAUGAUAAAGGAUAGAACCGGGGGCCAUAGGUUUCACUAGUGGCUUCUCUCAAGAUAGCAUAAGUAUUACAGUGGGUGAACAAAUUACUGUCGAUCAAUUGAUAGGAAAGUGCAUAGUUAUGAGAUUAUCUAGGCAUGAUCAUGUAUAUAGGCAUCACGUCCGCAACAAGUAGACCGAAACGAUUCGGCAUCUACUACUAUUACUCCACACAUCGACCGACUCCUACCUACAUCUGGAGUACUAAGUCCAUAAGAACAGAGUAACGCAUUAAGAAAGAUGACAUGAUGUAGAGGGAUAAACUCAAGCAAUAUGAUAUAAACCUCAUCUUUUUAUCCUUCAUGGAAACAAUACAAUAUGUGCCUUGCUGCCCCUGCUGUCACUGGGAAAGGACACCGCAAGAUUGAACCCAAAGCUAAGCACUUCUCCCAUUGCAAGAAAGAUCAAUCUAGUAGGCCAAACCAAACUGAUAAUUCAAAGAGACUUGCAAAGAUAACCAAUCACACAUAAAAGAAUUCAGAGGAGAUUCAAAUAUUUCUCAUAUAUAAACUUGAUCAUAAACCCACAAUUCAUCGGAUCUCGACAAACACACCAUAAAAAGAGUUACAUCGGAUAGAUCUCCAAGAAGAUCGAGGAGAACUUUGUAUUGAGAUUCAAAGAGAGAGAAGAAGCCAUCUAGCUAAUAACUAUGGACCCGAAGGUCUAUGUUAAACUACUCACAACUCAUCGGAGAGGCCGUGGAGAUGAUGUAGAGGCCCUCUGUGGUUGAUUCCCCCUUCGACAGAGCGCCAGCGAAGGCUCCAAGAUGGGAUCUCGCAGAUACAGAAGGUUGCGGCGGUGGAAAUAGUUUUUCAUGGUGCUCCUGGAUGUUUUCGGGGUACGUAGAUAUAUAUAGGUGAAGGAGGUAGGUCAAGGGAGCCACGAGGGUGGGGGCGCGCCUACCCCUAGGGCGCGCCCUCCUGCCUCGUGGCCGCCUCGGCUGCUUCUUGACGUCCACUCCAAGUCUCCUGGAUUGCGUUUGUUCCAAAAAGAUCGCUCCCGAAGGUUUCAUUCCGUUUGGACUCCGUUUGAUAUUCUUUUUCUUCAAAACACUGAAAUAGGCCAAAAAAUAGCAAUUCGGGCUAGGCCUCCGGUUAGUAGGUUAGUCCCAAAAAUGAUAUAUAAGUGUAAAGUAAAGCCCAUAAACAUCCAAAACAGGUAAUAUAAUAGCAUGGAACAAUCAAAAAUUAUAGAUACGUUCAAGAUGUAUCACGACACAGACUGGAGGAUGAUGCCCAAAGCUUCACGAUCGUCGCGGUAGUCGAUGACGGCGCCAUGCUCGACUACCUCCCACAGGCCUUAUGCGUGCAGCCGCACUCGCAUGACAAGCGCCCACUCGGUGUAGUUUGUGCAGGUCAGCAGGGGGAGCUGCACCAUCGACGAGGUUAGCCAGACGACGCGCUCGACGAUGCGAACCUCGCCGCUGCAGCUACCGUCGAUGAGCCACGCCUUCGAUGGAGUCGUCGGCUCCCCCGGCUUCCCCUUGGCCAGCUCCACCGCCUUGGACACAUCAUCUCCCUCGGUGCCGGCCAUCACAGGGACAGAUCAAACCGUAGCUUUGUAUACCAAAUGUUGGAGCAGCCGGAGGAGGAAGAAUAUUCUCACACACGCAAGAUAGAUGAACACAAGUCUAAAGCUUGAAGAAGAUACGCACAGAGACUCUUGGCACAAGCUCCUGGUUCUUAAAAAUUACGGAGUAAAAUUUUAAAAUCCCCCUUCAUAGUGCAAUUGUGAUAAGAUUCUUUCAUCCUAUACCAAGCAUCCUUUAAAUUUUUCCUUGUUUCUGUUUGAAUUGAAGAACAGCAAAGUCAAGAGACAAAGGAGGGGCAAAAGUGCUAGUCAUAGAUAAAAGGUAAAGAUGGAGGAAACACACGAAGAGAUGAAUGGAAGAGGGGCGCAGAAAAGGGCGAAUCUUUUCGAAAAUCAUUUUAGAAGUGGGUGAGAGAAAAACGAGAGGCAAAAGGCGAAUAAUGUAAUGCAAGAGAUGAGAGUUUUAUGAUGGGUACUUGGUAUGUCUUGACUUGGCAUAGAUCUCCCCGGCAACGGCGCCAGGAAUUCUUCCUGCUACUUCUUGAGCUUGCGUUGGUUUUUCCCUUGAAGAGGGAAGGGUGAUGUAGCAAAGUAGAGAUAAGUAUUUCCCUCAGUUAGAGAACUAAGGUAUCAAUCCAGUAGGAUACAAUGCACAAAUCACCAAAACCUACACGAACAAUCAAACAACUUGCACCCAACACGAUAAAGGAGAUGUCAAUCCCUUCACAAUCCCUUGCAAAAGUGAUAUCUAAUAGAGAUAGAUGAAACUAAACAAAAGGUAAAGUAAAUAUUUUUGGUAUUUUUGGUUUAUAGAUCGGAAAGUAAAAGAUUGCAAAAUAGUAGAUCAGAAACUUAUAUGAUGGAAAAUAGACCCGGGGGCCAUAGGUUUCACUAGUAGCUUCUCUCAAGAUAGCAAAUAAUACGGUGGGUGAACAAAUUACUAUCGAGCUAUUGAUAGAAAAGCGCAAAGUUAUGACGAUAUCCAAGGCAAUGAUUAUGAAAUAUAGGCAUCACGUCCAUGUCAAGUAGAGCGACUCCUGCCUGCAUCUACUACUGUUACUCCACACAUCGACCGACUCCUUCCUGCAUCUAGAUUCUAGAGUAUUAAGUUCAUGAAGAACAGAGUAACGCAUUAAGUAAGAUGACAUGAUGUAGAGGAAUAAACCCAAUCAAUAUGAUGUAAACCCCAUCUUUUUAUCCUCGAUGGCAACAAUACGAUACGUGCCUUGCUGCCCCUACUGUCACUGGGAAAGGACAUCGCGAGAUUGAACUCAAAGCUAAGCACUUCUCCCAUUGCAAGAAAAACUAAUCUAGUUGGCCAAACUAAACCGAUAGUUCCAAGAGAAUUACAGAUAUAUCAAAUCAUGCAUAUAAGAAUUCAGAGAAGAUUCAAAUAAUAUUCAUAGAUAAGUAGAUCAUAAAUACACAAUUCAUCGGAUCUCGACAAACAGACCGCAAAAGAAGAUUACAUCGGAUAGAUCUCCAAGAACAUCAAGGAGAACAUGGUAUUGAGAAUCAAAGAGAGAGAAGAAGCCAUCUAGCUACUAGCUAUGGACCCAUAGGUCUGAGAUAAACUACUCACGCUUCAUCAGAAAGGGCAAUAGAGGUGAUGUAGAAGCCCUCCAUGAUCGAAUCCCCCUCCAGCAGGAUGCCGGAAAAUGCCCCUAGAUGGGAUCUCACGGGUACAGAAGGUUGCGGCGGCGAAAAAGUGUUUUCGUGGAUGCUUCUGGCAGUUUGGGGAUAUUUGUGAAUAUAUAGGACGAAGAAGUAGGUCGGUGGAGUCACGGGGGGCCCACAAGGUAGGGACACGCCCUCCCCCCUGGUGACCGCCUCGUGGCUCUUCCGACUUGAUCUCCAAGUCUCCUGGGUGUAUUCUGAUCCAAGAAAAAUCAUCGCGAAGGUUUUAUUCCAUUUGGGAUCCGUUUGGUAUUACUUCUUUGCGAAGCUCAAAAACAAGGAAAAAACAAAAACUGGCACUGGGCUCUAGGUUAAUAGGUUAGUCCCCAAAAUAAUAUAAAAUAGCAUAUUAAUGCAUAUAAAACAUCCAAAACAGAUAAUAUAAUAGCAUGGAAGAAUCAAAAAUUAUAGAUACUUUGGAGACGUAUCAUGCCCUGGGUUCCGCGUGCAAGACGAAAUGCUAGACACCACCGGCGACAUGUAGGACGUCGAGCAUGAUGAUGUUGAGGAGGUGGAAAAGGAAGACUGAUGGAGCCAUCGGCCAAAGGAAGAAGGUAGAAGCGGACGUCCAACGCCAGGUCGGGCGAGCCUCGCGUCAACUAGAUGCCAAAGGAAGACGAGUGCCUCGCUGAAGCAUGAAAGACUCUCAGCAUCGACUCGAUCACCGCUGCAAAUCAGAACGCCGACACCUACUGGAGAAGGGUCAAGACGGUGUUAGACGAGCACAAGUUGGUCAACCCCGAGUUUGCCAGGAUCCACAUGUUUUGCGGCAACAAGGCCAUGGCCAACCAUUGGGCGACCAUCCAGCAGGCCUAGAGCAAGUGGCAUGGGAUUUAGGUGGAGGUCAUUGCUCGCCCGGAGAGCGGUGCCAACGUCGAGCGUCAGUUAUGUCCAUGGCUCGCCGACGCAGCUCUUUGCCUUGUACUUCACUGACACUUGUUCUUCGUCUGUGUAGAUGGUCCGAAUGUUCGACAUGUUUCGCCAGGAUAACAACGACCUCGAGUUCAAGUUCCUUCAUGUCUUCACCGGAACUGAGUUGUGUGAGAAAUGGACAGAGUGUCGUCUUGCUCUCUCAAAGACCAAGGACGGUCUCUACAACCCAGAUGCGCCUGUCUCGGUGUCGGCAAAAGGGCUUCCUGAUGGCAACAAGAGAUCCAAGGCGGAGAGGGACUCGACGCCCGCUGCCGAACGGCUGCAGUCGUCCAUAGAAAAGUGCAUCACUGACGUGAGGAUCCACGCCGCAAAGAGGGAGGAGCAGUCCAAGGCGAGGUGGUCGGCGUAGAUGACGAAGCAGGACAUCAAGCUCGCCCUUCUGAGGACCAACGUCACCACGAAGAAGCAGAACACCGACAUGGGAUUCCUGAUGGGAGCAGACAUGGCGACGAUGGACCAGCAGGGGAAGAUGUGUGUUGGAAAUAUGCCCUAGAGGCAAUAAUAAAAUGGUUAUUAUUAUAUUUCCUUGUUCAUGAUAAUUGUCUAUUGUUCAUGCUAUAAUUGUAUUAACCGGAAACCAUAAUACAUGUGUGAAUACAUAGACCACAACAUGUCCCUAGUGAGCAUCUAGUUGACUAGCUCGUUGAUCAAUAGAUGGUUAUGGUUUCCUGACCAUGGACAAUGGAUGUCAUUGAUAACGAGAUCACAUCAUUAGGAGAAUGAUUUGAUGGAAAAGACCCUAUCCUAAGCAUAGCAUAAGAUCGUGUAAUUCAUUUGCUAGAGCUUUUCUAAUGUCAAGUAUCUUUCCUUAGACCAUGAGAUUGUGCAACUCCCGGAUGCCAUAGGAAUGCUUUGGGUGUAUCAAACGUCACAACGUAACUGGGUGACCAUAAAGGUGCACUAUAGGUAUCUCCGAAAGUGUCUGUUGGGUUGGGAUGAAUCGAGACUGGGAUUUUACACUCCGUAUGACGGAGAGGUAUCUCUGGGUCCACUCGAUAAUGCAUCAUCAUAAUGAGCUCAAUGUGACUAAGGAGUUAUCCACGGUAACAUGCAUUACAGAACGAGUAAAGAGACUUGCCGGUAACGAGAUUGAACGAGGUACGGGGAUACCGACGAUCGAAUCUUGGGCAAGUAACAUACCGAUGGACAAGGGGAAUUGUAUAUGGGAUUGAUUGAAUUCUCGACAUCGUGGUUCAUCCGAGGAGAUCAUCGUGUAACAUGUGGGAGCCAAUAUGAGUAUCCAUAUCCCGCUAUUGGUUAUUGGCCGGAGAGAUGUCUCGGUCAUGUCUGCAUGGUUCCCGAACUCGUAGGGUCUACACACUUAAGGUUCGGUGACGCUAGAGUUGAAAUGGGAAAUUGUAUGUGGUUACCGAAAGUUGCUCGGAGUCCCGGAUGAGAUCUAGAACAUCACGAGGAGUUCCGGAAUGGUCCGGAGGUGAAGAUUUAUAUAUGGGAAGUCCAGUUUCAGUCAUUGGAAAGGUUUCGGGGGUUAUCGGUAUUGUACCGGGACCAUCGAAAGGUGUCCGGGGGUCCACCGGGUGGGGCCACCUACCUCGAGGGACCAAGUGGGAUGAAUAUGGGUGGGAACCAGACCCUAGUUGGCUGGUGUGCCCCCCGCCCCAAGGGCCCAAGGCGCCUAGGGUUGAAAACCCUAGGGGGUGGGGGCGCCUCCCACCUCCUUGGGGGGGCAAGUCUCCCCUCUUGGCCGCCCCCCCUCUAGAUGCAUCUAAGGGGGGCGGCCCCCUCUCCCCUUCACCAUAUAAAUAGAGGGGGGUGGGAGGGCAGCCGCACCUCAGCCCCUGGCGCAGCCCUUCCCCCUCCUACACCUCCUCCUCCUCCGUUUGAGCUUGGCGAAGCUCUGCCGGAGAACCACGAGCUCCACCACCACGCCGUCGUGCUGCCGGAGUUCUCCCUCAACUUAUACUCCCCCCUUGAUGGAUCAAGAAGGAGGAGACGUCCCCAGGCUGUACGUGUGUUGAACACGGAGGCACCAUCUGUUCGGCUCUUGGAUCGGAUCUUCCACGAUUUGAAUCGCUGCGAGUACGACUCCAUCAACCGUGUUCUUGUAACGCUUCCGCUUAGCGAUCUUCAAGGGUAUGAAGAUACACUCUCUCUCAUUCUCUCUCGUUGCUAGCAUCUCCUAGAUUGAUCUUGGUGACACGUAGGAAUUUUUUGAAUUAUUACUACAUUCCCCAAUAGUGGCAUCAUGAGCUAGGUCUAUGCGUAGAUUCUAUGCACGAGUAGAACACAAGUAGUUGUGGGUGAUGAUUUGGUCAAUUUGCUUACUGUUACUAGUCCUAUCUUGAUUCAGCGGCAUUGUGGGAUGAAGCGGCCCGGACCGACUUUACAUGUACGCUUACGUGAGACAGGUUCCACCGACCGAUAUGCACUUGUUGCAUAAGGUGGCUAGCGGGUGUCUGUCUCUCCCACUUUAGUCGGAUCGGGUUCGAUGAAGAGGGUCCUUAUGAAGGGUAAAUAGAAAUUGGCAUAUCACCGUUGUGGCUUUUGCGUAGGUAAGAAAUGUUCUUGCUAGAAACCCAUAGCAGCCACGUAAAACUUUCAACAACAAUUAGAGAACAUCUAACUCGUUUUUGCAGGGUAUGCUAUGUGAUGUGAUAUGGCCAAAAGGAUGUGAUGAAUUAUAUAUGUGAUGUAUGAGAUUGAUCAUGUUCUUGUAAUAGGAAUCACGACUUGCAUGUCGAUGAGUAUGACAACCGGCAGGAGCCAUAGGAGUUGUCUUAAUUUAUUCUAUGACCUGUGAGUCAAUAUAAGCGCCAUGUAAUUACUUUACUUUAUUGCUAACCGUUAGCCAUAGUAGUAGAAGUAAUAGUUGGUGAGGCAACUUCAUGGAGACACGAUGAUGGAGAUCAUGGUGUCAUGCUGGUGAUGAUGCUGAUCAUGCCGCGCCUCGAAGAUGGAGAUAAAAAGUGCAAGAUGACAUUGGCCAUAUCAUGUCACUUUAUGAUUUGCAUGUGAUGUUUGUCAUGUUUACAUCUUAUUUGCUUAGAACGAUGGUAGCAUAAAUAAGAUGAUCCCUCACUAAAAUUUCAAGAAAUGUGUUCCCCUAACUAUGCACUAUCGCGAAGUUUUGUUGUCUCGAAGCACCACGUGAUGAUCGGGUGUGAUAGAUUCUAAUGUUCGCAUACAAUGGGUAUAAACCAGAUUUACACAUGUGAAACACUUAGGUUGACUUGACGAACCUAGCAUGUACAGACAUGGCCUCGAAACACGAGAGACCGAAAGGUCGAACAUGAGUCGUAUGGUAGAUGCGAUCAACAUGGAGAUGUUCAUCUGACUAGUCCGUCUCACGUGGUGAUUGGACACGGCCUAGUCAAUUCAGAUCAUGUGUCACUUAGAUGACUAGAGGGAUGUCUAUCUGAGUGGGAGUUCAUUAAAUAAUUUGAUUAGACGAACUUAAUUAUCAUGAACUUAGUCUAAAAUCUAUCUUGUAGAUCCAAUGGCCCACGCUAAUGUUGCCCUCAACUUCAACACGUUCCUAGAGAAAAUCAAGCUAAAAGAUGAUGGAAGCAAGUAUACGGACUGGGUCCGUAACUUGGGGAUCAUCCUCAUAGCUGCCAAGAAAGCAUAUGUCCUUGAAGCACCGCUAGGUGACGCACCCAUUUUCCAGCAACUCAAGACGAUAUGAACGCCUGGCAGUCGUGUAGUGAUGAUUACUCCCUGGUUCAGUGCAACAUGCUUUACAGCUUAGAAUCGGGGCUCCAAAAGCAUUUUGAGCACCAUGGAGCAUAUGAGAUGUUCCAAGAGCUGAAAAUGGUUUUCCAAGCUCAUGCCCGGAUCGAGAGAUAAGAAAUCUCCGACAAGUUCUACAGUUGUAAGAUGGGGGAAAACAGUUCUGUCAGUGAGCAUAUACUCAAAAUGUCUGGGUUGCACAACCGCUUGUCUCAGCUAGGAGUUAAUCUUCCAAAUGACUCGGUCAUUGACAGAAUCCUCCAAUCGCUUCCACCUAGCUACAAGAGCUUUGUGAUGAACUACAAUAUGUAAGGGAUGGAGAAGUCCAUUCUUGAGUUAUAUUCGAUGCUGAAAUCAACGGAGGUGGAGAUCAAAAAGGAAUAUCAAGUGUUGAUGGUGAAUAAGACCACUAGUUUCAAGAAAGGCAAGGGAAAGAAAAACUUCAAGAAGGACGGCAAGGGAGUUGCCGCGCCUAGUAAGUCGGUUGCCAGGAAGAAGCCAAAGAAUGGACCCAAGCCUAAGACUGAGUGCUUUUAUUGCAAGGGAAAUGGUCACUGGAAGCGGAACUGCCCCAAGUACUUAGCGGAUAAGAAGGCCGGCAACGCCAAAGGUAUAUAUGAUAUACAUGUUAUUGAUGUGUACCUUACCAACGCUCGUAGUAGCUCCUGGGUAUUUGAUACCAGUGCAGUUGCUCACAUUUGUAACUCAAAAUAGGAGCUGCAGAAUAAGCAGAGACUAGCGAAGGACGGGGUGACGAUGCGUGUCGGGAAUGGUUCCAAGGUCGAUGUGAUCACCAUCAGCACGCUACCUCUACAUCUACCUUCGGGAUUAGUUUUAAACCACACUAGUUGUUAUUCAGUAACAGCUUUGAGCAUAAACAUUGUAUCUGGAUCGUUUGAUGCGAGAUGGCUACUCAUCUAAAUCCGAGAAUAAUGGUUGUUCUAUUUAUAUGAGAGAUAUGUUUUAUGGUCAUGCCCCGCUAGUCAAUGGUUUAUUUUUAUUAAAUCUCGAACGUGAUGUUACACAUAUUCAUAGUGUGAAUGCCAAAAGAUGUAAGGUUGAUAAUGAUAGUCCCACAUACUUGUGGCACUGCCACCUUGGUCACAUUGGUGUCGAACACAUGAAGAAACUCCAUGCAGAUGGACUUUUGGAGUCUCUUGAUUAUGAAUCAUUUGACACGUGCGAACCAUGCCUCAUGGGCAAAAUGACCAAGACUCUGUUCUCCGGAACAAUGAAGUGAGCAACCAACUUGUUGGAAAUAAUACAUACGGAUGUAUGCGGUCCAAUGAGCGUUGAGGCUCGCGGUGGCUAUCAUUAUGUUCUCACCCUCAUUGAUGACUUAAGUAGAUAUGGGUAUGUCUACUUAAUGAAACACAAGUCUGAGACCUUUGAAAAGUUUAAGGAAUUUCAGAGCGAGGUAGAGAAUCAACAUGACAGGAAAAUAAAGGUCUUACGAUCAGAUCGUGGAGGAGAAUAUUUUAGUCACGAGUUUGGCACGUACUUAAGGAAAUGUGGAAUUGUUUCACAACUCACGCCGCCUGGAACACCUCAGCGAAAUGGUGUGUCUGAAUGUCGUAAUCGCGCUCUAUUGGAUGUGGUGCGAUCUAUGAUGUCUCUUACCAAUCUACCGCUAUCAUUCUAGGGUUAUGCUUUAGAGACUACCACAUUCACUUUAAAUAGGGCACCAUCUAAAUCCGUUGAGACGACACCGUAUGAAUUAUGGUUUGGGAAGAAACCUAAGUUGUCGUUCCUGAAAGUUUGGGGAUGCAAUGGUUAUGUCAAGAAACUUCAACCUGAAAAGCUCGAACCCAAAUCAGAAAAUGUGUCUUCAUUGGAUAUCCUAAGGAAACUAUUGGGUAUACCUUCUACCUCAGAUCCGAGGGCAAGAUAUUUGUUGCCAAGAAUGGAUCCUUUCUGGAGAAAGAGUUUCUCUCGAAAGAAGUAAGUGGGAGGAAAGUAGAACUUGAUGAGGUAACCCCUCUUGAACCGAAAGUAACACAGCCCAGGAAGAUGUUUCUAUGGUGCCUGCACCGACUAUAGAGGAAGUUAAUGAUGAUGAUCAUGAAACUUUAGAUCAAGUUGCUACUGAACUUCGUAGGUCCACGAGGACACGUUCCACACCAGAGUGGUAUGGCAACCCUGUCCUGAAAAUCAUGUUGUUAGACAACGGUGAACCUUCGAACUAUGAAGAAGCGAUGGCGGGCCCGGAUUCCAACAAAUGGCUUGAAGCCAUGAAAUCCAAGAUAGGAUCCAUGUAUGAGGACAAAGUAUGGACUUUGGUGAACUUUCCCGAUGAUCAGAGAGCCAUAGAAAAUAAGUGGAUCUUUAAGAAGAAGACUGAUGUGGAUGGUAAUGUGACCGUCUAUAAGGCUCGGCUUGUUGCUAAGGGUUAUCGACAAGUUCAAGGAGUUGACUACGAUGAGACCUUCUCACCCGUAGCGAAGCUGAAGUACGUCUGAAUCAUGUUAGCAAUUGCCGCAUUCUAUGAUUAUGAAAUCUGGCAAAUGGACGUCAAAACGGCAUUCCUUAAGGGUUUUCUUAAGGAAGAAUUGUAUAUGAUGCAACUGAAAGGUUUUGUCGAUCCUAAUAAUGUUGUCAGGGUAUGCAAGCUCUAGCGCUCCAUCUAUGGGCUGGUGCAAGCAUCUCGGAGUUGGAACAUUCACUUUGAUGAAAUGAUCAAAGCAUUUGGGUUUAUACAGAUUUAUGGAGAAGCCUGUAUUUACAAGAAAGUGAGUGGGAGCUAUGUAGCUUUUCUCAUAUUAUAUGUGGAUGACAUACUAUUGAUGGGAAAUGAUAUAGAACUUUUGGAAAGCAUAAAGGCCUACUUGAAUAAGUGUUUCUCUAUGAAGGACCUUGGAGAAACUGCUUACAUAUUAGACAUCAAGAUCUAUAGACAUAAAUCAAGACGCCUCAUUGGUCUUUCACAAAGCACAUACCUUGAGAAGAUAUUGAAGAAGUUCAAUAUGGAUCAGUCCAAGAAGGGGUUCUUGCCUAUAUUGCAAGGUGUGAGAUUGAGCACAACUCAAUGCCCGGCCUUGGCAGCAGAAAGAGAAAAGAUGAGUGUCAUCCCCUAUGCCUCAGCCGUAGGCUCUAUUAUGUAUGCCAUGCUGUGUACCAGACCUGAUGUGAACCUUGCCAUAAGUUUGGCAGGGAGGUACCAAAGUGAUCCCGGUAUGGAACACUGGACAACGGUCAAGAAUAUCCUGAAGUACCUGAAAAGUACUAAGGAUAUGCUACUCGUUUAUGGAAGUGCCGAAGAGCUCGUCAUAAAGGGUUAUGUCGAUGCUAGCUUUAACACAGAUCUGGAUGACUCUAAGUCACAAACCGGAUACGUGUAUAUUUUGAUGGUGGGGCAGUCAGCUGGUGCAGUUGCAAGCAAAGAGUCAUGGCGGGAUCUACAUGCGAAGCGGAGUACAUAGCUGCCUUGGAAGCAACGCGGGAAGGGGUCCGGAUGAAGGAGUUUAUCACCGACCCAGGAGUGAUUCCCAAUGUGUCAGGCCCGAUGACUCUCUUCUGUGACAACACUGGAGUUAUUGUCGUUGCCAAGGAGCCCAGGUUUCAUAAGAAGACCAAGCACAUCAACCGCCGGUUCAACUCCAUUCGUGAAUAUAUUCAAGAUGGAGACAUAGAUAUUUGUAAAGUACAUACGGAUCUGAAUGUCGCAGACCUGUUGACUAAACCUCUUCCACGAGCAAAACAUGAUCAGCACCGGAAUGCUAUGGGUGUUCGAUUCAUCACAAUGUAACUAGAUUAUUGACUCUAGUGCAAGUGGGAGACUGUUGGAAAUAUGCCCUAUAGGCAAUAAUAAAAUGGUUAUUAUUAUAUUUCCUUGUUCAUAAUAAUUGUCUAUUAUUCAUGCUAUAAUUGUAUUAACCGGAAAACCAUAAUACAUGUGUGAAUACAUAGACCACAACAUGUCCCUAGUGAGUCUCUAGUUGACUAGCUCGUUGAUCAAGAGAUGAUUAUGGUUUCCUGACCAUGGACAUUGGAUGUCAUUGGUAAUGAUAUCACAUCAUUAGAAUAAUGAUGUGAUGGACAAGACCCAAUCCUAAGCAUAACACAAGAUCGUGUAGUUCGUUUGCUAGAGCUUUUCUAAUGUCAAGUAUCUUUCCUUAGACCAUGAGAUUGUGCAACUCCCGGAUGCCGUAGGAAUGCUUUGGGUGUAUCAAACGUCACAACGUAACUGGGUGACCAUAAAGGUGCACUACAGGUAUCUUCGAAAGUGUCUGUUGGGCUGGCACGAAUCGAGACUGGGAUUUGUCACUCCGUAUAACGGAGAGGUAUCUUUGGGCCCACUCGGUAAUGCAUCAUCAUAGUGAGCUCAAUGUGACUAAGGAGUUAUCCAUGUGAUCAUGCGUUACGAAACAAGUAAAGAAACUUGCCGGUAAUGAGACUGAACGAGGUACGGGGAUACCGACGAUCGAAUCUCGGGCAAGUAACAUACCGACGGACAAAGGGGAUUGUAUACGGGAUUGAUUGAAUCCCCGACAUCGUGGUUCAUCCGAUGAGAUCAUCGUGGAACAUGUGAGAGCCAAUAUGGGUAUCUAGAUCCAGCUAUUGGUUAUUGGCCGGAGAGAUGUCUCGGUCAUGUCUGCAUGGUUCCCAAACCCGUAGGGUCUACACACUUAAGAUUCGGUGACACUAGAGUUGAAAUGGGAAAUUGUAUGUGGUUACCGAAAGUUGUUCGAAGUCCCGGAUGAGAUCUCGGAUGUCAUGAGGAGUUCCGGGGUCCGGAUGUGAAGAUUUAUAUAUGGGAAGUCCAGUUUUAGUCACUAAAAAGGUUUCGGGGGUUAUCGGUAUUGUACCGAGACCACCGAAAGGUGUCCGGGGGUCCACCGGGUGGGGCCACCUGCCCCGGGGGACCAAAUGGGCUGAAUAUGGGUGGGAACCAGCCCCUAGUGGGCUGGUGCGCCCCCCAAGGGCCCAAUGCGCCUAUGGUUGAAAACCCUAGGGGGUGGGGGCGCCUCCCACCUGCUUGGGGGGCAAGUCUCCCCCCUUGGCCGCUGCCCCCCUCUAGAUGCAUCUAAGGGGCCCGUCCCCCUCUCCCCUUCACCCUAUAAAUAGAGGGGGGUGGGAGGCAGCCGCACCUCAGGCCCUGGCGCAGCCCUUCCCCCUCCUACACCUCCUCCUCCUCCUCCUUUUGAGCUUGGCGAAGCUCUGCUGGAGAACCAGGAGCUCCACCACCACGCCGUCGUGCUGCCAGAGUUCUCCCUCAACUUCUCCUUCCCCCUUGCUGGAUCAAGAAGGAGGAGACGUUCCCGGGCUGUACGUGUGUUAAACGCGGAGGCACCGCCCGUUCGGCGCUUGGACCGGAUCUUCCGCGAUUUGAAUCGCCGCGAGUACGACUCCAUCAACCACAUUCUUGUAAUGCUUCCGCUUAGCGGUCUUCAAAGGUACGAAGAUGCUCUCUCUCUCUCUCUCGUUGCUAGCAUCUCCUAGAUUGAUCUUGGUGACACAUAGAAAUUUUUUAAAUUAUUACUACGCUCCCCAACAACGUGGUACCUGGCGGACCGGGGGUGUGGGGUGGGGGAGGGGUUGAAUUUUUUAUUUUUUUGAGACCAUGGGGGGUGAUCUAACGGGUUGGAUCUUUAGGGGGAUUUCUUGUCCAGCCCGGUAGCGGCUUUAUCGUGGCCCACCAGAGACUCCUUCCUCCCCGCCGAUACGGCCGUUCCCCAUCGCUUCCCACCCACUCCCACACGGCCACCGCGACGACCACUGUCCCGAUCUCCGGCCACCGCCACCACCACCGACACCAUGUCGUCCACCACGGCAGGGGCCGCCCUCCUCCUCCGCCCCACCUCCUCCACGACGAACCAUCUCCUCCGCUUUGCCAGCCCCUGCCCCAAAUCCCACCUCCUCCGCCUCCACUCGCCACGCCGCCGCCUCCCCGUCCUCCGCCUCUCCCUCACGCCCCCCGCCACCGCCGGCAGCAAUUCAGCGCCUUCUCCUCCUUCUCCGCCUCCGUCCUCCACGCCCCCGCCUUCUCUUUUCGCCAACUGGUCUCCGCCGCGCGCGAUCUGGCGGGGGCUCUCGGCGCUGCUCCUCGCAGGGCAGGUCUUCCACCGCGUCCUCACGGGACGCGUCCACCGCCGCAACCUCCUCGCCCAGCUCCGUCGCGUGGGCCCCGGGAGCGCGGGGGUCUCGCUCCUCACCGCCGCCUUCGUCGGCAUGGCCUUCACCAUCCAGUUCGUGCGCGAGUUCACCCGCCUCGGUCUCCACCGCUCCGUUGGUGGCGUCCUUGCCCUCGCGCUCGCCCGCGAGCUCACCCCGGUCGUCACCGCCGUCGUCGCUGCCGGCCGAGUUGGCUCCGCCUUUGCCGCCGAGCUCGGCACCAUGCAGGUGUCCGAGCAGACGGACACCCUCCGCGUCCUCGGCUCACAGCCCAUCGAUUACCUCGUGGUUCCCCGGGUCCUCGCUUGCGUGCUUGCGCUCCCUGUCCUAACCCUCAUCAGCUUCGCCCUCGGGCUCGCCUCCUCGGCGUUCUUGGCCGACGCCGUCUUUGGUGUAAGCACCAGCAUCAUUCUGGAGUCAGCACGCAAGGCGCUGCGACCAUGGGACUUGAUCAGCGCCUUGAUAAAAUCACAGGUGUUCGGUGCCAUUAUUGCGGUGGUGAGCUGUGCAUGGGGUGUGACAACCCACGGAGGAGCCAAGGGCGUUGGCGAGUCCACAACGUCUGCAGUGGUCAUUUCCUUGGUUGGAAUUUUCAUUGCAGACUUCGCCCUUUCGUGCCUGUUCUUCCAGGCUGGUGCUGGUGAUUCACUAAAGCACGCGAUGGGUUAAGCUAUACCACGGCAGAGACAUUUUUGGGUCGUACCAGCAUAAUUUAGUUCUGUACAUUGACCAAAGUGUAGUAGUGGAUUCAAGGAGGGCAGCAUUGCAACAUCAGCCACACUCCAGGUGAAUGAGUUAUUUUUGUUGUGAUAUCCUUUGGAAGUAAACUAUUGUGCAUUAUGCACAUUCUGUAAUUUUUUGCUCAAUUGUUUGCAUCUGAUCUGUGUAGUCUUACCACCACUUGAAAAAAGAAAUAAAACUACUUCUGUCCAAGUUGCACUUGCUAACAGAGAUGUAAAGCAUUUUAAGAUCAGCUCAAGCAUUCAAGCGGCACUGUAAAAUACAAAUGUUUUUAGUGAGAUAUGGUGCUGUGAGGAAACCACAGUGAAUUGGCGAUCAAUAUUGUUGAUCAAUUGCAACGUUGUACUCCAGGAGAUCACAUACAUUAGGUCUUAUUAAGAAUAGUGGCAAUUCCUUUCGAUGCUUUAGUCGUCCUUGGAUGAGAAGAACUGCAGAAUUUUUGUUGAUAUAUCUGGGAAUAUGCGAGUUGGACGAUAGUCUUUGUCGAGGCAAACAACGGUUCCUUUGGCUUCCAGUACGGGCUGCAAGGAGUUCAAAAGGUGAGAUAUACACGGCAAUGCCUAGAAAUAUACUCCCUCCGUCCCAUAAUGUAAGACGUUUUUUUACUCUAUUGUAGUGUCAAAAAACGUCUUACAUUACGGGACGGAGGGAGUAGUUGAUAUAGACCACAAAUUUGAGUACCUUAUGUUGGAACACUUGGCACAUGCACAAGAUGUAAAUGCAUACCUUAUGAUCGGGCAGUGUCUCAAUUGUUUGCGCAAAGAUCACUCUUACACCUUUGAUUUGCUCGAGCUUCACCUUGAUGACAAACCUGUCACCACUCUGGCAAAACUAGAUAAACUUGUUGAGUUUUCUUGACGAUAUGGUAUAUCUGAUGUACAUGAAUCUGACUAGGAAAAUCAUGUGUUGGUGAACUACAUCAUGGUAUCUCUUUCGCAUGACCAGCAUGUCUAUCUGAAUUAAUAAACUUGAUCUUUGUAUCUUCUAUAUUUAUUAAAUCCUUGAGGAAUUUCAUUUCAGUUUCAGCACCAGUGGUCCUAUGUUUUCUGUAUUGUGCUGUGCUUUUAGCAAAACGUACCCUUAAAGGUGCAAUGUACUUUAGUUGUACUUCUGAAAGAGCGAGCGCAUUGCCUUUGGAUGUUAUCGCGUCUACACUGAUUCCAAGGCUUUCAAAUAGCUUGUCAUGACCUGUUACAACAUGAAGGCUAUGUAUAAAUCAUUUCACUUCGAAAGGAUCCACAGCACUCUUUGAAAAUUGACAUGGCUAACCGUUUUGAAUGUAAUAACUGUAGACAGCGUUGUGGACAACACCAUAUCGGUCAAGUUCCGUGUCAUGAACUUUCAUCUCAACUUGAAAACAUUUGUCCUUCCUGGCAUAGCAAGUAUUAGCAAAUAUACUAAUUAUAAUAUCUUUUGUUACAAUCAAAUAACAGAAGAGGGAUGGUCUCAGAGAACCUUAUGCUGUAUUCCUGGUUUGUGUUCACACUAGUCACAGCUUGUAGGGGGUUGGAUGCUCUAAGAACAGCCUUGACCUGGUGCUGGUGGAGAUAUGCUUGGCCAAAGGGCAUCACACGGUGGCAGUAACUUGAUCUGCCACCACCAGCAGUGUAUACCCGGCGUGGAUGUUGAGGGAACUGAUUGGUGGCAAGAGGAAUAUGCGCGCCUAUCUGCUGCAUUGUGGAUUCCGAUGGUGUUUGUUAUUGGUGGCGAUGCUGCUAACUUAUAGGGAUUGUGAUUUUAGAAGGCACCUGAUUCUUUAACAUUCUCCGUAGACUUUCAGUCUGACACUCUGAGCGUACACCUCUACAUUUCUAAACGAGUGUGCUGGUGAUAUUAUUUGGGUGCAAAGGACAUUGACUUCUGAACUUGGUGUUUGAACUGUUGAGUGUGAUUCUGUUAUGGCGCUGCUAGAAGGAGGGCGCGAGAGGGCCGGCCGGGGGCCUUAUUGCCCACGGCCGGGCAGGAGGGAAGGGAUUUCCUUCUUAAUUCUUACUCCCUCCGUCCGGAAAUACUUGUCAUCAAAAUGAAUAAAAGGGGAUGUAUCUAGAUGUAUUUUAGUUCUAGAUACAUCUCUUUUUAUCCAUUUUGAUGACAAGUAUUUUCGGACGGAGGGAGUACUUGAUUAGAUUGAUACAUCUCCUAUCUUUAUAUAGAGAGGUUUACUUGACUCUCAAGCAAGGCUUACUUGUCCCCUAAGUAAGGGGCCCUUUUUUCUAAUUAACCCUAAGACUAAUGGGUCCAUUAGGCCCAUUACAUAUUCUAACACUACAUCCCACCUGGACAUGCAGUUUGUCCUUGAGCUGCAGCCUAAACAACUUAUAACCAUGACUCAACGCAACGCAAAUCUAACACCUAAAAACAAGCCUUUUACAUCUCGGCUUGUUUUAUUAUUCUCAACCUGAAAUGGACUGGGUCGCUUUAUUUUGGACCCCUUAACAAAAAGUGGACACCAUCCGCACGUCGGAUGUGCACGUGUACAACCACCUGGAUCCCAUGGACACCACCUGGACAAAAGGAGUGCAUGUGUAUGACCACCUGGAAGUGGUCGCAAGAGUGACCAGCAGAGGCGCCCUUGUGGCGGCCGGUGGCGGAAUGCAGUGGUGCUACGCGGUGCGCCACUGUCGUGACACCAUGUCUUCUCCCUGCCGGACGGCUGUUGGUUUGCACCGCACAUGGAAGAGUGGAGGGCUUGCGAUGGAGAAUGACGAGGAGGGGUGCCCCCCCCCCCAACCGCCGAUGUCGCAGACUUUAAGGUCGCUGCCCGCGGGGAAAACAACAUGCCUGCCGCCCAUGGGGGAAACCGCAUGCCCAAGAUCCCCGACGCAACGGAUGAGAUUGAGGUCCUUUGCGCAGCGAAGGGCAACUUGGAGGAGCGGCAGCUGCAGACCGCACAUCUCCCGCACAUGCCAACGCGCUAGGAGGCCGCGCGCAGCAGCCUCACCGCCGCCGACACAUGGCGGGUAGCGAUCCAAGACGGAAACGGUGACGGCGAUGGCGGGGACUGGACUUGGUGAAGCGGGACUCCCGCCGGUGCGGUCGAUGCGGGACCGGAGCUGACCAGCGGUGGCUGCUGCAGCUGCAGCGGCGGAGCGGCGGGCGCGGCGGAGGCCGCCAGGAGCGGCGGCUGCCACUGCAGCCAGGGCUGGGCGGUGGUGGCGAUGGAUGGCAGCUGCAACGGCUACUACAGUGGCCCGGCGAGCGUGGCAAAGGCCGCCUGGUGCGGCGGCUGCCACAGCGGUGCGGGGCCGGCGAUGGGCGCUGGAGGCGNNNNNNNNNNNNNNNNNNNNNNNNNNNNNNNNNNNNNNNNNNNNNNNNNNNNNNNNNNNNNNNNNNNNNNNNNNNNNNNNNNNNNNNNNNNNNNNNNNNNNNNNNNNNNNNNNNNNNNNNNNNNNNNNNNNNNNNNNNNNNNNNNNNNNNNNNNNNNNNNNNNNNNNNNNNNNNNNNNNNNNNNNNNNNNNNNNNNNNNNNNNNNNNNNNNNNNNNNNNNNNNNNNNNNNNNNNNNNNNNNNNNNNNNNNNNGCUGGGGCUGCAGCGUCCCAGCAAACGCUGCGGAGGCCCUUGGAUGCGGCGAGUACCACGGCAGGGCCGGCGGCCCGGUGGCGGCAGCGGCCCGUAUGGGCUGGCCAGGUACAGCCGGAUUCCCUGGACGGCUGUGACGAGGUCGUUGAGGACCCCGGUGAUCUCCUCCGGGUGUAGGCGGUGGCCGGUGGUGCGGUGGAGGACGCCGACAUCUGGGCGGUGGCGGCGUCGGAGGAUGCGACCAGCGGCGCAGAUGGGGAGGGCAGCGGCGCGGUGUAGAUGGCCAGCGGCACGGUGGUGACGGUCGGCAGCCGAAGCGACGGGGUGGGCGGCGGAUCGUUACUGAGCUACCUGAUACCAAAUUGUUAUGGCGCUGCUAGAAGGAGGGCGCGAGAGGGCCGGCCGGGGGCCUUUUUGCCCACGGCCGGGCAAGAGGGAAGGGAUUUCCUUCUUAAUUCUUACUUGAUUAGAUUGACACAUCUCCUCUUUUAUAUAGAGAAGGUUUAUUUGACUCUUAAGCAAGGCUUACUUGACCCCUAAGCAAGCUACCCUUAUUUCUAAUUAAUCGUAAGACUAAUAGGUCCAUUAGGCCCAUUACUUACUCUAACAGAUUCAGUUACACACAGCUGAUCUGAUCUGAUUUAGUUCCAGUAUAAGGUACAACAAGCCUGAAGAUGGGGGCUUAGUCUUCUAAAAUUUAUGAACUUGUGCGCCGUAGACAUCCGUUGGCCUGCAAAGAGGAUUAACUUUGAAUUCUAACUUUGAGCGAGUGCGUAGCUACACAUGUCAGAUCAUCAUUUUUGCUUGCUGCCGAAUUCAUCUGGCAUGGGGGCGUCUGGGUCUUCUAUUGUGCCUUCUUGAUCCUGUAGUUCAGAGAAUUAUAUCUUCAAUAUAUUCCCGUUUCGUAAGUGUCACGGCCUUCCUGAAGACUGAGGCACAACGACUGAAGAAGAGAGCAGAGAAGAGAGAGCGGAGCAGGCUGACUCAUGCACUCAAGGCCGCCACAGGGGAGGCUGGCCCAUGACGCCCAGCAGCGAGUCCAGCCCGCUUAGGAAGUCACCGCUACAAGUAGUCAGAGCGUGCGUGGCUGCAGGGGCAUCGAAUGUAAAAUGCCAGAUUGGUUGUAUUUCUCCUACCUUCCUUCUUCCCCUUCCCCAAGCCUUCUCUCGAUCUGAUCCAGACCUCGGCGUGACGCCAGGAACCCUUGUAUCCCCGUAAUUCUCUCGAAUUCAAGCAAUAGAUUGAUCCCGAGGGUAACACUUGGUAUCUAGAGCCAGUCCUUCAUCUUUCCCCCCAAAAAAAAUUCGAGCGUGUGGUGCUUGUUCAGCGGCGUGCGGCGGCGGUGGAGCACUUGUUGGGGUGCGAUUCGAGUCGUUGGUCGGUUGGUCGCGAAUCCUUCGCGACUCAUAAAAUCCCGUGCCUGCGAUUUGGAUUUUGAGCAUCAGGAACGAUGCCAUGGACCAGAUGCGCGCGGACCUGGCGGAGAUGAAGACGACCAGUGCGUUGGUCGCGGCAUCGGUCAAAUCGAUGUCGGAGACCAUCCAGGCCAUGUCGAGCUGGAUGCCGAAGGUCGAUAAAUCGAUCGGCUCGCUGCAGUCAGCCAUCACUAAGGUGGGCGCUCGGGUGGCAGUGCUGGAAGCAGAGCAACCACCAGCAACGACCCCUAUUCGACCUCGGCCCCAUGGGCACGGCGUUGACAAUCAGCACCAGGGUACUGCGCUUGGAGCUAACAACGCUCCCGCGCCUGCCCUGGGCAGGGGUAAGCGUGAUUUCGCCCCUACACCAAUUUCUUUUGACUUGGAGCACAGCGCAUAUUCAUCUGAUCACAUUCAUGGCUCUGGUUUUCGCUCGGGACAUUCGGGUGGUCGCAUGCCGAAAACUGAUUUCCCAAAAUUUGAUGGGGACAAUCCUACGUGGUGGAAAACCAUAGCUGAAAAGUAUUUUGCUAUGUAUGUUGUGCCACAUGAAACUUGGGCUAGUUUUGCAACCUUGCAUUUUCGCGGCAAUGCUGCCUUGUGGUUACAGACUUAUGAGGCGAUGCAUAACGUUGAUAGCUGGGAGGAACUGGUAGUUGCCGUUUCUCAAAAAUUUGGCAAGGAUAAAUACCAUAGGCAUUUAGAGAGCUUAGAGCGCAUUAGUCAGACUGGUACCGUAGAAGAGUAUCAUCACAAUUUUGAGGAAUUGAUGCAUAAAGUGUUAGUCUACAAUAAGAAUUAUGACGAAGUAUUUUUUGUGACCAAAUUUGUAAAAGGAUUAAAACCUGAAAUUCAGUCAGCUAUACGUUUACACAAGCCGAGGACUGUUGAUGCCGCUUUGUCUCUUGCUCAAACGCAGGAAGAUUUGCUCGAGGAGGUGAAGAUGGCUUCAAGCUCUCGCUACAGAAAUGAUUACAAGUUUUCUGCCCGCAAUGAGCACAAAAUAAUGUGCAGUUCAAAGGAAUUAUGGGUGCAUCGCCUGAAGACAAAUCAGUGGCAAAUGAUAAAGCCAAAUUAGCCCAAAAGUUGGCUGCACUGAAAGCAGUUCGCAAAGAGAAAGGGUUGUGCUUCAAAUGUGGAGAAAAAUAUCACCGAGGACAUAUAUGUACUCCCUCGCCGCAUUUGCAGUUGAUCGAAGAACUCUUGUUACUGCUGGAUGUCAAAUUGGAUGAGGACACAGAUGCGGACGAGCAAGGCUCUGACAACGACACUGAUGGAUUAAUGCAUCUCUCGGAAUGUGCUGCAGCAGGAACGACAGCCAAGAAGACCAUAAGGUUGCACGCUAUGCUGAAUGGGCAUCAAGUGUUGGUGUUAGUUGACUCGGGCAGCUCCAGUAACUUCAUCAGCAAGGCAGCGGUGCAGCGUAUUCAGAUUCCGACAGUUCCUGUGACUGCGGCAAAAGUGACCAUUGCUGAUGGGGGGCUUAUGUCCAGUAGUGAGAUGGUUCCAGCAGCAGUGUGGUCAUGCCAAAGGCAUGUGUUUGCGACUGAUUUGCGAGUGCUCAAAUUGAGAUGUUAUGAUGUAAUUCUUGGAAUGGAAUGGCUUGAAUCGUUGGGGCCUAUGUGGAUUGAUUGGAAAAAGAAAUUAUUUCGUUUCCGACACGAGGGCAGGCGUAUUACACUGCGAGGCGUCAAAGACAACAUAUCCACCUGUGCAGAAAUUGAUGGCCAUCAGCUUUCAUUGCUUAUGCAGACAGGUGUUGUGUCGCACCUGAUUCAGUUAAGUGGUGUGUCUGAUAAGCAAACUUCAGAUGAAGUGCCGCCACAAAUUCAGCAGUUGUUGGAGGUGCACAAAGAUCGUUUCGAUGAGCCCAAAGGGUUGCCUCCAGCACGGGACUAUGAUCAUCAAAUUCCCCUGCUACCAGGAGCUCAACCAGUUGCGGAUACGUCCCUAUCGUUACUCGCCACAACAAAAGGAUGAGUUGGAAAAACACAUCAGUGCAAUGCUACAACAAGGAAUAAUUCAAGUUAGUCGUAGCCCGUUCGCAGCACCUGUGUUGCUGGUCCGGAAGAAGGAUGGAACAUGGCGAUUCUGUGUAGACUAUCAGCAGCUCAAUGCCAUCACAAUCAAGAACAAAUAUCCGAUGCCGGUAGUCGAGGAGUUGCUUGAUGAGUUGUCAGGUGCAGCAUUUUUCAGUAAGUUGGACUUGCGAGCCGGGUACCACCAGAUUCGUAUGGUUCCUGAAGAUGAAGCUAAAACAGUAUUUCGCACCCACAACGGCCACUAUGAGUUCAAGGUCAUGCCAUUUGGUGUUACUGAUGGACCGUCCACAUUCCAGUCGGCCAUGCACAUUACUUUGGCCCUGGGUCUACGGAAAUAUGUGUUGUCCUUCUUCGAUGACAUCUUGGUUUUUUCCCAAACCCUGGAAGAGCACUGCCAGCACUUGGAUCAGGUGUUCAAAAUGUUGCGCGAGCAUCAGUUCUAUGUGAAACGAAGCAAGUGCACGUUUGCAAAGGAGUCGCUUGAGUACCUGGGACACAUUGUUAGCAAGCAUGGCGUGUCGACGGAUCCAGCUAAAGUAGUUGCAGUCCAACUAUGGCCCAUGCCCGGUAACGUGAAGCAACUACGGGGGUUCCUUGGUUUAGCAGGAUACUAUCGUAAGUUCAUCCGCGGUUUUGGCAUCAUUAGCCGUUCUCUGACAGACCUACUGAAGAAAAACACCCCUUUUGUGUGGACAUCAGCGACGACCGCUUCUUUUGAUGCCUUGAAACAAGCACUUGUGCAGGCACCAGUUUUGGCACUUCCGGACUUCAAAGUGCAGUUUGUGUUGGAAACGGACGCUUGUGAUACAGGUGUAGGGGCGGUAUUGAUGCAAAAAGGGCAUCCAGUGGUCUUUCUCAGUAAGGGCUUGGGCGUGAAGAAUCGAUCCCUUUCAACGUACGAUAAAGAAUGCUUGGCCAUCUUAAUGGCUGUGGAGAAGUGGAAGGCAUAUCUGCAAGCAGGAGAAUUUUUGAUAUGCACGGAUCAGCGUAGUCUGGUCCAUCUCAGUGAUCAGCGAGUGACCAUGCCAAUGCAACAGAAGGCUUUCCUCAGACUUAUGGGGUUGCAGUACAAGAUAGUGUACAAGCAAGGCAAGUCAAACAUCGCGGCCGAUGCCCUGUCUCGUCAAACACACAAUGAGCAGUUGCACAGUAUCACAUCAGUGUAGCCACGUUGGCUGGAAAUCAUUGUUGAAGGCUAUGAGAAAGAUCCACUAGCACAAAAACUGAUGUCUGAGUUGGCCCUAUCUAGUCCAAACGACCAAGGAUAUGCAUUGGACAAAGGAGUAAUUCGAUACCAGGGCAAAAUUUGGCUUGGGAGUCACUCCGAGGCACAUGAUGCCGUGCUAAAGGCACUCCAUUCUAGCGCAAUUGGGGGGCACUCUGGUAUGGAAGCCACCUACCAGCGCGUUGCUGCCUUGUUCAUCUGGCCGGGAAUGAAGAGCUAUAUUUAGAAAUAUGUGCAAUCCUGUGUUGUCUGUCAGCAAGCAAAAGGAGAGCAUGUCAAGUACCCAGGGAAGCUACAACCUCUCCCAGUUCCACCUGAAGCUUGGCAUACCAUCAGUAUGGAUUUCAUCGAGAAACUACCCCUCUCUCAUGGGUUUGACACGAUCCUUGUAGUGGUGGACAAAUUUUCCAAAUAUGCCCAUUUCAUCGCACUCAGACACCCCUUUACAGCACUGUCAGUGGCCCAAGUGUUCAUCAACAAUGUGUACAAGCUGCAUGGGAUGCCGCAGACCAUUGUGUCCGAUAGAGACAAGGUUUUUACUAGCAGACUGUGGCAGAAUCUGUUCAAAAUGGCAGAUGCAACCUUGAAUCUCAGCUCGGCGUACCAUCCACAAACGGAUGGACAAACGGAGAGGGUCAACCAGUGUUUGGAGACGUUCUUGCGAUGCUUUGUGCAUGCAAACCCAAAGAAAUGGUCGCAAUGGUUGUCUCAAGCAGAAUUCUGGUAUAACACCUCCUUCCAUUCGGCGGUUGGCCGCACUCCUUUUGAGAUCAUGUAUGAACAGCGACCCAAGCACUUUGGCAUACAACCUACAGAGGGAUUGACACCAGUGGAUUUACAACAACGGUUGGCAGAACGCUCCACAAUGUAGCAGCUCAUCCAACAACACUUGCACAGAGCGCAAUAGAGAAUGAAGAAGUUUGCAGACCGCAAGCGGUCUGAACGAGUGUUUGAGGUGGGGGACAAGGUGUAUCUGCAAUUACAACCACACAUCCAAACUUCGGUGGCUCCAAGAUCGUCUCACAAACUCUGUUUUCGUUUCUUUGGACCAUUUGAAGUGCUUCAACGCGUGGGAGCAGUGGCCUACAAACUCAAGCUGCCGGGUGGAAGCCAAGUACACCCAGUUUUUCACGUGUCCCAACUGAAAAAAGCAGUGGCGCCUACAACACCGGUGAGUACUGACCUUUCUGUUCUGCUCAUUGCUGAUGACAAGAGACAACCUGAGCAGAUUUUGGAGGCGAGGCUGGUGCGGCAAGGCAAGAAGCUGCUUCCGCAAGUCAAGACUCUUUGGACUGGACUGCCAGAAAGCUUUGCUACCUGGGAACAACUUCAUGCUCUUCAUCAAAGGUACGCGGAAGCACCAGCAUGGGGACAUGUUGCGUCUCGGGGAGGGAGCAUUGUCACGGCCUUCCUGAAGACCGAGGCACAACGACUGAAGAAGAGAGCAGAGAAGAGAGAGCGGAGCAGGCUGACUCAUGCACUCAAGGCCGCCACAGGGGAGGCUGGCCCAUGACGCCUAGCAGCGAGUCCAGCCCGCUUAGGAAGUCACCGCUACAAGUAGUCAGAGCGUGCGUGGCUGUAGGGGCAUUGAAUGUAAAAUGCCAGAUUGGCUGUAUUUCUCCUACCUUCCUUCUUCCCCUUCCCCAAGCCUUCUCUCGAUCUGAUCCAGACCUCGGCGUGACGCCAGGAACCCUUGUAUCCCCGUAAUUCUCUCGAAUUCAAGCAAUAGAUUGAUCCCGAGGGUAACAGUAAGAUGCUACUCCCAUCUGUUAGUCUGAUCCUACGGCACUGCGUUUUUUUUAGGAACCCCACGGCACUGCAUGAUACUCCCUCCGUCCGAAAAUACUUGUCGGAGAAAUGGAUGAAAAUGGGUGUAUCUAAAACUAAAUUGCGUCUAGAUACAUCCAUUCCUCCGACAAGUAUUUUCGGACGGAGGGAGUAUUAAGGGUUUCGCUUGUUCAAAGGAUGCAUUGGAAAGUGGGGCCAGUACUACCAAUCCACUCCAUCGUGACUCUUUAAAAAAAGGACUUCGAAAAGAAAAAAACACUCCACCGCGAAAUCAGUUAUUUACCUGGUGUUAGAGCAAGUCUAGUAGAACCCUCAAACCCCUAAAAAUAACCGCUUUUUUUUUUACAGUUUUCGCCGAAAAAACGUCGUAGACUAGAACCUCUAAACCCUCAAACCCGUAAAACAAUGAGAGAAUUCCUUAUUUGGCCCUUUCUUAAAAUUUGCUUCCCUUUUUGGCCCAAAAAACUUGUUUCUUCCCUUUUUGUCGCUUAAACUUUAUUUUGUUCCUCACGUGACAUUUCCGUCAGUUUUGGCUAGUAACGGUGUUAAGUCUGACCUAAAAAGACGAUUUUACCCCUUGUGUAGUAUGUGACCAGAUUAUUUACAUGCAAACACAAAGGUAACAUGAUAUAUAUUUUGUCAUGAAUAACAAACAAAAAAUAGUACCAGAUGUCUAAAUACAAAAAAAUGUUGCAUGGGACUAAUCAUAAUUACUACAUUACGAGCAGAACAAUGACGACCCAUUCAGCCUCUACUGUAGCGUAUAAAUUUGUACAGGUUAAUGUUACGGGUGAUAAAUUAGACCGCGGUAUGUCAACAAGUGAUAUCCCUUAGCUGUGUUCGCACCUCGAUUGUGGCACACGCUCAUGCCAUUUUGUUACAGAUUGACUGGCUACAAUUUGCAAGAAGCCAAGAGCACAAGCUUCUGAUUCUACAGGAGUCGUUUCAAAAAAUGUCUCCAUCAAGUCUAAAUAAUCAUCUAAACUACCCACACACACACGAAUCAAUGAGUCACUACCUGCCGAGAUUGAAUUGAUCCAGCUACUCCGAUGGCGUACGCCCGUGAGGUGCCGGCUAGACUAGCGUGCACUGUUCCAACAUGCAAAAUCUGUGCAAUAUAAUACGUCGGACACGUCGGACACGUCCGAUGCAAUAUCUGUGCAGUAUCAUUUUUUCGAUUUAAGGAUAAAGAAAAAUGGCGAUAUGGCCGCCGGGACGGCGCCGACACAGCGACACGGGAAGCCCAGUACUUGGUGCCGUGCUGCGUCUGUGAUGCGAUGCCUGUGUGUGCUUGCUGGGUAUGUGUGCAUCCUUGUUGUGUAGGAGUACUCGUGUGUGUUUGUGUGUGCGCGCGCGCUGCCGGCUGCUGCUGGGCGCUGGCGUGGCCCUCCUGGAUACACGCUACGCGCUGCCGGCUGCUGCUGGGCGCUGGCGAGGCCCUCCUGGAUACACGCUACACCAGGCUCUCCCGGAUGGAGCUGCAACACUUUCGUCCAUUCAUGUUCAUGCCAUUUUUCUUCCAUUUUUUGCUAACAUACUACCAUCAAGGGCAAAACAGUCUUUGUACAUGUCAGUUAACACCGUUGGAUGGAAAAAUGGAUGGAAGUGUCACGUAAGGAACAAAAUGUAGUUUAAGUGUCAAAAAGGAAAGAAACAAGUUUUUUGGGUCAAAAAGGGAAGCAAAUUUUAAGAAAGGGCCAAAUAAGGGAUUCUCUCUAAAACAAUUUAGAGGUCCAACCCUCAAACCAGUUUGCAGCCUGUAGAAGUAGGGGUUGAGAGGAAAAUCUUCCCCCAACCCGUACUCCUCCUCCUCUCUCGCGCGGGAGGAAACUUCCUCCUCCUCCCGGCCUCCUCCUCCCGCCGCCUCCCGCCGCCUCUUGCCGCGUCGGCCAUGGAGGGCCCCGCCGCCGCCGCGCCCACCCCGUCCGCCCUGACGCCCGCCCCCGCCCACCCGACCGUGGCCGACGUGGUGGCGGCGACCNNNNNNNNNNNNNNNNNNNNNNNNNNNNNNNNNNNNNNNNNNNNNNNNNNNNNNNNNNNNNNNNNNNNNNNNNNNNNNNNNNNNNNNNNNNNNNNNNNNNNNNNNNNNNNNNNNNNNNNNNNNNNNNNNNNNNNNNNNNNNNNNNNNNNNNNNNNNNNNNNNNNNNNNNNNNNNNNNNNNNNNNNNNNNNNNNNNNNNNNNNNNNNNNNNNNNNNNNNNNNNNNNNNNNNNNNNNNNNNNNNNNNNNNNNNNNNNNNNNNNNNNNNNNNNNNNNNNNNNNNNNNNNNNNNNNNNNNNNNNNNNNNNNNNNNNNNNNNNNNNNNNNNNNNNNNNNNNNNNNNNNNNNNNNNNNNNNNNNNNNNNNNNNNNNNNNNNNNNNNNNNNNNNNNNNNNNNNNNNNNNNNNNNNNNNNNNNNNNNNNNNNNNNNNNNNNNNNNNNNNNNNNNNNNNNNNNNNNNNNNNNNNNNNNNNNNNNNNNNNNNNNNNNNNNNNCCAAGCGGCGGCGGGCGGGCCUCGCACCUCCUCCUGCCGCCUCCCCGGCUCCCGCCCCGGCCACCAUCACCGCCCUGGCGCCCGCCCCCGCCGCCUCCCCGGCUCCCGCCCCGGCCACCAAGAAGAGUCGGCCGAAGGCGCCAUCCAAGGUCGCCCCGGCCGUGAAGAUGCAGCGGAAGAAGCGCGCGGUGCGGAAGAAGGCCGCACCCCCGCCCGCCACCGUCGCCGAACCUCCUUUCAUCGCCGUGCCCGAACCUCCUCCCGCCGCGCACGAGGUGUUCGAGAAAAUGGCAACCCCAUCCUCGUUCAUGGACCUCCUCCAAAACGCGGAGGUGGACCUCGGGGCUCCGCCUCUCGAACCCUUUAGGGUUGGUGAUGACUUAGAGGAAGAUGAGGAGGAUGAAGGUGAUGACGAGGAGGAUGUGGCCGAGAUAGGGGAGGAGGCAUUCACCGCCGCUUCCCGCCCACACGCGCGGUCGACAAACUACACCGAGGCGGAAGAUAUCCUCUUGGUUCGUGCUUGGGCAGCUAUGGGAAUGGAUGCAACCACCGGCACCGAUCAAACCGGUAAACGGUAUUGGCAAAGGAUCGAGGACACCUAUUGUAGGAUCAAGCCAAAGAAUAGUGGGUUCAUCUCUCGCACUUACUGGUCGCUUCAAGGCCGGUGGGAGUUGAUCAAGCCCGCUUGUGCUUGUUGGAGUGCGGCCAUGGACCAAGUGAGGGAUGCACCACCUAGUGGAACCGUGGAGAGUGACUAUGUGAGUACAUAUUUCUUCACUAUUUUGAUUAUGUGUGUGUACUAUGCUAUUGGUGGGUUCUUAUGUGAUUUAUGUGUGGUUGAUAGGAGACAAUUGCCGGCAUGAGGUACAAGGAGAUGGCUGCUUCCAAGGGCAAGCCAUUCCCAUUUAAGCAUGCUUGGACAAUUCUUCAAACCUUUGACAAGUGUAAGUUGAGGGAUCAAGAGACCGCACCCAAGAAGUCGGCAAUGCUUAGGAUGGAUGAUAGUGAAGAUGAGGAGGAAAGGAACUUGGGCAAGCCCGAGGGAACCAAGAAGGGCAAGCUAAGGGUGAAGAUGGAAGAAGAGGCGUCAAGCCUAAGGGAGAAGAUGGACCACAUGAUGAAGGCAAGAGAGGAAUUGACAACGAAGACAUUGGAGACGAAGCUUCUUAUCACCGAGAAGAAGAAAGAGGUCAAGCUUGCAUAAGUUGAAGCAAAGCGUGAAGAAGCAAAGCGCAAGGCCGAGUUGGAGGAGAGGAUGAUCAAGCUCAAAGAGGCAAAGGUAUGGAAAGAACUCAUGGUGGAAGAGAAAGAGCACAUGAUGAUGUCCAAGAAGGACAUGGAUCAAGACCAAUUGCAAUGGUGGAAGGACUACAAGGAGGACAUCGCGAAGAGGAAGAGGAUGUUCCAUGUCGCGUCCUCUACUUUUCGAGGUGACACUCCGAUGAGUAGUUGUGGCGAUGGCGGUGUGUACGACUCCACCGAUGCCCAUGGAGAUGCUUGAUGGAGCCCGCAUGUGGUCUAGGAGAUGGCGCCGAGGUGCAACUUUUUGGUGAUGGUGCCGAUGAGAGGAGGAAGAUGAUGAUUUUGUGAUGUAAACUAUUAAACCAUGCAUCAGUGAUUGUCAUUUGGUAGUUUGUUUGGAAGUUGAUUGUGUUCUUGUUGUCAUAAAUUGUGAGAUGUCAUAUGAUAGAUUUAAAGGUUGGGGUUGAGGCAAAGACUAGAACCCUCAAAUCCAAUCCUUAAAGCAGUUUAAGGGUUGGGUUUGAGGGUUCUAGUAUUUGCCCCUGUUUUUCAACCCUUAAAAGUGUCAAAAAGUGGCACUUCUCAACCCUUAAAACUGCUUUAAGGAUUUGAGGGUUUGAGGGUUCUACUAGUAAUGCUCUUAGACGUUGUUGUGGUCAGGGCACACUACUCCAACAGCUCCAUGGAAAGCCAUCAUUUCUGGACAUAGCUGUGUCAACAUUGGUCUUAACCCAAAACAAAUAAAAAAACAUUGGUCUUAACCGUUUUUUAGGGUAACCAAGGACUUUAUUCAAAGUUCAAAAAUAUCCGAAAUAUAAUAAAGCACGGAUUGAGUCUGUCGGGUUCAUCGUCGCGGAUCUUUUGCGAAAAAGCCCCUACGUUUUUUUAUAUUCAAUCCGCAGUCCAAAUCGAACUGGUACGAGGGGCAAAACAACACAACCACGCUCUGCCUCGUAGCGCUCCCCCCGCGCCGCCGACCUCCUCCUCACCGCAUGGCGCCACUGCUCCACAAAACUCCCGCCGAACCACACCUCAUAUCCCCUGGCUACUCCCUCCCACCUCCAGAGCUCUCGCCAUGAGCUAUAUCUGGCGGCCGCCACCCUCAUUGCCCUUGGUUGGGCUUCCCUCAAUAUCCCACCGCCCCAAAGUGUCGCACGCGAUGGAUCCAAGCCGACAACCGCCCCAGUAGGCCUCCCGGCGGCAGAUCCAGGCCGGCAACUACUCCCCUCCUCCCAUGCGACUGAUUGUCUCCACUACGCCCUCCCUUCCAGCUUAGGGUCCGGCAAGCCCCAACCGCCACGCUCCCUCUUUCCUCUCCUCUGCGUCAAGAUCGACUGUGAGCUCACUGGUGCCUGCUCUCUGCUGACCUUCCCUUCCUCAUCUCCCUGCGAGAAGACAGAGCAGUGGUGUUCGGUUAGAACAAAGGAGGACACACAGUCAAGUUUCAGGAACCAAUGCCUCCAUAUUUUUUCUCUUUCUACCGAGUGCUGGCUAAAUAAGCACAACCCUCUUAUUACAAGGUUAGAUCAACUCAACACCAGCAAUAACGGCUAGAAAAAUAUAGAUGAUGACUAGCUAUUGAGAAGCAUAAUAAUGUUUUUAUUUCUUCUUCAUGACAAUCAAGGUCAAACAAAUAUCUUCAUGUUUAUCAGAAUGAAAUAAAAAUGAUGGACAGUGCCACUCCAUUGAUAACUAGAGCUAGCAGCAUGUACAAUGCUAGAAUUUAUUGGGGAACGUUGCAGAAAACAAAAAAUUUCCUACAGUUUCACCAAGAUCAAUCUAUGAGUUCAUCUAGCAACGAGAGAGAGGAGUGCAUCUACAUACCCUUGUAGAUUGAGCGGAAGCGUUCAAGAGAACGGGGUUGAGGGAGUCGUACUCGUCGUGAUCCAAAUCACCGGAGAUCCUAGCGCCGAACGGACGGCACCUCCGCGUUCAACACACAUACGGUCAGCGUGACGUCUCCUUCUUCUUGAUCUAGCAAGGGGGAAGGAGAGGUUGAUGAAGAUCCAGCAGCACGAUGGCAUGGUGGUGGAUACAGCAGGGAUCCCGACAGGGCUUCGCCAAGCGUCUACGGGAGGGAGAGGUGUAGCAAGGGGGAAGGGAGGCGCCAAGUGCAAGGGUGCGGCUGCCCUCCCUCCCCCCUCUAUAUAUAGGGUCCCCAGGGGGGCGCCGGCCCUAGGAGAUGGGAUCUCCUAGGGGGGGCGGCGGCCAAGGGGGUGCCUUGCCCCCCAAGGCAAGUGGAGGCGCCCCCUCCCCUAGGGUUCCCAACCCUAGGCGCAGGGGGGGGGGCAGGGGGGCGCACCAGCCCACCAGGGGCUGGUUCCCCUCCCACUUCAGCCCAUGGGGCCCUUCGGGAUAGGUGGCCCCACCCGGUGGACCCCCGGGACCCUUCCGGUGGUCCCGGUACAAUACCGGUGACCUCCGAAACUUUCCCGAUGGCCGAAACUCGACUUCCCAUAUAUAAUUCUUUACCUUCGGACCAUUCCGGAACUCAUCGGGACGUCCGGGAUCUCAUCCGGGACUCCGAACAACUUUCGGUUUGCUGCAUACUAAUAUCUCUACAACCCUAGCGUCACCGAACCUUAAGUGUGUAGACCCUACGGGUUCGGGAGACACGUAGACAUGACCGAGACGGCGCUCCGGCCAAUAACCAAUAGCGGGAUCUAGAUACCCAUGUUGGCUCCCACAUGCUCCUCGAUGAUCUCAUCGGAUGAACCACGAUGUCGAGGAUUCAAGCAACCCCGUAUACAAUUCCCUUUGUCAAUCGGUAUGUUACUUGCCCAAGAUUCGAUCAUCGGUAUCCCAAUACCUCGUUCAAUCUCGUUACCGGCAAGUCACUUUACUCGUACCGUAAUGCAUGAUCCCGUGACCAGACACUUGGUCACUUUGAUCUCAUUAUGAUGAUGCAUUACCGAGUGGGCCCAAAGAUACCUCUCCGUCAUAUGGAGUGACAAAUCCCAGUCUCGAUCCGUGUCAACCCAACAGACACUUUCGGAGAUACCCAUAGUAUACCUUUAUAGUCACCCAGUUACUUGUGACGUUUGGUACACCCAAAGCACUCCUACGGUGUCCGGGAGUUACACGAUCUCAUGGUCUAAGGAAAAUAUACUUGACAUUGGAAAAGCUCUAGCAAACGAACUACACGAUCUUGUGCUAUGCUUAGGAUUGGGUCUUGUCCAUCACAUCAUUCUCCUAAUGAUGUGAUCUCGUUAUCAAUGACAUCCAAUGUCCAUAGUCAGGAAACCUUGACUAUCUAUUGAUGAACGAGCUAGUCAGCUAGAGGCUCACUAGGGACAUGUUGUGGUCUACGUAUUCACACGUGUAUUACGAUUUCCGGAUAAUACAAUUAUAGCAUGAAUAAAAGACAAUUAUCAUGAACAAGGAAAUAUAAUAAUAAUCCUUUUAUUAUUGCCUCUAGGGCAUAUUUCCAACAGUCUCCCACUUGCACUAGACUCAAUAAUCUAGUUACAUUGUGAUGAAUCGAACACCCAUAGAGUUCUGGUGUGGAUCAUGUUUUGCUCGCGGAAGAGGUUUAGUCAACGGAUCUGCGACAUUCAGAUCCGUAUGUACAUUGCAAAUAUCUAUGUCUCCAUCUUGAACAUUUUCACAGAUGGAGUUGAAACGACGCUUGAUGUGCCUGGUCUUCUUGUGAAACCUGGGCUCCUUGGCAAGGGCAAUAGCUCCAAUGUUGUCACAGAAGAGAGUGAUCGGCCCCGACACAUUGGGUAUGACUCCUAGGUCGGUGAUGAACUCCUUCAUCCAUAUUGCUUCAUGUGCUGCCUCCGAGGCUGCCAUGUACUCCGCUUCACAUGUAGAUCCCGCCACGAUGCUCUGCUUGCAACUGCACCAGCUUACUGCUCCAUGAUUCAACAUAUACAUGUAUCCGGUUUGUGACUUAGAGUCAUCGAAAUCUAUGUCGAAGCUAGCAUCGACGUAACCUUUACGACGAGCUCUUCGUCACCUCCAUAAACGAGAAACAUGUCCUUUGUCCUUUUCAGACACUUCAGGAUAUUCUUGACCGCUGUCCAGUGUUCCUUGCCGGGAUUACUUUGGUACUUCCCUACCAAAUUUACGGCAAGGCUUACAUCAGGUCUGGUACAUAGCAUGGCAUACAUAAUAGAUCCUAUGGCUGAGGUAUAGGGGAUGACACUCAUCUCUUCUAUAUCUUCUGCCGUGGUCGGGCAUUGAGCCGAGCUCAAUCUCACACCUUGCAAUACAGGCAAGAACCCUUUCUUGGACUGAUCCAUAUUGAACUUCUUCAAUAUCUUAUCAAGGUAUGUGCUUUGUGAAAGACCUAUGAGGCGUCUUGAUUCCCUAUAGAUCUUGAUGCCUAAUAUGUAAGCAGCUUCUCCAAGGUCCUUCAUUGAAAAACACUUAUUCAAGUAGGCCUUAAUGCUGUCCAAAAGUUCUAUAUUAUUUCCCAUCAAAAGUGUGUCAUCUACAUAUAAUAUGAGAAAUGCUACAGAGCUCCCACUCACUUUCUUGUAAACGCAGGCUUCUCCGUAAGUCUGCAUAAACCCAAACGCUUUGACCAUCUCAUCAAAGCGAAUGUUCCAACUCCGAGAUGCUUGCACCAGCCCAUAAAUGGAUCGCUGGAGCUUGCACACCUUGUUAGCAUUCUUAGGAUCGACAAAACCUUCCGGCUGCAUCAUAUACAAUUCUUCCUUAAGAUAGCCGUUAAGGAAUGCCGUUUUGACGUCUAUCUGCCAUAUCUCAUAAUCAUAGUAUGCGGCAAUUGCUAACAUGAUUCGGACGGACUUCAGCUUCGCUACGGGAGAGAAAGUCUCAUCGUAGUCAACCCCUUGAACUUGCCGAUAACCCUUAGCGACAAGUCGAGCUUUAUAGAUGGUAACAUUACCAUCCGCGUAUGUCUUCUUCUUAAAGAUCCAUUUAUUUUCUAUCGCUCGCCGAUCAUCGGGCAAGUCUGUCAAAGUCCAUACUUUGUUUUCAUACAUGGAUCCUAUCUCAGAUUGCAUGGCUUCAAGCCAUUUGUUGGAAUCUGGGCCCGCCAUUGCUUCUUCAUAGUUCGAAGGUUCACCGUUGUCUAACAACAUGAUUUCCAGGACAGGGUUGCCAUACCACUCUGGUGUGGAACGUGUCCUUGUGGACCUACGAGGUUCAGUAGCAACUUGAUCCGAAGUACCUUGAUCAUCAUCAUUAAUUUCCUCUCUAGUCGGUGUAGGCACCACAGGAACAUUUUCCUGAGCUGCACUACUUUCCGGUUCAAGAGGUAGUACUUCAUCGAGUUCUACUUUCCUCCCACUUACUCCUUUCGAGAGAAACUCUUUUUCCAGAAAGGAUCCGUUCUUGGCAACAAAGAUCUUGCCCUCGGAUCUUAAGUAGAAGGUAUACCCAAUGGUUUCCUUAGGGUAUCCUAUGUAGACGCAUUUUUCCGACUUGGGUUCGAGCUUUUCAGGUUGAAGUUUCUUGACAUAAGCAUCGCAUCCCCAAACUUUUAGAAACGACAGCUUAGGUUUCUUCCCAAACCAUAAUUCAUACGGUGUCGUCUCAAUGGAUUUAGACGGAGCCCUAUUUAAAGUGAAUGUAGCUGUCUCUAGAGCGUAUCCUCAAAAUGAUAGCGGUAAAUCGGUAAGAGACAUCAUAGAUCGCACCAUAUCCAAUAGAGUGCGAUUACGACGUUCGGACACACCGUUACGCUGAGGUGUUCCAGGCAGCGUGAGUUGUGAAACGAUUCCACAUUUCCUUAAGUGCGUACCAAAUUUGUGACUUAAAUAUUCUCCUCCACGAUCUGGUCGUAAGAACUUUAUUUUUUGGUCACGUUGAUUCUCUACUUCAUUCUGAAAUUCCUUGAACUUUUCAAAGGUCUCAGACUUGUGUUUCAUCAAGUAGACAUACCCAUAUCUACUCAAGUCAUCAGUGAGAGUGAGAACAUAAUGAUAUCCUUCGCAAGCCUCAACGCUCAUUGGAUCGCACACAUCAGUAUGUAUGAUUUCCAAUAAGUUGGUUGCUCGCUCCAUUGUUCCGGAGAACGGAGUCUUGGUCAUUUUGCCCAUGAGGCAUGGCUCGCAUGUGUCAAAUGAUUCAUAAUCGAGAGACUCUAAAAGUCCAUCAGCAUGGAGCUUCUUCAUGCGCUUGACACCAAUGUGACCAAGACGGCAGUGCCACAAGUAUGUGGGACUAUCGUUAUCAACUUUACAUCUUUUGGUAUUCACACUAUGAAUAUGUGUAACAUCACGUUCGAGAUUCAUUAAGAAUAAACCAUUGACCAUCGGGGCAUGACCAUAAAACAUAUCUCUCAUAUAAAUAGAACAACCAUUAUUCUCGGAUUUAAAUGAGUAACCAUCUCGUAUUAAACGAGAUCCAGAUACAAUGUUCAUGCUCAAACUUGGCACUAAAUAACAAUUAUUGAGGUUUAAAACUAAUCCCGUAGGUAAAUGUAGAGGUAGCGUGCCGACGGCGAUCACAUCGACCUUGGAACCAUUCCCGACGCGCAUCGUCACCUCGUCCUUUGCCAGUCUCCGCUUAUUCCGCAGCUCCUGCUUUGAGUUACAAAUAUGAGCAACGACACUGGUAUCAAAUACCCAGGAGCUACUACGAGCACUGGUAAGGUACACAUCAAUUACAUGUAUAUCACAUAUACCUUUAGUGUUGCCGGCCUUCUUGUCCGCUAAGUAUUUGGGGCAGUUCCGCUUCCAGUGACCCUUCCCUUUGCAAUAAAAGCACUCAGUCUCAGGCUUGGGUCCAUUCUUUGACUUCUUCCCGGCAACUGGCUUACCGGGCGCGGCAACAUCCUUGCCAUCCUUCUUGACGUUCUUCUUACCCUUGCCUUUCUUGAACUUGGUGGUUUUAUUGACCAUCAACACUUGAUGUUCCUUUUUGAUUUCUACCUCUGUUGACUUCAGCAUUGAAAAUACUUCAGGAAUAGUUUUCACCAUCCCCUGCAUAUUGUAGUUCAUCACAAAGCUCUUGUAGCUCGGUGGGAGCGACUGAAGGAUUCUGUUAAUGACCGCCUCGUCCGGGAGGUUAAUGUCCAGCUGGGACAGGCGGUUGUGCAACCUAGAUAUUUUGAGUAUGUGCUCACUGACAGAACUAUUUUCCUCCAUCUUACAACUAUAGAACUUGUCAGAGACUUCAUAUCUCUCGACCCGGGCGUGAGCUUGGAAAACCAUUUUCAGCUCCUCGAACAUCUCAUAUGCUCCGUGUUGCUCAAAACGCUUUUGGAGCCCCGGUUAUAAGCUGUAAAGCAUGCCGCACUGAACGAGGGAGUAAUCAUCAGCACGUGAUUGCCAAGCGUUCAUAACGUCUUGGUUCUCUGGGAUGGGUGCUUCACCUAGCGGUCCUUCUAGGACAUAUGCUUUCUUGGCAGCUAUGAGGAUGAUCCUCAGGUUCCGGACCCAGUCUGUAUAGUUGCUGCCAUCAUCUUUCAGCUUGGUUUUCUCUAGGAACACGUUGAAGUUCAUGUUGACAUGAGCGUUGGCCAUUUGAUCUACAAGACAAUUUUUUGCAAAGAUUUUAGACUAAGUUCAUGAUAAUUAAGUUCAUCUAAUGAAAUUAUUUAAUGAACUCCCACUCAGAUUAGACAUCCCUCUAGUCAUCUAAGUGUUACAUGAUCCGAGUCGACUAGGCCAUGUCUGAUCAUCACGUGAGACAGACUAGUCAUCAUCGGUGAACAUCUCCAUGUUGAUCGUAUCUUCCAUACGACUCAUGUUCGACCUUUCGGUCUUUGUGUUUCGAGGCCAUGUCUGUACAUGCUAGGCUCGUCAAGUUAACCUAAGUGUUUUGCAUGUGUAAAUCUGUCUUACACCCGUUGUAUGUGAACGUUAGGAUCUAUCACACCCGAUCAUCACGUGGUGCUUCGAAACAACAAACUAUCGCAACGGCGCACAGUUAGGGGGAACACUUUCUGGAAAUUAUUAUGAGGGAUCAUCUUAUUUACUACCAUCGUUCUAAGUAAACAAGAUGCAAAAACAUGAUAAACAUCACAUGCAAUCAAAUAGUAGUGACAUGAUAUGGCCAAUAUCAUAUAGCUCCUUUGAUCUCCAUCUUUGGGGCUCCAUGAUCAUCUUCGUCACCGGCAUGACACCAUGAUCUCCAUCAUCGUGUCUCCAUGAAGUUUCUCGCCAACUGUUACUUCUACUACUAUAGCUAACGGUUUAGCAAUAAAGUAAAGUAAUUACAUGGCGUUAAAUCAUUGACACGCAGGUCAUACAAUAAUUAAGACAACUCCUAUGGCUCCUGCCGGUUGUCAUACUCAUCGACAUGCAAGUCGUGAUUCCUAUUACAAGAACAUGAUCUCAUACAUCACAAUAUAUCAUUCAUCAUUCAUCACAACUUUUGGCCAUAUCACAUCACAAAGCAAUUGCUGCAAAAACAAGUUAGACGUCCUCUAAUUGUUGUUACAUCUUUUACGUGGCUGCAAUAGGGUUCUAGCAAGAACGUUUUCUUACCUAGGAAAAAGCCACAACAUGAUUUGUCAACUUCUAUUUACCCUUCAUAAGGACCCUUUUCAUCGAAUCCGCUCCAACUAAAGUGGGAGAGACAGACACCCGCUAGCCACCUUAUGCAACUAGUGCAUGUCAGUCGGUGGAACCUGUCUCAUGUAAGCGUACGUGUAAGGUCGGUCCGGGCCGCUUCAUCCCACAAUACCACUGAAGCAAAAUAAGACUAGUAGUGGCAAGAAAGUUGAUAACAUCUACGCCCACAACAGAUUUGUGUUCUACUCGUGCAAAGAGAACUACGCAUAGACCUACCUCAUGAUGCCAUUGUUGGGGAACGUUGCAGAAAACAAAAAUUCUCCUACGGUUUCACCAAGAUCAAUCUAUGAGUUCAUCUAGCAACGAGAGAGAGGAGUGCAUCUACAUACCCUUGUAGAUCGAGCGAAAGCGUUCAAGAGAACGGGGUUGAGGGAGUCGUACUCGUCGUGAUCCAAAUCACCGGAGAUCCUAGCGCCGAACGGAUGGCACCUCCGCAUUCAACACAUGUACGGUCAGCGUGACGUCUCCUCCUUCUUGAUCCAGCAAGGGGGAAGGAGAGGUUGAUGAAGAUCCAGCAGCACGACGACGUGGUGGUGGAUGCAGCAGGGAUCCCAGCAGGGCGUCGCCAAGCGUCUACGGGAGGGAGAGGUGUAGCAAGGGGGAAGGGAGGCGCCAAGUGCAAGGGUGCGGCUGCCCACCCUCCCCCCUCUAUAUAUAGGGUCCCCAGGGGGGGCGCCGGCCCUAGGAGAUGGGAUCUCCUAGGGGGGGGGGCCAAGGGGGUGCCUUGCCCCCUAAGGCAAGUGGAGGCGCCCCCUCCCCUAGGCGCAGGGGGGGCAAGGGGGGGGGGGCGCACCAACCCACCAGGGGCUGGUUCCCCUCCCACUUCAGCCCAUGGGGCCCUUCGGGAUAGGUGACCCCACCCGGUGGACCCCCGGGACCCUUCCGGUGGUCCCGGUACAAUACCGGUGACCCCCGAAACUUUCCCGAUGGCCGAAACUCGACUUCCCAUAUGUAAUUCUUUACCUUCGGACCAUUCCGGAACUCCUCGUGACGUCCGGGAUCUCAUACGGGACUCCGAACAAUUUUCGGUUUGCUGCAUACUAAUAUCUCUACAACCCUAGCGUCACCGAACCUUAAGUGUGUAGACCCUACGGGUUCGGGAGACACAUAGACAUGACCGAGAUGGCUCUCUGGCCAAUAACCAACAACGGGGUCUGGAUACCCAUGUUGGCUCCCACAUGCUCCUCGAUGAUCUCAUCGGAUGAACCACGAUGUCGAGGAUUCAAGCAACCCCGUAUACAAUUCCCUUUGUCAAUCGGUAUGUUACUUGCCCGAUAUUCGAUCGUCGGUAUCUCAAUACCUCGUUCAAUCUCGUUACUGGCAAGUCACUUUAUUCGUACCGUAAUGCAUGAUCCCGUGACCAGACACUUGGUCACUUUGAGCUCAUUAUGAUGAUGCAUUACCGAGUGUGCCCAGAGAUACCUCUCCGUCAUAUGGAGUGACAAAUCCCAGUCUCGAUCCGUGUCAACCCAACAGACACUUUCGGAGAUACCCGUAGUAUACCUUUAUAGUCACCCAGUUACGUUGUGACGUUUGGUACACCCAAAGCACUCCUACGGUGUCCGGGAGUUACACGAUCUCAUGGUCUAAGGAAAAUAUACUUGACAUUGGAAAAGCUCUAGCAAACGAACUACACGAUCUUGUGCUAUGCUUAGGAUUGGGUCUUGUCCAUCACAUCAUUCUCCUAAUGAUGUGAUCUUGUUAUCAAUGACAUCCAAUGUCCAUAGUCAGGAAAUCUUGACUAUCUGUUGAUCAACGAGUUAGUCAACUAGAGGCUCACUAGGGACAUGUUGUGGUCUAUGUAUUCACACGUGUAUUACGAUUUCCGGAUAAUACAAUUAUAGCAUGAAUAAAAGACAAUUAUCAUAAACAAGGAAAUAUAAUAAUAAUCCUUUUAUUAUUGCCUCUAGGGCAUAUUUCCAACAGAAUUAGUCUGUGCAUUAGAAUUAUAAUCAUUAGUGACGACUUACCUCAUAAAGUGUUAGAUUAUUAUCUAACAAUCAUACAUCAAUUAGACGCGAGACGGUGAAAAUCUUCAUGCACUCAACACUCAUUGUAUUGAGUUUUUUUAGCAAUACUCAUUGUAUUUUGUGGUCAAUACAUAGUUUUGUUACCCCGUUGCAACCCACGGGCCCUUUUGCUAGUAUCCGGAAUACAAGCAACAUCCGUUAAAACCCCUAGCCACACAUGGCGGCCCACUGAAAGAGACCCAACUCCUUUUGUUAAAGAGUGGGCUUCAAAAUUGUUCUCCCUAUGCCCAAAACAAAAUUCUACAUGAGUAAAGUUCCUCCUACUAGAAUUGAUCUUCUCCAUUCUUGAUUUUUUUUUGGAAGGACUCCACUCUUGAUGUUUGAUAUAACUUCUAAGCAAUCCGAAGCAUUGACCGAACUUGUGAAGAUUAAGAGCAUGAUUGGUUUGAUGUCAAUAUUUGGCAUUGCCAAUACUUGGCAAGCCAAAAAUUGGCAAUAUUAAAAGUUGCCAAAAAUUGGCAACUUCUUAAGGGACACGCAGUACUCGGCUGUUGCACUUCAGGCCCAACUUAGAUCACACCACAGUCCACAGGAAUUCCCAGUCCACAAGCAGUCACACCGCCACCAGCCUAAAAUUUUCUAUUGGAAAAACAAAGUACUGAUCGAAUCGGUCGGCUUCUAUCUCGCCAAAUCGAUCCCCUCCCAUUCCCCCAACCCCCCGACUCGAGCCCUAGCCAGUAGCGACUGUUGCGCCGCCGCUCGCCGCUCCGUGCGGCUCCACCGCCUGCUGCUCCGCGCCGCUGCUGUAUGCUGCGCGCCGCUGGCUGUUGCCUGCUGCGCCACCUCCUGCUGCUCCGCGCCGCUGCUGCCUGCUGAGCCACCGCCCGACGUUGAGAAGGUCGUAGCUUUGGCGGCAGCGUUGCUACCUCCGGCCCCGGCUAAGUUCGUACCAAUUUUUUUGUAGACAUAAGAUGUUCGCCCCGGCUAAAUUUGAUUCCUGGGUCUGCCACUGUCCAGGGGUGAAUAAUGGCGUCGCGGCAGGCCGCCGGUCUCACCGACUACGAACGCCUCCGCGAGGAGAACAUCCGCCGCAACGAGGCCAUCCUCGCCACCCUCCGCCGCAAGGCCGACGAGCUCUCGGCCGCCAUCAAGUCCUCGUCUAAACGAGGACGAGGACGCCUCAGUAAUCAGCCCCGCAAGAAGCCCGCCGCCAAGACAAGCCCCGGCGAGCUCCGCCGCUCCCUCCGACUCUCCCAACUCCCCCCCUCCUACUCCCCAGACGCCGAGCCCACGCCCGGGCCCCCUCCGGUGCCGCGCAGCACCAGCUUCUCCUCCUUGCUCGCGUCCUCCAUCAUCGAGUCCGCCUCGCUUGCGCCACCUGCCAAGGCUCGGGCGGACGGUUUCGAUGCCGGGAAGGAGCUCGUGCUGACGCCUGCGAACGUUCGGAAGGUGGUGCCCGACAGGAUACUUGGGGUUCGGGUCCUGCCGCUGGUCGACCGGACCGUGGUUGCGGCGGGGAACAAGUUGGGGAAUAUUGGGUUCUGGGUUGUGGACGGCAUGGUGGAAGAUGAGGAUGACGACGGUGCAGAUGGGCUGUUCGAGUAUUUGCCUCACAGGGGCCCUGUGCCAGCAAUCGUGGCGCACCCUGCGGCGCCACAGAAGGUGAUGGCUCCCUGUUAUUCUGCUCUUUUACUGGUUUUCUGAUUAGUGAUUUAACAUUUGGAAUUUAAGUCAAUUGUAUGGUAUUUGCUUCAAUUGGGUGUCUGGAUAGUAUGAACACAGGAUUUGGUAAGAGUAAAUUGCACUUCUCUUUGCUAACUUGUGCAUAAAUCUUUUACGCACAUAACUUCGCAGUUCACUAAAAGAACUCACAAGUCUCCUGUUAACCGAGCUCACUAUGUCAAUGAGUUCGAAGCUAUGUAGGUAAAGCCACUAGAAGUUUCUAUUGUAUGGGCAAUUGUUUGUAGUGAUGCUAAUAUUUAGCACUUUACCAGUCAUUGGAUUAUUUCUAGGAUGACAUCUGUGAAAUGAACUGAUUGAAGAAAAUUAUUGCUGCUGCUUAACAGCUGAGAAUCGUAUAUUAGGUUAUGGGGACUGCAGGUUUGGCUGGUCGAUACUCUGGAUUAAUUGUCAUGUGAGGAUAGGGGAACAUUUUGAUCGGUGUGUGGUGACCGUACAAAAUGGGUCAUGGGAGAGGAUGGAAGAAGGCAGGGGCAAGUAGUUGUUAAGGGAGACAGAGGGGCUUUAGAUUUUGUUGGUGUUCUUCCUUAUUAAUCUUAAGCAGCCAAUCAUCCUCUAGCAGCUAAUUCUAGGACCUUUUUUCCCAGAAGCAUCCGGUAGCAACAUAUGCUAACCAUGUUUCAAGGUAGAUUAACUAGGUUGUAUGCCUAUGCUCCCGUUUCUGAUACGUGUAGUGUUGACAAGCAUAAGUGUCUUCUGAGAAAGUUGAUGAUAGGAUGAGAAGACAAUGUUCUAACAGUGAUUUAUGUUUUGUUGUACAUCUCCACACUCGAUCAUGAUUCUAAUUUUGUUGUCUUUCAUAUAUUUGCCUUGUAGAUUUACAGCUGUAGUUAUGAGGGUGAAAUUUGUCUUAUGGACCUUGAGAAGGAGAGCUUUAAUAUGAUCCAGUUGUGCGACUAUCCUGUUUAUUCGCUUUGUCAAGCACCAGACAGUCCUAGCUGCCUAUAUUUUGGUGACGGAAAUGGUGAACUGAAACUCCUCGAUGAGCGGAUGGGUAAGGUAUCAAGCACAUGGGAUUCACAUGACAAUACAAUUAACUCAAUAGAUUUUCAUCCAGAGAAAAAACAUAUGCUUGCCACAAGUUCAACGGACCGAACAGCACGCAUAUGGGAUCUCAGAAGGUUUAAAAGGAAGAAAGAAGAGAGCUUGAAGGUUCUAAAACAUAAUAGAUCUGUUCAGUCAGCUUAUUUCUCACCUAGUGGCAGCAUGCUAGCAACAACAAGGUAACAUUUUUCCUACACUUGCUGUGGUUAAUGUCUGUUCUGUUCUUUGAAAGAAAGGAUUUCCUGUUUGAUUUAGAAUGUGUUUCUUUAACAACCAUCACCUUGUGAUGAACUCUGAUUGUGUCAAUACAUAGCUGAUUCUAAUUGGGACCUCAACAAGUCUUUUAGCAUAUGUAUGAUGUUUAUUUAAAUAGUUUAUGUUACUAGUAUGCAAUAUGUGUGUUUGCACAGGCUACUACAUAGUACUAUUUACCUUUUGUUACUCAUUUAUAAAAAAAUACAUUGCUAUUAUUUCUUUAGCCUUGCUUUGAUCAUUUUUUUUGGAACAUGCAGGACUGCAUGUGAAUAUAUUAGAAGAGAGAGAGAGAGGGAGGGGGGGGGGUGUGGGGGUCCCCAUACAAAGUUCAAAAGAACAAGGACCAACCAAACACGAUUAGAGUGUUGAAAAAACAUAAGAACGGUAAGCAGAAAAAAAACAUGAAAUAAUCUUGUGGUUGCUGAACCUAACUCAUCCUGCUGAACUAGAAUUUGUUCCCACCUUGAUCUGAUUACCGACCUGCUGCGCUGGCGAAACAUAAUAACGGGUUGAUCUUGGUGAUAUCCAAUGUUCUCCGUCGAGGAGAGCGGCUGGUGUCCUGAUAGGGGGGCAUAUCAUGAAUUCUGACUGAAAUCAAGGUAAUAUAUGGUCUCAUCCGAGUCCGUUGGGGCCGGCCUGUGUCCCAUGGGGGAAUACCCUUGACUUUCAGGUCCAAAACUGAGUCCUAGACUUCAGCGUUUGGUUCUGAUUGAAAUCAGAGUCCAACUGGCGCCGCGUGGGACGUUGAGUCCGCCCUUCGCUCAAGCAUAGCGGAGCUGGUCUGCCUUUGGACGAACGUAGCAAGUACACUUCACCUGGUUCGGACGCCUCCUGGUAAAGCCGAUCAAAACAUGCGAAGUAUGAUGCAAUCCGACUGGUCCUGACGUCGUGACGUGUCCGCUGACAGAAUCUAACUCCUUCCUGGCCCCGGGACUGAGUAAGGAGCACUUGCUUUGGUCUGGCCUGGUCAAAAGCCGGCUCGUAGGAGCACCAAGCGUCACGGGUCUAGGUGAGGUCACAUCUUAUCCUCAAUGUAUUGCCCCAUUGCCCCCCGCAUUAAAUGUGGGAAAUGGUGCAGCGGGCACGUGGGGCGAUGGACCGCCAUCAUCGCGCCCUGAGUCCCGUUUGACUCGUGUGUGUAGUUGGCAACCAUCGCAGGCGAACGUGGCCACGUGCAUGCGUACCUUGGUUCUGAUACGGCUCCCUUCCCUCUAUAAAAACUGAUGCGAGGGGAAGGGACCGGAUUCAGUUCACCUGCCUUCUUCUUCCUCAUGUUAUGGUCAUUGUCAAGGAGAACUACCUGCUUAGAUUCAUCUCUCCCAUCUCUAGCCACCAAGCACUUGGCCGCCAGCCUCAUGGAUGCGCGGCGAAGGUAGGAAGAGGACCGCCGCCGCCGCUACCAGAACAUAUUCAGGCAAAUGGUUGUCAUCUGUGGUGCCGAAAAAGUGAUUGGAGACCCUUGCUGGAGAGGGGGUGCUGCGACCUUGAGAGCGUGCCGACUGGAGGGUGCCGGUCAAGGAGAGCGAGCCUGCUCCCACAGUCCCACCUUCAUGAGCGGGUUCUGCUUGCCCCAUCCGUCGAGUGGGGCCUUCCUCCUGCUGUUCUUCUACAGGAUUCAGCUUCAUCACCUGAAUCCUGGUGAUGUCCUUCACAUAGAGUGCUUCAUCACGCUCUGUUAGUGUUCUUGGGGACCCGACCCCACUUUGGCCUUUGGAAGUUGUUCGGUGCAGCCACAUACAAGCUGCACCAAAAUCUCUGUCUGCGGCGGAGCUGACAUCCAGUUGAAGCCCUAGGCACCAACAAGAAGUGUCAGCAGAAUUGGUUCUACCGCCCCGACCUCCUGCCCCACGUGCGCCCUAAUCCACCGACAAUCCUCCUACCAACAUACGUGUCCUCACAUAAAGCCGAAUCCUUUGCCUUUCAUUCAGGUUUCUGUGUCGCCGGAUCCGAGUCCAUGCCUUUCUGAUUUGCAGGGCCUCUGAGACCUCAUCUGCACGUCUUCUCUGGUCGAGAACGUACUAGAGCCUGAUUUCUUGAGGUUGCCUAAAGGGCUAGGAGUCGGCAUCGAUUAGCAGAUAUUCCCUCCGUUUCAGAAUAUAAGGUGCAUCGAUUGUCGUGAAAGUCUAACAUUUGUAUGUUGACCAAGAUUAUAGAAUAAAAUAUCAACAUCUGCAAUACUUAACAGAUAAAAAAUGAAAAUACUUUUCAUGAUGAAUUGAAUGUUACAAAUUUGGUAUUGCAGAUAUUAAUAUAUUUUUCUAGAAACUUGGUCAAACAUCCACACGUUUGACUUUUGAAAAAACUAAUACACCUUAUAUUUUGGAACGGAGGGAGUAUAUCAUUUAAAUAUUAUAAAUAUUAGACAAACAUACAUCUUAGACUUCAUAAUUUGGACCUUUGUAGAAAUCUUUAGAUUAAUUGUAUAAUUUGUCUGAAAGACUUUGGUAUCUGACAAUCUAUGGCAUUUAGGUCCCCAUUUGGUCAUGCAAAAUCGUUUGCAAACAUGAUUAUCUCCAACGUCUUUUUCCAAUGCUUGUCUUCAUUGGUGCCUAUCUUUUCUUCAAUAAUAUGCUUACAAGUUUUUUUAAGAAUUGAUAUCAACUUGAUGGGUCAUGUCUAAUAUGGUCAUGGCCUUGCUGCCUAGUGCAUCCUGCCCAACUGCCAUGGCCUAUGAGUCUAGGACGCGUGUGCAGGCUCCAUUUUUACCACCAAGCGCUGUUCGUGAAUUAAUUCCGCACAUAUGACGAAGGGAAAAGAGAGCGUCUAUAAUUAAUUCGUACGCUAGAAUCAAGGAGAUGGGGCGUUGAAAGGUGGGGUAGUUUGGCAAGAUUGGGCUGUGAAUCCCACCCCGCGCCUUAGUAACAGGAAAAACUAAGAAAAAAUGUACACCUGAACCAUCGGAACGGAGGGAGUACAAUUCUCGUAUAUUAAAAAUGCUAUGUGAGAUUAAAUAUAGACCUUUAUAAUCUGGGCUCACCACAUAAUCAACUGAUCAUGAUUUUUAGUCUAUGUGGAAGAACAUGGUGUGGCUUGUUUGCCUCUUGUUUUAAUAAUAUAUUGAUUAGUUAAUAGCCAUAAGGCAAUGUAUAAUAGAAAGACUUAUUUAUUUUUCAGUUUUGUGUUAUGCUUCGAAGAUUAUAUUUAAUUUUAACUACAGAAAUGUCAUUAUCUUUUGAAUUGCAAAAUAUAUGUUGCUGAAUUUGAUAUCGGUGUCAUAUUUUUAAAGAUUUAAUAGUCUUGUCUUCUCUAUUGCGUGGUCGUUGUGUCCUUCGCCCCCUCAUGCUCAAGUCCUGGCCCUGCCCCUGCCAGCUUCUUCCUUUCCUAAACAUCAUCAUCUUCAUACCAUCACACGCAGUUGUUACCUGUGCCUUUUCACCCUUGACUGGCCUUUGUGUGUUCAAAUUGGAGAUCACGUUAGUAAGAAGAAGGCGCGGGUCGGAUUAAUCUGAAGGAAUGUGUCGAAGAGAACACGUACGUCCGAAAUCCAGUCUGUAGGAAUUUCCCUUUAAGUCUACCAUUACUGAAGAUUAAAUAAUCCCCCAUAGUAUAUACCGUCCUUAACCCAUUAGGAUCUUUAGAACAGCUGCUGUUCUCCCCGGUCUGCGACAGUACACUGUUUUAAACAGUGCACUUAUUUAAUACUACCUCUGUAACUAAAUAUAAGAACGUUUUCUUAUAUUUAGUUACAGAGGUGUAGUUUAUGCAGAAUUAUGUUGUUACAGAAGGCCUGAUUCUUUUUCUGUCCACUGUCCAGCCUCGAUGAUACUGUCCGAGUCUUUUGUGGGGAUGACUUUGAUAGGUCACACAUUAUCAAGCAUAAUAACCAGACAGGCAGAUGGAUUUCUACAUUCAAGUAUGAUCUCUCUUUUCACCUAGUGGUUAGCUUCACGAGUAGCUUGAUGGAUUUCUACAUGCAAGUAUGUUCUCUCUUUACAAACUAAUUCGAUUAUUGCAGGGCAAUCUGGGGCUGGAACGACACCGACCUGUUUAUCGGAAACAUGAGAAGGGCAAUAGAUAUUAUCUCAGUUGGUGGCGAUGACAGUAGCCUCUCAGCUUCGAACAGCGCAAGCCUGGAGAGUGAACACAUGACGGCCAUUCCGUGCAGGUUUUCUGCGCAUCCAUAUAAAGUUGGGCAUCUUGCUUGCGCAAGCUCCGGUGGUAAGGUGUUCUUUUGGACCAGAGCUUGAAUCAACAAGAUCUCCGGUGGCUGGCUUGCGGAUUGUUGCCGCUUCUGUUGGUAGUCAUGCUAGGAACCUAGUGCUUGUUUAGUAUCCAGCUGAAGAUUAGCAUAGUGUACCAUUUUUCUUUCUAAUGUUUUAGUGGUGGAGUAGUUGACGCUGUCAGAGAAACGCUGGGCAGCUGGGAACCGGUUUUUACUGGCUGAGUGUUUUCGAGUUCGUAUCCUUACAUUGUUUACUGCCAGUUCCUGAUGCAAAUCCUAGCUAGUUAGCGUGAACAUUAAUUGAUGCCGUUUUGGUUGUCAAGUCCAGAUGCGCUUUGUUCCAAAGCACCGUUGCCAUGGGGAUGCGUGUUCGUGGCUGUAGAACAGUGCCUGUAUGACACUGGCUGGAACGAAUAACUUCUCGAGGGCUCCAAUCCUGUUUGGACAUGUCAUGCAUACUACGGAUCGCAACCAAGAAAGGCCUUUCCAAGGAGCAAAUGCUCCUGGUUUGAACAGUAAAAAACAAUGCAAAAAAAUCUGAAUUUUUUUGUGGCAUACUUUCACAAAUGUUUGUUGUGCAUGCAAAAUUUCAUCGCAAAAUCACAUUGGUGGAAAGCGUGGUAAAAAAAACAAAAUCAAUGCUCUGAAAAUGUUACUUGCAAAAGCAUUUUGGAGCUUUGAUUUUGUUUUUUGGCACGACUUCCACCAAUAUGAUUUCGUGAUAAAAUUUUGCAUGCACAAUAAACAUCUACGUAAGUAUCUCUACUAUCUAAAAAAAAUGUAAUGUUCCGUCGUCGUUUCGUCCGACCUCGUACGUCCCGCACCAAGCCUUCGCCCGCCGGUUUUUUUGGGUGCAUCUCCGAUUUAUUUCCGUCUGACUCCCACUCGUGGUCCCCUAGGACGCAGCCCACGCACCCAGUCGAUCGCUACCCAUCUCUCCCUGCCUCCCAACCUAGGGUUCCCAAACACCGCCGCCCUCCGCCGCGUGUUCCUCCGCCACUCUCCCCACGCGCCGCGCCGUGGGCACCAUCGCCGUCUGUCUCUCCUGCCCAAUCGCUUGCCGCAACGAGUCACACCGCCUCCUCCAUCCCCGUCACCUUCUGUCGGCCGAAGAUAGCCACAACGCCGAUGAGUGAAGGGGGUGGUGCCGUCGGAUCAGAGACACCAGGCGGUGGUGACAAUGACAGCGGCCGACAACCUAUGGGGAUUAGCAGGACAUGAGGGCACACAAUAGGCAGCAGCGCGCAAUAUCCAUGUUCAGAAGUGGCGGUUUGGUGGUGACAACAGAUAAAAGCAUCAGUGAUGUGUUUCGGCUCUUGGCUUCCUGCACUGUUUGACUUCAGUUAAGUACUGCCGCCGCGCUACUUCUUAUGUGAAGGUACUGCUACUACUGCAGCGACGGCCAAUGAGGUAGAAUCGUGGCUGCAACUUGGCGAGUUAAGUAGUGGCUUAACUGAACCUGCAAUCUUGCAAGAACUGUUAUUGAUUUUUCAAUGACCAAGCUGUGGUUCGUUGAUUUUGAUUGUACCUAUAUUCUCGUUCUCUAUUAUACCUCUGAACAAAUAUUAAUCUAGGAGUAUUUCCUACAGAGAUCAAGCAGAACUAAUCUACCGAAUUCAGAUAACUCUGUGCAACAGUGUGUUACCAACCAUAGAAAGAGUGAGCCCAUUAGGUUUUCCUGUGAUAAAAUGGCCUGAAGAUUACAGUUUCAAUUUGUUAUUCCAGUCUAGCUCAGGUGUUUCAUAGACUUUCAGAAAUAUCUAUUCUUGAACUUCACUGAAGUGGGCUUCCUUCUGAGAAAAAAAGUACCAAUGCAAAAAUGAUUUAUUUUGAUCAGUAUUCGCAAAAAAAUUACUUUGAUCAGGGAAGAGGAGGCAGUGAGGGGAGUGACAUGGUGACGGGUUGCUUUGGCAUUCUCUUGCACGGGGAUAGGAAGCUGGAGUAAUCCAAGACCAGGUAUGUCCCCAUUGCUCUUAGGAAGGAUACUACAUUUUUUAAGUCGUUUACUCUUACCACUCGAUCACGGUUUACUAUUACUCUAGGUGAGAACUGAGAUUUGCAAUUUUGUUAAUCUUCCUAAUGUUGCUCGCAUAGACAUAGUGGCCAAGAUGGGACAUUUUAUCUUCCUAAUGUUACCGAGUCAGAUUAAAGAUGGGACAUUUUAUCAGGUGUUGCUCGGAUGAGAGUGACCGAGUGAGAGAGAGGUUUGCUAUACCUUGUAUCUGAGCUAACAUCAUUUGAUUUAAUUGUUGCUUUUGAUCAUGCGUUCAGGACUAGCCUACAGCCAGGAAAGAACCUGAACCCCAAGGUGAGUGCAUCCUGUCUGUUUCCCCACUUAUUUAUUUUUUCUUGGGGAAUUUCGAUAAGGCGGUGCAGGUCGUUGAGGUGAUAUGUGAGUUGGAUAGGCUGGCAUGUAAUUGGUUUGGCAGCGCCUCGUGGUCUGAUCUCCGUUCUUGUUUGCUUCAAGUACGCAUCGUUGUGCUGGUAUUUGCAUUCCAGAAGUGGGUUUCUUGCUUCAUGAGAUUUUGCUUAGUUUCUACUCCCUCCGUUCCUAAAUAUUUGUCUUUUUAGGAUUUUAAAUAGACUACCACAUACGGAUGUAUAUAGACAUAUUUUAGAAUGUAGAUUCACUCAUUUUACUCCGUAUGUAGUUACUUAUUGAAAUCUCUAGAAAGACAAAUAUUUAGGAACGGAGGGAGUAUUUUUGUAUUUCAGAGUGACGUAGCGGAGACAAUUAAUCACUCUGGGAUGAUCGUGAACCCUGAGGGUCGUUAACUGUUGUUACAUAAGAUACAUUGAUCUUUCACGUUAAGUCUUGCACAUAAAAAAAUCCAGGCGGCAAUUUCACGUAUAUGAUUGUUCAGAUGACGAGACAAACAAUUUCGUGAAUUAGACAUUUGCACGUAUAAACAAUACCAGCAAAGUCAAUAUCCUUGGUUUCGGUGUUAUUUCUUCAUUUUAGAACCUUGACCAUAUAUUCCACCAGAUGCAUUACUUUGUUUCCCGGAAACUCUACUCUUAGCUAUUGGUUGUUGAGACACCAGCUUCAUUAGCUUUCUUUACCAAAGACUGUUUUUGUUUCAUAUUCAUGCAUAAACUUCUCUUAGUGUAUUUUUUUAAUUCUCUUAGUAUAUAUAUAUGAUAUAUCCCCUUGAAAUGAAAUUUGACUAAUUAUAUUUUUUCAAAAUACUCAGACUUCUUGUACUAAAAUGUUUCUGUUGUAUUAAUUACCUUGUUACUCAAAUUCCAUGAUGUUGUACUAAUUUUUGCCUUGUUAACUAUUCAGUAGGAAGGAGGGGCUCGGUGUUGAAAAAAGAACAGAGAGAAUUGUGCUGAUCAGGAGAAGUUAACUCAAAAUCCAAGAUGUGACCUUCACAUAGCUCACAAACUUAACCACUAUUUGAUUCUUGGUAACAUUGUACGGGACACAUAACAUCCAGUUGUAUAACUGUAUAAGUAGGGUGUACUUGAUACCUAUGUUGUUCUUUGUUAACUUGUUCGCUGAAUAUUUUUCUUGCGGGAUAAGCAUCCGAUCUAUUCAUCAUCUUUCAAGACAGUACAAAUAAAAAAUUACAACCAGAUCCGUAGACCACCUAGCAAUGACUUGCUCACUGAAUUAAUUUGUUUAAAUUAUAUAGGAUGAAAUUUUAUUCUUUUUUUUAUAAAGGGCGCUUUAUCAGAAUUCAGUUAUUGGUUUCAAAGUACUUGCUUAGAUUUGGGGACAAAGAGUGAUUUAGUUGUAUAAAAGGCUCGGCGAUGCUGCAUUAAGAUAAUUCAUCUCACGUGCACAUGCAUCCUCCCAAAUAUAUAUGUUUGUCACAGUUAAUGUUGAAUCACUACUAGAAUAUUUACACACCCGUUGCAAUUUCCUAGUGACAAAAAAAAUUCAGAAUUUUUUAAAUUGUUUUUGAAUUUUUUUAUUGUACUGUUCACACCAGGAGCAUUUGCUCCUGGGUGUAGAAAGGUACUUUCGCUUUUCAAGGGCAUCCCUUGUUUCUCCAUGCAUGCUUGGACAAAAAAACCAAUCCAAGAGUAUCUCCCAGUUGUCCAAAUUUUGUCCAUUUGUUGACCCAUCCGACGAUUUCUCUCGAGAUUUGGGGCAAAAUUAGGGGAGCUUGUUGACCCAUCCGACGAUUUCUCUCGAAAUUUGAGGCAAACUUAGGGGAGCCCAACUAUGUUCGGGCGAAUAGCCCGGACAUAGCUCGGAGCAAAAAAGCUACCCAAUCGGACCCCUCAUACUGAGCCCAAAUGUUCAAGUUGUCCAACAACACUCAAACAUAGCUUGUAUGUGGGGCGGAUUUAGGGACCCUCGGACAUGUUCGAACUUGUCUGACCUCAUAGGCCGAAACCACCCAUAUCCCCUUCAAAUUGUCCCCAAUGCUCGCCCGAUCUAACCUCUUCCUCGUCCACGCCACCCAUUGCCUAGCUCUGCCGCCAUUCUCACCCUAGAUUCGUCGGCGUCCCUGAUCUGAAGCCAUCGCCAUCACNNNNNNNNNNNNNNNNNNNNNNNNNNNNNNNNNNNNNNNNNNNNNNNNNNNNNNNNNNNNNNNNNNNNNNNNNNNNNNNNNNNNNNNNNNNNNNNNNNNNNNNNNNNNNNNNNNNNNNNNNNNNNNNNNNNNNNNNNNNNNNNNNNNNNNNNNNNNNNNNNNNNNNNNNNNNNNNNNNNNNNNNNNNNNNNNNNNNNNNNNNNNNNNNNNNNNNNNNNNNNNNNNNNNNNNNNNNNNNCAUGUUCGACGAAACGUUUGAGCUGAUUCUUUUGCUCAUUUUUAGACAAACGGUGGGUUCAUCGGAUAGACGAAGCUGCUGAGGUGAUGGUGGUGAUGAGCAGCCGGGAAUAGAUGUAGAAGAAAGAGGAACAUGUUCUUAAUUUCAAGGGUUCAAUAAAAGGGCAUGAUAGUUGUUGCUUGAGAUAGGAUAAGUUUUUUUUUAGACAGUCUGCGAGGCCUUUUAUUAAUUGUGAUCAAUGUUUACAUCCACAAAAGAAAGAUUACCAGGGUUGCCUAAUCAAACAUGGUGGCCAACCCCCAACUUUAAAACAUGCCUACAUUGAGUACUUCAAACCCGGCCCAGUAUUCCAUGAGGUUUUUUGGGCGUCACUUCUGAUGAGCAGUCAUUUGUCUUGUGCAUAGUGGAUGUUGGGAAGAAAUAUGAUCCCUACUUCACGCCGAGGAAGGAUUCUUGCAGACAACUAUUACUCUCUCAUUUACAGAAAGCACAGGUGUUUUGAGAAUGCUUGCAUAUCGUAAGGUGCCGCUGAUGAGUACGCCUAUAUGGGGAAGAACCUAUCUUGCAAUAGGCUGCAAAGCCUAGUAGGCGAAUAGAAUUCAGGCGUUUUGCAAAUUCCAAAAAAACAGAGGUUGUAUACAUUUACUCCAAGUACCACUCAACAAUUUUUGGACAAAGUAUUACUAUCAUGGGUUACAAAUGUCUACUCCCUCCGUUCGAAAUUACUUGUCUCGAAAAUGGAUGUAUCUAGAACUAAAAUACAUCUAGAUACAUUCAUUUCUACGACAAGUAAUUCCGAACGGAGGGAGUACAAGUUAAAUACUACUCCCUCCUCAUAAUGCAAGACGUUUUUUGAGACUGCAUUUUGGGACAGAGGGAGUAAUUCAUAAGUUACAUGGAUGCAACACAGAAACUGAACGUAGCUCUUAAUCGCAUGGCCGCUAUCAGAAUCGUCCCAGAAGAUUGUUGUUGCGAUCACCGUAGUCGCUUAACCACUAUUGUCCAUGGAUGAAAACAGCUGUAGCCUGGACAGAAACUCUGGAGGCACACGGGUAGGGCGGUAGUCCUUGUGAAGACAAACAGCUGUUGCCUUUGCUUCCACAAUCAACUGACAAGAGAAAUAAGAUACGCAAAAAACGGAUACAUCAAUCUCAAAAAUCUUUUAUCAUGAUGUAUGAAUAUUUUGCUGUUUAGAAUGGUGGCACAGAAAUGCGUAGGAAUAAUUUAUGCAUGAAACAGAAUACAAAUUGCUCAAGUUGUACAUAUUUGACACAAUGCCCUCCAGAAUGCUACUGAAUGUCGUUGCUGCCUUAUUUCAACUGUAAACAUGCUUUAGACAUACUCCCUCCGUUCCUAAAUAUUUGUCUUUUUAGAGUUUCAAAUGGACUACCACAUACGGAUGUAUAUAGACAUAUUUUAGAGUAUAGAUUCACUCAUUUUGCUCCGUAUGUAGUCACUAGUUGAAAUCUCUAGAAAGACAAAUAUUUAGGAACGGAGGGAGUACAUUGUAUCUUAUUGUUCUGUUCUGAAUGUAUAGUAACUCUUUGGUAUGCAUACCUCGUGGUUAGGCAGCUUCUCAAUGCAGUGCUCGAAUAUCAUCCUUAUACCUUUGAUGCUUGCAAGCCUCACCUUGACGACAAAUUUAUCACCACUCUGACAGCGCAAGAAAAUACAAAAAUGGAAUUCAGAUCUGCAGAUAACCUAUGGCAGUAUAUUGAAGUCUGAACUUGUAAUGUUACUGGUUUCACAGUACUGCGACAAGUAUGUUAACUUCUUUUAUUUUUUUGCUCAACAUAGGAAAGGAGGGCAUUACUCUCAAAGGCGCGAAGUACUUGAGGUGCAUCUCAGAGAGGGCCAGCGACUCACCGCUGCGAGCUACUGCAUCUGCGCUUAUUCCUACGCUCUCAAGUAGCUCAUGACGGCCUACUCAGCUUGAAGGCAUAGAACCCAAUGAGAGAUAUCAAUAUAAACUACAAUCAUGCUUACGAUAUAAGUAGAAUGUCAUUGAAUGAGAUAUGAAUUUAUAUAAAUUUCAUUUUUGAAUGAAGUGAAGGGGAGCCUUGGCGCAGUGGUAAAGCUGUUGCCUUGUGACCAUGAGGUCAUGGGUUCAAGUCCUGGAAACAGCCUCUUACAGAAAUGUUGGGAAAGGCUGCGUACUAUAGACCCAAAGUGGUCGGACCCUUCCCUGGACCCUGCGCAAGCGGGAGCUACAUGCACCAGGUUGCAAUUUUUUUUCAUUUUUGAAUGAAGUACGAGUUCUUAAGAUGGCAUCUGAAUCAUGCUCACUGACCAAGUGUACAACAAUGAGAGAUUCAGCUGGAAUUUGGUCUGAACUCACCAUGCUGGCAGUAGCUGGCAUAGAUAGCAUUAUUGACAACUCCAUACUGGUCGAGUUCAUAGUCGCGCACCUUCAUCUCAACUUCGAAAAACUUAUCCACUCUGAAAAACCAGAAUUACCAGAGACAGUGUGAGCCACUCACAUCCAUGUGCAUUCCAAACUUAACUGAAUGAACAGAGCAUACUUUUCACUUUCCAGUAUAUCAUCCAAAGAUACUAGUACCAAACCGUGUAGUUCAUUAGUAAAAAAAUUAGUAAAAUCACCGACACCUCUUUCCUGCUUUCAACAAACCACUGAUGUCUGAAGCUACUUGACAGACAUAGUUUGUAGCUAAAGAUGACAAACAUGGAAGCACCGUGCACACAUCAAUCAAUUAGAUAGACAAGAAUAUGCAGGCGCAAGUACCGCAUGCUCAGCGGGAAAGCACCCGAUUCGCCACGGAGCACGGGCGAUAAUUUCUAUGCUCUCUUGCACGAAAUUCAGCAAAGAACGAACCUCACACCGGCGUCGAGGCUGGCCGACUGGGCGGAGACGGCGAGGGGGCGGCAUAGGCCUCGGGUGGAGGCGGAGGCGGAGGCGAGCGCCGGCCGGCGGAGCGGCGCGGGGCGACCGGCCGGCCAGCUGCCCCUUCCCGCCCCGGCGCGGAUCGGCGGGAGCGGCGAGCAGGCGUUGGGGACGAGGCGCCAAAUCUGGCCGUACAUCGUGGCGGAGUCCGUCUGCUGAGUGGGCCGGUGCGGCGCGGACGGAGACGGGUACUUGGCCUGGCCUGGCCACCAGACCCGUAUUAGGGCAUGUACAAUGGUGCUAUCUUACGAGUGCCACGUAGGAUAGAUGAUGAGGUGGAGGAGAGAGAACUCAUAAGAAAAGGCUUGUCUUCUUUUAAUUAAGAGAAGACAAGAGGUGAUCUCUUAGCACAAUAUGUCUCACCACAUAUUUAGGAAUUGCUAGUUAUUAAAGAUAAGGCUAAAAGAUGACCCAUUGUAGAUAAUUUUUUUGUCUUCUCUAAAUCACAUGCAAGACUUAAGAUAAGACUAUCUUAUCAACCACUGUACAUGCCCUUAAUUUCGCCAGCCGUCAAUUCCACCCCUCCCUCGGUCUCGUCCCCGCUCUCCCGCCGCGAAAACCGAACGCGCCAUUCCAAAUCCCCAAACCCCCUAACCGCCACGCCCCCCUCGAGCCAUCGCCGCCCCCAUGGCCUCGUCCGCCCCCUCCGCCGACGCCGGCGACGACAAGCCCGCGGAGAGCGCCCCGGUCAGCCCCACCGGCCCCGAUCCCCACAGGUCGGGCCCUACCCACCCGCAUUCCCCCCAACCCCAAGCAUCUCGGGUUUCGAUACGAAUCUGCGUAGCCCUAACCCCGGGUUCCUCCGCAGGAAUAUCGGCUCCCCGUCGCCGCCGCCCUCUUCCCCGGUGACGUCGUCGGGCGAUGGUGGUGCGUCGGUGACGGGGACGACGGAGGAUUUCUACCCGCUGCCGCUGUGGGCCUUGGAGGAGCGGGCGUGCAGCUCGUGCGCGCGCAAGAAGAUGCUCCGCAAGGAGUGGGAGGCGGCGCGCGGCCUCGAUCUCCUAGUUAGAUCCCUCCGCAGUGACGACGGGGUGCCAUCGUCGUCGCCGUCGGCGCCGGUGCAGGGGCCGGGGACGGAGCUUCAGGACCCGCUGGCGCCCCCGGCAACAUGGUGGUGCGACCCGUGCGAGCAGCACAAGAAGUCGUUGCGCGACUGGCGUCUCCGAAGGUCAGAAAAUCUAUCUAUCCACGUCCAGAUCCCUCGAUUCCGCCACGAAUUCCCGUAGGCCUCACGCUAGCUCUCUCUGCAGGGAGGGCAAGCUCCCCCCGCCGCCCCCGCCGCCGCCGCCGCCGCCCCCGUCAUCGGGGAUGCCGUUCUACUUUGGGAUACCAGUGCUUGGUAGCACUAAGUCGAUACUGAAGCUGGGGCGGAGGCUGCAGGAGGAGGCGCGGCGCGGGAAGAAGCGGCCUCUCUCGGUGGCGGAGGAGAGGGGGUAUCGCGAGUGCGACGUGGGCAAGAGGGUGAUGCGCCAUAAGCGGGACGAGCCGCCCCUGGACACGGCCGGCAUUGGCGCCGCGGCUAGAGUACGCGAUGCGCUCACGAAGAUGAUGCCUGAGCCUGGUACGCGUAGGGGCGUGCGCCGCGUGGACUACUCCAAGUUGACGCCGCUCGUGGGGUCGCGGGAGCCCAGCUCCAGCGACGCGGCUGGAGAAGACGUUUUGCACGACGAGGCGCUUCAAAUCAUCGAAGGACAGCCAGAGGGGCUCCAUGAGGUCAGCUCCGCCCAGUGGUUUGCCCUACAGGUCUCAACGGAGUUCAUGCGGCUGCUGGACCCACAGGUGGGUUCUAGCGCCGCAGCUGAGGGCGAUCUGGACGGGAGGCUGGAUGAGGAGGCGAUAGACAAUUUGCUGAAUGGGGAGGGCAUGGAGGUAUGUUGUUUUCUUGCGUGUGUUUCAUGGUGAUGUGGUGGGAAAGAGUUUUGAUGAUAUGCAGCUUUGUCCCGCCGAUGAGCUCUUUCUUGGUAGUCAGAUUAUAUUGCAUAUGCACUGUGGUGAAAUUCAACUUCUGAACUCGACUCAACCUUCUUCAGGGAAAUCAGAAACGUCUUUGUGAUAUAAGGAGAAGCACUUCCUUGCUAUGUUCUUGCAUAUGACGAAUUCAUGAUGUCCUUGUUAGAUUCUAGAUCACUUUGCUAACGACGGCCAUAAGAAUAGUUCUCCGUACUGUAUUUUAGGGGAAAUUCUCCACUGUUUUAAGAAGGAAUAGUUCUCUAAAUUUACAUUGGCAGGAUGUAAAAUAUGUCUUUGAUUCUGUAUAGAGGGGCUGCUACUUAUCUGGCAGCAGCAUACUUUACUUGGCAUCUCAACCAGAUAGUUCCCUUCUUUUGGCAUUUCAUUUGCUGAAAUGAGUUUUUCUAUCUCUAAACUGAUGAAAUGUAAACCCACUUUUGCAACAUAAUGGAUGCCAUGCCCUUUGUUUCUAGAAUGAACAAAGUUUUGCCGAACUGAGAUCUAUGUACUACAUGCUUAAAGCUCCCCCUCCCUUAAUAAUUACUUUUGCUUAUCUAUCCAUUGGUAUGUUUCUUUUUCUACAAUAACUGUGGAUCAAAACACACUUGUGAGUAAAGAAAAACUUUCUUUACCCCACCCCCCAUGUAAGUAGUAUUUCUGUGCUUAGUUUUUUCUUUGCCUCAUGUUGUGGAUUUCUGUCGUCAUUUUAUUUACUUUCUUUAUCAAGUCCUAUUUCUUCUGAACUAUCUGAGUAAAUAAACACCCCACACGGGGCAAUGACAUAUCUUGCAAACUUUGCAGGACAUUGUCAAAACAUCGAUACCAAAAGCUUAUUCCAAGGAGAUUCUUUAUGACUUAAUAGUGGAGUGUGUUGCACAAUACCGAAAGUGGCUGUUGGAUAACAGAGACAAGUUAGAUAAGGAAAAAUACAAGCAGUGCCUGAAGCAGCUUCUACCCAUGGCGAAACUUACUUCGGUUUAUGAUAAGGAGCCUGAGAAUUUGUCCAAGAUAAUGAAACUCAUGUACAAGGUCGGAGAAUAUGGUCCACCUCCCAGUGGUGUCAUUCAUGCUAUAUCUCCUCGUCUUUAUCAGAGUACCAUGGAGCAACUGUAAGUCCUUAAACUAUGGCUUAAUGCUAGGAAUGAUAUCCUCUGUUUAAUUUAGGUUUUGUUUUUGUAAUUCUUAACUUGAAUUUAGUUGAAUAAUUAUGUUCUGUGGGAAAAAAUGGAUGUUCCCAUCAAAUAGGAAUGCCUUUCUUCGGUAGUACUGGAUCUAUAAAUAAGGCCUUGUAGAUAAAAAACCCAAGUAUAGUCUUACUUGCAAGCAUUUUUUCAUCUUUUUCUAUACAACUAGGAUGCUUGCUAGUUUAAGUUUUCAACUGUAUUUAUUGCAUGUGCAUUUAUGUGGAAUUCUAAAACUCAACAUUUGAUUUUAUUAAGUGUUGAUCUGUCGUUAGCAUUAUCUGUUCCUUUGAAUUUAUUGGUGUAUAUAAUUCUGGUCAGCGCCGCUGCUGGAGCAGUAGACGUUUUGCACAAUAAGGUGCCGCAAGUCAUCAAAGCACAGACAGAGGGACUCCAUGAGGGCUGCUCUGCCCAGAGGUUGGCCGGACAAGUCUCAACGAAGUUCAUGCGGCUGCUGGACCCAGAGGUGGGUUCUGGUGCCGCAGCUGGAGGCAAUCUGAACCGGAGGCUUGAUGAGGACGCCAUAGACAAUUUGCUGAAUGUGGAGGGCAUGCAGGUAUGUUGCUUUCUUCUGUAUUUUUCAUGGCGAUAUGAAAUACACUGGGAGAUUGUUUUGAUUAUGUACAGCUUUGUCUCGCUGAUCAGCUCUUUCUUCGGAGUUUAUAUUGUAUAUAAGGCACUGUGGUGAAAACCAACUUCUGAAGUCGACUUGAUCUUCUUCAGGAAAAUGUCUUAGUGAUAUAUUGAGAAGCACUUCCUUGCCAUGUUCUUUCUACGACGAAUUCAUGAUGUCCUUGUUAGGUUCUAGAACAGUUUGUUAACUGUCCGCUACAUGAAUAAUUCCCCACUGUUUUAAGGAAAAGAAUAGUUCUCCACUAUUUUAAGAAGGAUGUAACAUAUGUCUUGUGAUUCUGUACAGUGGGACUGCUACUUAUCUGGGAGCAGCAUAAUUGACUUGGCAUCUCGACUAAAUAGGUCCCUUCUUUUGGCAGUUCAUAUGCUAAAACGUCAAGAGUUUUUUUUACCAAACUGAAACGUAAACCCACUUUUGCAAGAUAAUGCACCCCCUCCCUCAAUAACUACUCUUUCCUAUCUAUCCAUUGGUAUGUUUCCUUUGUGCAAUAGCUGUGGAUCAAAACACACUUAUGAGCACAGGAAAAACUUUAUUUACCCCACCCCUCAUGUAAGUAAUAUUUCUGUGUUUAGUUCUUACUCUGCCUCAUGUUUUGGAUUUCUAUCAUCAUUUUAUUUUUCUUCUGUAUCAAGUACUAUUUUUUCAGAACUAGCCUCUGAGUAAAUAAACACCCCAGACAGGGCAAUGACAUAUCCUGCAAAAUUUUUAGGACAUUGUCAAGACAUCGAUACCGAAAGUUUAUUCCAAGGACAUUCUUUAUGAGCUCUUUAAGGAGUAUGUUGGACAAUACCCAAAGUGGCUGGAAGAUAACAAGGAAAAGUUAGAUAAGGAAAACUAUGAACAGUAUGUGAAGCAGUUUGAGUCCAUGGUCAACCUUACUACUGUUUAUGAUGACGAGCCUGAGAAUUUCUCUAUGAUAAUGAAACUCAUGUACAAGAUCGGAGAAUAUGGUCCACCUCCCAGUGGUGUCAUUCAUGCUGCAUCUCCUCGUGUUUAUGAGAGUACCAUGCAGAAAGUGUAAGUCCUUAGCUAUUUACUCUCAUUGUCAUUAUAUGUGACUCUCUCGAUUGAUUCUAAGUUUCUAACUAUGACUUAAUCCGAGGAGGGAUAUCCCAUAUAUUUAAAUUAGAUUUUAUUUUUGUAAUUGUUUACUUGAAUUUAGUUGAGCAAUUGUGUUUCUGUACAGAAAAAAGGAUGUUCCCAUCGAAUAUCAAUGUCUUUCAGGGUAGUAUUGGAAAUAAUAUUUUCUGGAGCUCAUAUGGUCCACACCAAGGUUUUGGUUACCGAAUGAGGCAUUUUUACCGAGGGGGACUGGAAAACGCGGUUACCACGGUUACCGAGAAAUACCGAAAAAUACCGAGAAUAUUUCGAACGAAUUUUAUUGUUGAAUUUUGAAUUCAAAUAAGUUAAUGAACGAACAUUUGAACCAAAGACCUCUCAAAACAGGAACUAGGUUCCGACCAACAAGCCAAAACCAACUCUCAUGGUAUUAAUUAGAUUCUAUGUACUUUACUAUAAAUUGAGUGUUUAAAUUCAAAAAAUUCAAAUAACUGGUAUUUUUUGCUUGGUACGUGGAUUUACCGAGGGGCACGGAAAUACGCGGUAAUCAUGGUAAAUCUCGAAAUUUCGACCGGUAACCAAAACCUUGGUCCACACCAAACUUAGCCUCUUGGUAGUAAUAACUAUAUAAUUUUGGUCAGCAGCCUCCAAUCUUACUACUCCCUCUGUUCCUAAAUACUCCCUCCGUCCGAAAAUACUUUUCAUCAAAAUGGACAAAAAGGGAUGUAUCUAAAACUAAAAUACAUCCCAUUUUAUUCAUUUUGAUGACAAGUAUUUCCGGACGGAGGGAGUAUAAGUCUUUGUAGAGAUUUCACUAUGAACUACAUAUGGAUGUAUAUAGAUGUAUUUUAAGUGUGGAUGCAUUCAUUUUGCUCCGUGUGUAGUCCACCUAGUGAAAUCUCUACAAAGACUUACAUUUAGGAAUGGAGGGAGUAUUUGGAAUGAAGGCUUUUUACCUGGAUCUAUAAAUAAAGCCCUUGUAUGUAGAUAAAAAGCCCAACUACAAACAAUCUUACUUGCAAUACUGCAUUUAACUGAUGUGCCUUGGUUAUAGUAAGGCUCUACCAAACUGAGGCUGUUUUUUUUUCUGGAAAUAUUUGGCUGUACCAGCUUUAUUCUGUGACCUAAAAACCACACACUAUCUGUUUUUAUCGUAUUAUAGAGAUACUUCAUACUUGACAUCGAUUGCCCACUUAUUAUUGUCAAUUUAUGAUUAAUGUCCAUCAUAUUCAGGGUGUAAUGCACUUGUAUCAAAUUUGAGAUAUUAGGGUCCACUGAUUUGAGUGUAUAUGUAUUUUAUAAGAAUUUCUACCAUAUUUCUCUUCUGAUAUCCCGUUUGGUAUUACAACUUCUUUUGGAAACCACAUAUUUAUUUCUAAUUCAGGAUGUAAUAAUAACUUGAGAGCAUCUUUUGGAUGUGAUUUGGAAAAGAAGAGGAAUGACAGACUACAUGGCGGAGCAAUCCUGUGUAUCCUCCCUAGUGGAAUUAGUAAACAAGUAACUAACUAACUAGAUUCCACAGCACAACAACGUUAAACUAACAUUAACAUCUGUACAAUACUUAUCAUAAUGCUUCCGAUGUCCUGCUGGGACUUUGGUGGGGAGCCUAACACAGCUCAUAGGUCCAUCAGAAUCCACUUGAACAAAUCUGUAAUGCAAGAGAUAGAUCUUAACAGUGAUGGUUCAUGUCAUGCAUGGUGUUGAAGGCUGUCUUGUAGGUAAAUCAUUGCCUUGUUUAAAUGGUUAGAAAAACGGACAUAUAGCCUUCUAUUGAAGUCUUCAAGAUAUGUACAGUGGGAAUCAGGCAACUGAGUUAACAAAAGAGAAAAUUCAUUGGCUGUCGUUAGUAAGUCAACGGCCGGUGCCUGAUAUAUAACUUUUCUUUUCGAAACGGAGGCAAAGAUUGCCUCAUCUAUUAAUUAAGCAGAAGAGAAUUGCCCAGUUAAUUACGGAAAACCGGGCAAAAACCGGAACAACAAGGGCCAAGCCCACUCCCAUAGACACAAACACACAGGGCAAAGCCCACCCUGAUCGAUAUAACUUGACAUACUGAAAUACACCGACAUGCAUGCUUACGAAGAACAGAUAUAAGAUUUUAAUUCCAAGGCUAAGUGUUAUGUAACUGGAUGAAGCAUCAAUGCUCUAUUUGCUGAGUUGAGAUGUAGUGUUUUACAACUUGGUACCUUAUUAACCACAUAUUUUUUUUACAAACUACUCCCUCCGUCCGAAAAUACUUGUCAUCAAAAUGGAUAAAAAAAGAUGUAUCUAAAACUAAAAUACAUCUAGAUAUAUCCUCUUUUAUCUAGUUUGAUGACAAGUAUAUCUGGACGGAGGGAGUACUCCGUAUAAUAGGUGUAUGUUGUUUGCAAGUUGAGUGCACCUUUUGCAGUAGAUUUGACUUUAUAGGAUCUCCUCUACCUUUGCAGGUCUACUGGGAUGGUCGAGCUGCUGCAGAAAUAUGACAAAUUGUUCUCUGUUGAUACCAGUCCUUCUACCACAUGAAGCAGCGUCGACCUAUAUACAUGCACCCUCGAAAGAGUUACAGUCCUCUGCAAAGCAUCAUAUAUAGGCAGGCGUAUAACGAAUUCAUCCUUGCUGUUUAGUUUUGAAGAUUACAUGAACAAUUUGGUCUGGUACAAGGCCAGCUGUGCCUGUGCUUUCUAAUACUAACUAGUAACUACACUGGGAAGUUUAAAUCGAUGAAAAACGAGUAACUAUACUGUACUAGUUCCUUUAUAUCUGUGCUACUCUUGUAUGCUUGUGAUGUAUAGUACGAAUGUUUCUUGUCUGCUGAAUCUGUGGUGCUGGAAACUGUCUGGUAGUUCAG